rnacentral:lncRNA from 1 species
UUGCAUUCCAAAUUCCUGUUAAUUUACGAGGGAAAAAGAAAAGAGACGAAAUGGGAGAAAAUGGUCAAAUUUGUUAGGGGGAGAGAGCUGUUGAAGUAGUUUUUGUUCUCGUUUAUCGUCGUGACCCUCUUGUCGCUUAUCUACGACCUGGAAGUCUGGUCAUAUCGGAUGGGUAAAGUUACCGAAACGGCAUCAUUUUGGGUGAAAUAUCAUAUUUAUGUAACACUUUUGAUAAUAUUUUUAUGCAACAAAAAAAUGUUUGCAGUACCCUUUUCACAUUGUGAAGCGCAUGAUCGGAUGAGAGCAGUCUGGAUUCUGGCAUCACAAGCUAAUGCUUUUUUUUUUUUUUGAUUACAUGAGACUAUUGCUCAUAUUACAGCUCAUAUUACAUGAGAAUAUAACUGAUAUGUACAAAUCAGCUAUAACUGGGACCAACAUACAUCAAAGCUAAUGGAGCGCUGUCCAGAUUUUAACCCUCUCAAAUAUUCGAGGGAUGUCUACUCCUCGCACUGGGACAAGGAAGCAGACUGUCUUCACUCAAUUUUAUUUGAGGAAGGAAACACCCCCACAUGCAUUGUGGGGGUUCGAACUGCUGCUCUCCAACUGCUCUCCAACUUGGAGAGCAGCAGCUCUCACCACUCGGCCAAAGGCCGAGUGGCUCACAAGCUAAUGCUUUGAUUUGCUUAGUUUGUUUUUUGUUUCUGAUAUUUUCUCGGCAUCGGGUGGGAAAUUGUUUCUCUUUUGAGUUUCUCUUUUUUUUUUUUUUUUUUUGGUUAUGGAAUUUGGAGAUAGUGUAAAUGUACGCAGAUGAAAUUGUUGGGUUGGUUUUGUUAUGGAAUUUGGUUUACUUCACUAACCAUUAAUGCGCAAAACCUCCUAAUGACCCUCAAAAAUCCCGUACAUAAUUAAAGAAUUUCAAUUUUAUAUGUACAUAAAUAAAUAACUCUCAAAUAUAUUAUUUGAUAAUCCCAAAAACAACAAUUCACUCUAAUAAAUCUCGUAGUCAAUACAUGGUCUAUAUUGCAAGUGUUUUCGAGACUAAUUGAAAAAGAAAAUACGUUGAGUGAUGUAAUUGACCUUUACUAGUUAUAAAGAACUCUAAAUAAAUUCAUAUAGGCAUAGCAGCUAAUUACAGCCUUGAUACUUCAUUUGGUUUUUGUUAAUUUUCUAUAGAGUUGUGCUGUGCAUAAAAGUUUUGUUAAAUGAAAUCGGUAGGUGAGAAUUAAUUAAUCAAUUAAUUAAGAUCCAGUUAAUGUAAUUAAUUUUAUUUGAUUUUUUUAAUUCGAGUUCUAAAUUAAUCAAUGAAUUUAGAUUCAUGUGAAAUUGAAGUGAAUUAGUUUUGAUCUGUUUUUCGUCCUAUGUUUGUCUGUGUUUACUCUUACUUUGUUUUUUUGUUUAAAUUUUUGUUUUCUUAUUGUUUACUGAAUAAAUUUCUGAGCUUUAUUUGAGUAUGAUGAUUGAUUUGUGAUUUUAAUCUAAAUGUGUUGGGCUGCGAUUUAAUUGAGUGAUGUGUGAGCGCCAAAUAUUCAAUAACUGAUAAAUUAUAUUUAUAAAUAUUAAUAGCGAUGGCACAUAAACAAUUAAUUCAAGAACUUGCCCAUAGUGAUUAAUUUAAAGAGUAUAAGUAACAUUGCAAUGCAGUUAGCCCUUGCGUGUUUAAUUAGCAAUUGAAAACUAAUGUUGCUGAUGAGGUAGAACAUUAUAACACUGUUGCUGAUGAGGCAGCUGGUAAUUCUUCUGGUGAAGAUAUUAAGACUAUUAAAGCUGAAAUGUAAUUAGAGAAAUAUAAUGCAUUCCCUUAGUUUGCUUUUUGUUUUUUAUAUUUGUUUGGCUAAUGCUUUGCUUAGAUUACUUUUUGUUUUUGAGAUUUUAUUGGCUUAGUCAUGGGGUAUUGUUUUCUCUUCUAAUUUCUAUUUUUGUUGUUAUGGGAUUUGAUUGUAGUGUACAUAUACGAAAAUUAUGUAAUCAAAUGCUUUCAAUAAAUCAUGAUUGAUUUACUAUUAAUUAAUUAAAUUAAAUUUACUCAAAUUACUCAUGUACACAAUCAAAAUAAUUUUAAUUCCAUGAUAUAUAUACACGCGAGCACACAAACAAAAUGUAAUUAACUUUGAAAUAUAAAAUAUUUAAAAUAAUCACCGUACUAACAAUUCACAAAUCGGAUUUUAUAUAAAUAGACGAAAUAAUGUUAAUCUAGCGAAUCCAGUCAUAAUAAUUUGAUUUUCAUUUAUAUUAAUUAUGUCAAACCAUGCUAUUUUAAUAAAUAGCACUUGAGAAUAUAUAUAUCCAACAAGUAAAAUUUCAAAACAAUAUUUGCCAAAAUCUAAUGAAGAGAAUAUACACGCACGCACAUAUAUAACCGUACAGCAGAACGAUAAAUAAAAGAAAAUGAAGUUUCAACGGCUGAAUAAUGCAAAUUCAUUUUUUUUAACAAGCAUUUUAUUGUUUAAUUAAAAAAAUUUGAAAACCCAUUAAAUACAUGUAAGGACUCACUGAUGCCGAACCAUAUUAAUUUAAAUUAGUUUUCAAUUGAGAUUUGAAUUUUAAAAUUACACACACAAACACACCCGAUUUAAAAAUAAUAAUAAUAAUGCUAACAAUAAAAUAUUUCAGCCGUCCUAUGUGUUAAUCGCCAAAAACGGAUUUCCAAUCUAUUACAACAUGAGGUAUAUGAGUUAACAAGUCCCAAUAUUGUCCUCCAUCCUUUCUGCACUUCUCUGCUAUCAACGGACAUCCUGCGAUCUGUAAUUGCAAAAGUGAGGAAGGCAGGCCCUUCUCCGGAAAGUAUUUGAGCUUGGGACAAUUAUGGAGUCGCAAUGCAGUGAGGUUUUGAAGAUCAACAAUUGAAGAAGAUAGGCGUUCCAGAUUUGGAAAAUUGAAAAUCUCCAGAGACGUUAGAGAGGCAGGAAUAGGAAGCGCGGUCCCUAAUCUUUUGUCCUCUAGUGGAAAUGACACCAUGUCCUCAUCACAUCCACUGAUUAAAAGAUAUCGCAGAGAGGAGAAUCUGUGAAAUCCCCGUCCCCGCUCAAUCAUUGACUUCCAAAUCUCCAUAUUACCCCAAAUAUUAAGUGACUGAAGGUUGGUGGGAAGGCCAUCUUCUUCUUCAAGGCUUGGAAGCACACCUCCUUUUCCUGCUGUUAAUUCUUGAAGAGAGCUCAGAUUGUGCAUUCCCUUGGGUAAGGCCUCUAGUCUCUUACAAUUAGAUAUCGCCAGCCUCCUGAGUUUCGCACAAGGCAAUCCCCCUUCGGGAAAGGACACCAGAUUUCCACAACUAUCUAUACUGAUUGUUUCAAGAGAUGUGUUGUUGUCCAACCUUUCUGCUAUUGACUCCAGCUUUGAACAUCCCCAAACAACGAGGGACUUAAGAGACGAAGGUAGAUUGCCAACUUCAAGGGACUCAAGCGUGGCAGGUAACUCGUUUUUUGAAAAUAUACAUGUCAGAGAUGGACAACUAAUAAUUUCUACGUGCUCGAGAAGAGAUGAGGUGUACCUUCUGCUGCUGCUGCUGCUACACAGGAUACCCUCUUCCACUGUCAAAGUCCUUAUAUUAUCGCAAUCGCUGAUGCUCAGCUGCUUGAGGCUCGGUGGCAGCUGGACAGCAGCAAUAUAUGUCAACGAACGGCAACCAUGAAUACUCAAGAUCUCGAGAGACGAAUUGGUGUCGCACAUCCAUGCCUCUGGUAACGAUUUCAGUGCAUCACAAUGCCUAAUCUGAAUUUUCUUCAACUUGGAAGGCAGAGCAACCUCAGGAAAGGAAACAAGGGAACUGCACUUGCAGAUUUCUAUCUCUCUCAAGGAACUGAGGCUGAACGAUGAUUGUGGCAGCUUCACAAGGCCUUCGCAAUUACUCAAUCUUAGAUAUUCAAGUCUGCAUGACAACUCGCAGAGCUGCUGUUGUUGGUCUUUCUUUUCCUCCGCCACCAAGGAUUGAAGUUUGGGACAGCUGUCAAUCGUCAGUCUUUUGAGAGAGUAAAUGUCUUGCAGUAAUUCGUUAUGACUCUUCCAUAUAUGUGUUUCAUUUUUAAUAUUUUUUAUCUCCAAUUCUUCCAGUUUUGGUAUUCGCGGCUUCAAUGGCCCUGCGAGAAACACUUGAUUUGAUGUAUCUCUACAAACCACUGAAUUCUGUGAGCCGAGAUGAUCAGUUGCACUACUCCACACAAUCUUUUUACAUCCACCAAUUUCAAAUUUGCAAAGAGCUGGAAGACUUGCAACUGAAACUAGCAAUUCUUCACAUCCUUCAAUUACAAGCAUCUCCAAUGCAGGAAGGUGUUCUGGAAAUGUUCCUUGCAGCUUAGAACAGCUUAUAAUAUGAAGCUCUCUCAAUUUAGGAAACCCUUCAACUCCCUGACCAGAUCUAAGAGGAAUCCAGUCUUCCCAUUCUUGCAUGUCUUGAAAACGAAGAGUCUCCAAGCAUGGAAAAGGAAUCGGGGAAUCAUUCCCAUAGAACUCUGAACCCAAACUCUUUACUCUACUCAUUCCACGCACUUCAAGAUGCUUUAAAGAGGGUAGUUGCCCGACUGACGGCAGGGCAGUACACAUGCCGCAAUCUUCAAAUUUAAGUGUUACUAAAUUUGAGAAUGAGGAAUCUCCUAACCAUGUUGGAAAUUUUGUACCUCCAUAACCACAGAUACCAAAUUGUUCCAGAUUUUUAUGGGGUUUGAGCAUGUCAAGCACACCCAUUUCAGUUUCUGCCUCCCUUGAAGAUGAACCAUCGGUACUGCGUGUCCAUCGAAGCAAUAAUUCUCUAAGAUUCUCCUUUACAUCCAAUUGAGCCUCCUUCGCAUUACCAACGUCUUUUACGUUCUCCAAUUUUGAAAUUUCAAGUGCCCCACGAAGAUGCAUCAACAACUUUAGCUCUGAUAACCCCGAACCACUGUCUUUUCCCACAACAAAAUUACACAACGUCUGAAGACUAGUCAAUCUACCAAUUCCUACUGGCAUUUCCUCCAACGACUUCGUAUUUGAAUUCUUAAGAUGAUGCAAUUUGGUGAGGUUUCCCAUGUCUGCACACAACUUCUUCAGCCGAUCACAAUCUUCCAAGAAAAGACUAUGCAAAUUGUAAAGCUUGUUGACUGAUUCAGGCAGAGUUCUAAUCAUAGUUCCAGAUAGGUUGAGGUACCUUAAAUACCUCAAAUCACCAAUUGAAUCCGUUAGCUCAUACAGGCAAUAUCCACGCAAAGAGAAGACCCUCAACCGUUGGAGUUUGAACAACUUGGGGAGAAUGCUACGAGCCAAGUAUCCAUGCCACCUAUUUGACAAUGCUACUGGUAAAAAAGUUCGCAAAUGGUGGAUAUCAUGCAAGUCCUCAAACCUUUGAACGCCAUCACAAUAUCCACGAAUGUAUGACAGGUGACGAAAAUUUUUGGAAAAACUUUGUUGCUUGUUAACCUCUGAGUUAUACUCCAUUGUGAAGUAUAUCUCCCCCGCAGCCCAUUGAGCAAGGUCGUUGACAAGGUCGUGCAUCACAAAUCGUGAUUUAUUGUUGCUUGAUUGCUGGAAAAAAGAUCUUGAACGUAGCUCUUGAAAGAACUUUCGACCUAGAUCUUCAUUAGGAUUCCCACUCUCUUUGUGAUCCAAGAAACCCGAGGCACACCAUAAUAAAAUCAUCUCCUCCUCUUCAAAUUCAUAAUCCUUUGGAAACAAUGAGCAGUAUGCAAAGCAUUGUUUCAAAGGUGCCGAAAGAUAAUAGUAGCUCACUGCAAGGGCUGGUAUAAUACCACAUCUCUCUUCUGGUAAUUCCCAUAUCUUGCUACUGAGCACAUCUUCCCACUCACUUCUGUCAUGAUUCCCACGUAAAAGUCCUCCAAGCGUUUGUGCUGCCAAGGGCAAGCCAUCGCAUUUGGUCACUAUCUUCUUGCCGAUUUCCUCCAGUGACUUAUGUGAACUGAAAUCUCUCGUCCCCAAUGAAUGUUGAACGAACACAGCUAGACAAUCAUUAUCUGACAACUUCUUUAAUUGAUAAGCCGGAACAGUACCCAUAAUUUUAGCAACCUCUUGAUUGCGAGUAGUGACAAUAAUUUUACUUCCCGGUGCGCCAAGUUCAAAGGGACGUCUGAGUUGAUCCCAAUCAUGGUAAUUCCGGUUCCACACGUCAUCUAAAAGAAGUAAAAACUUCUUUCCAGAUAGUUGCUUAUUCAGUUUCUCUUGAAGUGAAUUCAAGUUGAGAUUAUCUACGUUCUGGUCAGCAACAAUGGAUGUUAAGAUUGUUUUUGUUAGCCUGAUAACGUCGAAAUCAUCAGAGACACAAGUCCAUGCCUUGAGAUCAAAAUGAUCCACCACUUGCUUAUCAUUGUAGACAAGCUGAGCAAGAGUGGUUUUGCCCAGCCCACCCAUACCUACAAUAGGUAUAACGGAGAAUCCACCAUCGUUGCUUAAAUCAUCCCUCAACAGCAGUUCAACAACAUCCUUCUUUUCGAUUUCCCUGCCAUAUACUUUGGCUUCCUUCACCAAAGAGGUUGUCUCUCGCCUUUUCCUGUCUUUUGUGGUCCUCCCACCCGAACUUACAUUCAAACCCAGCGAGUCCUUCUGUGUUACAAUAUCUUGAAAUCUGCCAUUGAUCUCUUUGAUUUUGGACAUCAUGGCGUAAUCGAACUGAAUCGAUUGUGGAGUAAAAGUGGUGCAGCAAGUAGGAAUGAGCUUCCGAAACUUACUUGUUCUUGUACGACUGCAACUGGGUUGAUCAUGAGCCGCAGCUGGAUCUCCAUUUCCAAGCAGCAACUUCCUCCGGAAAGCCUCAGUUUGAAACUCAUCCAGCAAGUCUUCAACAUCAAAAGCCAAGUUCUGAAGCUCGCCAAGCCACAACUUUACAGACUGAUCAGUCUUCUUCUCCUCAGCAUCAGCAAGCACCGCCUUGAUUAUCAUCAACAUAUUCUUCCACUUCUUUAGGUCGGCUUGGAUUUGCUCUUGGCGUGCAAACAGCCGAAUCCCCUCCGAAGCUAACUUAUUGACCAGCAAAUCAACGGACGCCGUAAGAAUUGCCUCUCCGAUGAAUGACAUUUUUUUCUUCUUUUUCUUUUUUUUUGGUUUUGCAAAGAAAGAAAGGAGCAGAAUUAUGGGUUAUGGAAAGCAGAAUGAGAAAAUGGAUAAUUAAGCAGAAUGAGUUUGUGAUUGUGAAGGGUCUGGCCCAGCAAGCUUAGUAGAAAUCACGCGUUGAUACUUUAUUGACCAAUGACUAAUAAUUUGGCAAUUCACUCAUCACCACCACUUGGUAAGCAAAAUGAAAAUGCUUAGUAAUUAAGUGUCAAGGGUCAAGCAAAAUACGACGUAAAAUGUGUCAAGGGUCUCCCCACUUGUUGUUCCUUGCAGCUUAGAAAAGAAAAACAGAGCCCACGACCCAUUAAUAUUUAGCCGCCCACCAAUCAUCACCACUUGUUACGAAACCAUCUCAUAAACCAAGUUCGUAGGUCGAGCAGUUAAUCCAGUGUCUAUGUCCUAGAACCUUCAUCUCAUAAACCAAGUUCAAUCAAAACGUUCCUCUCUAUAUAUUUUUUUUUUCAAAACUCCUAAAACGUUUCUUUUUAGAGACAUUUUACUUUAUUCAUCUCAUAUGUUAUCUAACAAAUAGACACAAUUGAAAUCACUCUAAAGUGAAGAUGAAAGGGGAAACAAAUAACCUUCCGACCACCAGUAAUUUAGCAAGCUUCACUUUAUUCCACCAAAGUGUAAAUAAAGCCAGCCCCCACCACCAUCAAUAAUUUUGCAAGCUUCACACGCUUGUUGUCUUCUCCUUGACGAACUGGACAUGAGUGCACCAAGAAUCAAUGACAGAAUUUUAAAAAUAAUAAUAAGAGAAAAACCUACACAUUUUCGACUUAGAGUAGAACCUUAAUUAAUGCUAAAAUCUACUCAGCUAACAUUUUCAAAAUAUUGUUCUUUAUGAUUUUCAAAACUGUGAUUAAGGUUCAUCUCAAAUGUUUGAAGAGAGUCUAUCAGUUCUUCAAAUGUUGAAUAAUAAAAAAAAAAGUUGAAUAUGGAGGAAAAUAGAAUGCAUCCAUCUUCGCUGCUGUAGAAGUCUUCUACUUAUAAAAGUAAGUUAGAAUAAACAAUUUUAAUCUCUCUUUUUAUUCCUACAAGUGCACUACAUUUUUUUUUUAAUCUCAAUGCAAAGUCGUAUCGAAAUGUUAUAUUCCUAUUGUAAAACAAAAUUUUAGAUAAAACAAAUUCGACUCAUUUUUUAAAGAUAUAUAUUUAGUAGGUUACCAACAUAACUAACAAAACGUGAUUAUUACACUAAAUGAAAUAAAUGACAGUACUAUCACCAAUAAUUUAGCAAGUUUCGCAUGCAUGUGUUUCUAAACACAUUAUAUGGAAUCAAACAACAGUGAUACAAAGAGAAAAGUAGAAAUCCUCUGAUUAUAUUUUUUUUUUCUUUUUCAAAAGAAAUGGUGGGGUUGGUUUGUUUGCAAAGUUAUUAGCGAGGGUCUAUUUGUUUUUGUUUUAACUUUAUUAAUCAAUAAGCAAACAUGUAAUUAUUUGUAUAUAUCACUAGCAUCACAUUAUUGUGAGGUAUUGCGCUUAAUAUUCACAAUUUUUGUAAGAUGAAUUUGUAAGACUAAUUAAUUUUGAUGAAAAUGUAUCGUUACUAAGAUAUUAUUUAAUUCAUUAAGUUAACUUGAGGUAUUAAUAUUUACUAAUUGUGGUGCUGAUUAAUUUAUUUAACUUGUCACUAUUUGCAAUUAAGAAUGAAGUUCAAUCAAUUUAUUGAGUAAAAAAAAAACAAAGAUGCAUUUUUUUCUUUAGAUUUUAAUUCUUAGGAUUUGAUUUCACGCUCUUUUGUUUUUUUACGUUGCUAAAGAGGCAGUAAAAAGUUUGCUGAAUGUCAUCAAAUACUUGUAUCUCAUCUCACAAAUUGGUAAUAUUUGUUUGGUAUUUCAUCUCAACAGACGCAGUAAGGAUUACCUCUCCAAUGACUGACAUUUUUUUUUUUUUUGGGGACAAAGAAAGAAACAGAAUUUUGAGUUUCGAAAAGCAAAAUAAGAAAAUUGAGCAGUAAGUGUGAAGGGUCAAGCAAAAUGCAUGUAGCAAGUCUUCGACUUGUUGUUUAUCCCACUAAAGUGAAAAUAAAAACAGAGCCCACGACCCCUUAAUAAUUGAGCAAUUCACCAAUCACCAGUCACCACCACUCGUUACCAUGAAUAUAAUAAAUUGCACCUUGAUAUUUGCAGGGUCCAGCAACAUUGACCUAGUGUCCGGGUAAAUGCUGAAUAAAGAGGAAAAUGGAAUGUAUCCACUCCGAACCUUCGCUUUACAACAAUUUUUAAGAAUCACAAUGGUAAUUCCUACUAUCAUGUUAUCUUAAUGUCGUGUUAAAAUAAAUUAUAAUAUAUUUUUUAUAUGAACACUCUUUUCAUUUAUAAAUUUUUAAGUUUCUAAUAUUUUUCUCACUUUUUUAAUCUUAAUAUUUAUAUUCCUCUCUUCAAAUUUUUUUAUUAUUUAAUUUUUAAAGAAAAAUAUGAAAAAAAUAAGAAAAACAUUAUACUUAGAAAAUAAUUAAUAUUUUAUGGGUCUAAUGCAAUUUUGUCUCACCUAUAAAUUUUUUUGUUUAGCAAUUAGUUUGAGAAUCUUAAAAAAUUAUUUGCAGUAGGAUAAAAUUUUAUUUAAUUUAUUUUUUUACUGUAUUGUAUCUUAAUUAAUUAAGUUGUUAUGUUUAUUACAAGAAUUUUGUUUUGGCUUAGAGGAUUGCUUCUUAAAUUCAUAUUAUUUUAAUGAUAAUAAAAGAUAUUUAUAUUGUGCAAGCAAAAUAAAAUGAAGAGAGAAAGAAAAUAUAAAUGAUUUAAUUCUAUUUAUAUUUGUCCUCAAAUGUAAUUGUAGUAUAAUAGGAGUUUUAUAAGAUUAAUGAAGGGGUGCCAAUAGUCGUACUCUUAUAGAAAAUGACUGUAAUAAUAGUGGAAAUUUAGUGUAAUAAAAAGGAUAAACCGUAAGAAAUUAAUGUUUACUUCAAGAUACGUUAUAAAUAUUGUUUUUCUUAAGAUGUUAUUUGCCUCCACCAAUCGAAUGAUGCACAUGAAUUAAGCAAAUAUGCUUCCAUGAUACAAUAAAGCGCUUAUUUAUUUGUUUACGUUGUAUGUCGACGAAGCAAACUUAAAUACUUUUGAAUGUUGUAAACCUACCAAGAAUCAAUAUAUUAUUUCUACAAAAAGAAACAAUAUAUUAGAUAUUUAAAGCAUAAAAAAUAGACGUUAAUUGAUUAAAUUUGAUUUAGCAAAGACACCUAAGAAAAGAGGGGGGUAACGCCAUUUUUUUGGUGUUUAAAUAGUCUAAAUAUGCCCCCUUUUUGUCCAUCCCCUUUUCCCCUUUUAUUGGGAUUAUUUUUUUUUUUAUAAUCUCCACCCCUUCAUGGUUAUUAGACCAACCAAUUAAAUCCCUCCUAAAGCUACUUAACUUUUUGCCCCCCAACUUAAAGGAUCCCAUAGGGAUUGCUUUUCGGAUGUUUGCCUUUUUUUUUUUCACUUUUUUAUAUUUUUUUUGGGGGUGUUGGGGGGGGGGGGGGGGGGGGGAGUUUAUGAAAAUUAAAGCAAAUAAGAAAGUCAAUUACAGCAGAAUGAGUUUGUGAUUGUGAAAGGUCGAGCAAGUCUACAAAUCAAUUAGACAAAACCCACCACGAGAGUUAAAAUGGAAAAAUAGCGCCCACCACAAAUAUAAAAUUGGAGGAGCUCAAGAUCCUGCCUUUGCUUUACAUAUUAAAUUAAAUAAAAGCCAAACCAAUAACCUUGCCUUUGCUUAACAUGAUUAAUUAAGCACUACUUCAGAAAGAAUACAAAAGUAAUGAACCUUGUAUUAAUCUUAAAUUUUAGGAAUAAAGCUACAUUUUCUCCUCUUACCAUCUUUUCAUGUUCAUUUCAAAAGUUUGAAGAGAGUUUAUCCAUUCUUCUUCUAAACUAAGAAAAUCAACAUUCUUACUUUCUUCAAAUGUUGAAUAAAGAAAAAUAAAUUAUUGAAUAAGGAGGAAAUUAGAAUGUAUUUACCUUCGCUAACCUAAAAUAAAAAAAAUUAAUCUCUCUUUUAUUACUAAAGUACACUAUUUUUUUAAUAAUUGUAUUGAUAAUGACAAUAUAUAUCAUCGAUUAUAUUCUUGUUGUGUUGAAAUAAGGUAUAAAAAUUUUUGGAUCAACAGGAAUUCGACUCAUUUGUUAAAAGUACAUAUUUAAUAUACUAAAAACAAAAAUUAACAUAAACAUGAUUAUUACACUAAAGUGAAAUGAAAGCCAGUACCCGCCGGUUCACCAACAGUAAUUUAGCAAACUUUGCAUUCUAGGAAAUGGACAUUGGUGAAUUAACCAAAGAAGACUUCCUUUGAUAAUGCGGGUAACGCCGGUCUGUCAUGGAAUGGACAUUGGUGAAUUCGACUUCCUUUGACGUUUAGUUGACUAUUUUCACAUCUAGCAGCCCUUGGCGUUUUGUUUUCGUUCGCUCUGUCGUCUUCAUCGCUCUGUCGUCUUCGAUCUUUAUGGCGACAUGGGUAUAUGUGUAUGGUAAACUGUGCGGGUGAAGAGUGUCGACAUGAUGCUGUCACCUUGCUUUAAUUAAUUGCAGUGACGUUAUAAAGUAAGCCUCAAAAAUUUAAAAUCGUGGGUCAAGCCCUGGUGUACAAAUCAGAAGUUGUAACAAAGAAGAAUUUAAAAUUUUUCUUCUUUGUUUCUUUCAUGCAUUAGGCUCGUUAACAAUUCAACAUACCAGGGAUGAGGGAUGCAAGGAAACAAUUAUUUGGUUUGAGUGUUUGGUAUUUUCUCGAUUCGUUCAGAAUUUGAUGAGUUUUUCUGUUUAAAUUGUGCGUAUAAUUUUUAUUUUUAAUUUUCUGACGUCGAUAUCUUUAGCAUAGAUUUUGUCUAUGAUACAUUAAAAAAGUUUGAAUCGCACAUGAUUCACUGUGUUGUAAGAGUAAAAUUUCUUCUUAUUAUUUAGAAUUCAUAUUUUUCAACUAAACUUUUAAUACAAUAUAUCGAGACAGAUCCUCGUGAUGCACAUACAUUUUCGCUUUUAGCCGUGCUGCCUGCUCUCAAAUGUACACUUAUAAAUUCCAAAUGAAAAGAAAUUUUGAAAUUGCGCAGCUCUGGCCAGGGAUCACCUUUUUGCCUUGCUAUUAUCUACAAUAUUUAUUUUUGCAAUCCGCAUGCAUGCUCGGUUAUGAUCACCCACGUGAUCGGCAUUAAGUUGUUUUUUAUCUUCUUAUUAACAAAUUAUUUAGUGUGCGGACUCCAUUCAUGCUCCCACGUUAAUCUUUCCAAAUUUUGUGCAAUAAAAGUUCAGCCGAUCCGCUAUUCACUUUGCCACAGUCUGCUACUUCAUUCUAUUUGUUUACUGCAUAUGAUCAUUANNNNNNNNNNNNNNNNNNNNNNNNNNNNNNNNNNNNNNNNNNNNNNNNNNNNNNNNNNNNNNNNNNNNNNNNNNNNNNNNNNNNNNNNNNNNNNNNNNNNAGAAUUUAUGAUUUUCUAUUAAGAUCUGUAAUAACCCUUUCUUAAUUUUCAAUUGUCCUUAUGAGUAUAUGUCAAUUUGGAUUAUUAUUCCACAUAUACAUAAUGUAUAAAGAAAAGAGUAAUGAUACUGCCACAAACUCUUGUACAAAUUUAUUUUGUACAAACUGACGUGUCAUUAAUUCACUGGUUGAAUGAAAAUAUAAAUUAAUAAAAACAAAUUAUGUGGGCUAAGUGAUAUUUAAUUCAACCAAUCUUAUCAUGCCUCAUCAAUUUGUACAAAAUAAGUUUAUACAAGAGUUUGUGACUGUAUCAUUACUCUAAAGAAAAUUAUUGGCAUAGAAAUUUUUUGCACAAAAAAAAAAAUCCAAGAUGUUUUUGACUGUUGGCGGCACAAUACAUAAAGGUGAAAUUAGGUUAUCGUUUGGAUUUUUUCAUGAGACACCCUAAGGUUUGUUUAGUUUAUGCUUUUGGCCAAAGUUUAUAAUUUUGUUUCAUUUAAGUCCAAUUGAAUUUGCAACGGCCAUCACAUGCUGUCUUCAAGCCGAAAUUUAGGAGCAAUUGCAUGUGAAAUUGCAGUGUAGUCCCUGGUAUUCUAUUUUAUUAAAUUAAAGAUAUGAUUAAUUGGAUUUACUAUGAUAAAGCCGCCAACUUUAUGUGCAUCAAGCCUUAUAAGUUUUGUUCUCGUAAUUUUGAAGCCUCCGCUCAUUAAUUAAUGAUCUCCAAAAUUUCUUAAUGUUCCAAUUUUAAUGUUUGAAAUUUGAAUUGAUGUUUGUGGUUUUAUUUACUUUAUUAAAGAAAUUACUUUGUUAUAAAUGUUCAAUUUGACAUUCAUAUUAUGAUAAUUUGUUAGUUACUAAAGUAGCCAAAUUAGAAAGUUUUCAUAGAUGUCAAAUUAAAUUCAAUUUCAAGUUCUCAUAAUUAUUGUGAUGCGUAUUAUUUAAUGACAUGAUGAUCUUGUUGUAUGAGUAUAUUGAAAUUCACAGAUUAUAAAAUAUUUAGGAAUUGGUCAAAGGUUGAUUAAUUAAUUUUAUAAUAUAUGAUCAUGAUUUGUGGAUAAUUAAUAUGCUUGAUUAGAUAUGUUUAGUAUAUCCAAAGAUAGCAAGCGUGUCUAGUUUAUGUAUAGUUGAUUACUAAUUAUGUGAAAUUAAAGUUAAGCAUCAAUUAUGUUUAUUGCAGUGUAUUGUUGUAUCACCAAAUAAAUUAAGCUUCUUAAUUUUAUGUCAGUAAGUAUUAAUAAAUUAAUAUAGGUAACAUUAAAUAAUUUAAAUUAGCUGUAGAAAAUUUUAAAAUAUUUUAUUCAUAAUAAAAAAUUAGCGAUAUUAUAUCAUGAAUUAAUUAAUAUGUAAAUUAUUUAUUUAUCAAAAUCAUUUUCAUUUAAUUAAAUAUUAAUUGAGGUUUAAUUAUUAGUUAUCAAUAAAAAUUAACAUGGUAUUGUCUUUUUUAUGGUCCUGGCCCCCAUCUCCAAAUUAGAAGCAAUUCUCAAACCCGCCCCAUACCUAAAAGUUCACAUUUGGGGAGCAUCCCCAAUUUUGUGUAUGUAUAUAUGAUUUGGUGAGUUACAAGAAGCAUUACCAGCAAAAGCACAGAAAUGGUUUCGUUUCAGAAGCAAAUAUGAUGCUAAGGAAAGUUUCGUCUUCAGCAUAAUAACUAUAUAAUAUCAUAAUGAAUUGGUGUGCAUUAACCAUGCUCCAGGUUGAUUUGGAAAGUCAUGAUGCUGUUUCCAUUUCAAUUUAGACUCCUUGCUUAUCAGCCAAAUGAUUUAUAAGUAAUAGCCAGUAGAAGUUUUUCUCAAAAUGGAAAUAAGUUGUCUUACUGGGAGAGUCCACAUAUGGUAUCUAAUUUGUGGUGUUAUUAUUUCAAUUGUAAGUUCCCUAAUUCUGGCCAAUGCACAGAUUCAGAAAGUUAUAUUUGGUGAGUUUUUUUUUUUUUAAAGGUUUUGGAUACAACGGCAAGAGAUAGGGAAAAACAACAAAGGGAGAGUCAAAACUCCACAUUAAGCUAACAUUUGAAUUUCCAUUUAUACUUUGCUCCACUCAUUCUAAUGUUUACUGGCUAAUUGUAGUUUAUGGUGUAGCAUCCAAAAAAGAUGACUCAUAGAAUUUAUUCUUUCGGACCACUAAGUAGCUUAAACACACACACACACACACACACACACAAACACAUGUACAUAUGAAUGUGUGUGUAUGUAUAUGUAUAUAUAUAUGUAUGUGCGUAUAUAUAAUCCUUCCCUAAUAUAGACAUCUCUUUUCUUUUUUUUUCUACAUAGACACACUAUCACUAGUAGAAAAAUAGCCUUCUAUGAUACUAUUUUGGUAUCGGCAGCUUGUUUUAUUAACACCGAGUUUAGUGUCAUUAAUCACGGUGCAAGAAAUUUACUGACACAAAUUUUUUGUGUCAACAAUUCUGUGUUACCUUAGAAUCAAAGAAAUGCUGAUUCCAUAGUAUCAAAAUAAUUGCAAUUCUAUACAAUCAUGUAGAUAGUGAUUCUAUGGUAUGAAGCAAGUUUUGAUGCUCUAAUGUCAUUUAUGUUCUGAUUCAAUAAUAUUGGUAUUUACCAAUGCUAUAUUGGUGUCAGCAGUUUUAAAAGUAUUUAAAAAAAAUAAUGAAAUGGUCAUUAUUACAAUUGUCAAUAAGCUGGAAUCAAAACUUAAUAAUCAACAGUUUUGAACAAUGAUUAUGAAACAAAUGUUGGUAUCAAAAUCCAAUAAACUCCAUUUAACAAUUGCCAAUAGGCUCCAUUCAGUAUUCAAUAUUCAACUUUCAACAUUGAAUAACCAAAUUGGUUCUAUCCAAUAUUCAGUAACCAAAUUCAUCAACCACAGUUUCAAUAGCACAACAAUGCUAAAAACCACAGCUAGUUUCUAAUCUAAAAAAACUACAACUUAUUUGUCAUUACGGCAACCUGAGUGGCAGUACUAAACAAUAAAGGCAAAUGGAAUUGGUGUGCUACCGCUAUCAUUCUCCAUGAUCUUCAAUGGCGUGAAUAAUAGUACCAACAACAAGCAACGACAAUACUCAAUUCCAACAAAAUCCACCCAACAAAGGAAAAUGGUUCAUCAAAGUUUGAAAACCACAAAUUUGUUUUACUACACCACUGAGACUAUUCUUGAAACCUGGAAGUAGUUCCUACAUAUAAAACGAAAUCAAGAGUAGGCUCCAACUAAAAAAGGCUUCAACAACAGAGAAAGAAGUUCACUAUACAUACAGAUCAAAGUUAGAACUUUAGCCAACCUGUGGCUUCCUUGCAGUAAUAGAGCAAUCAUGAUCAAAAUGAUUCAAAUGGCCUUUGACAGCUGAGCACCCAUUUAAAGGCAGCAGUGGUUUCUUACGGGAUUUUGAAAGUUUUUGAGUUGUUUCUUCCAUGGGUGUUACAUUUUCAGUGGAAUUAUCCAGUUUCUCUCCUUCAGAAUUCGUACAUGAUGAAUACAUCCGCACAAUGUUAUAUACAUAUGACCACAUGUAGAUGGCUUCAAUCUGAAAUAUCAAUAAUAAUGAAAAAUCAAAAUAUUGAAAAAGAUCCCAAAUUAGUUUGCCUGAGAUGACUAAGGAACAUUCUUAAUAUGAUCCAUCCAAAUACACCAUAAAAAUUAUCCAAAACUAUUCAUAGAAGUAAAGCAAAGAAUUGAAUUGAGUUUAUUCUUAAUCCAUUUCAUUAAAAAAUACUGCUACUUCAGCAAGCAAACCAUUGGUUAAGAUUAUAAGGCAACAAAGGAACAUUUAUAACAUUUUUGCUCACCUAUCUUCAUUUGACUCAAAUAGAAAGAAGGAGAGCGAGAGAGGGAAAAGAACCUGCAGCACAGCAUCCUAAAACAAGGCCCCACAAAUCAUAAGGAGCUUUUGUAGUUUUUAGAACUAUCCAUCCAAGUGCUGAGCCAACGAUGAAUGUAACAAGGAUAUUUAACGGCAUAAACCACCUACAUAGUUUUAUUUUAUUUAUGAAAGCUACUUUCAAUGAAUUGACGGAAGAAAACGAGAAAACAUGGUAAGAAGACCAAAAGAAUAAUUAAAAAAAUAGAAGAAACUGCACAGGUUUCGUAAAGAAUGCAAACUCACAACAUGCCCAUGCCUUCAGCUGUCAUGUGCUCUGCAAGACUGCUACCAAUAAGUGCUGGAUUGCAGAAGUAAAACACAACCUGUACAACAUUAAAAGAACCAAAUCCUUUAACAGCUUGGCAGGCUUUAGUAAAUUUUUUUUUGAAGAAAAAAUAUAACAUCAUUUGAAUUUUUUUUACAGUUAAAUUGCAGUGAAAAUUACCUUGUUCAAAUGCUGGCGUACAAGUCCCCCAAUAUAUCUAUCCGAUCUAGUGCAAGAAAUAAGCCAAGAGCAGUAAGCAGAAGUACCUUUAAAACUGGUAUAAAUGCAGCAAUAAAGAGGUCCAGAAUCUUCAUAGUGGGGUCUUUAAGUCCUCAGAUUAUCUAUAGUACUUGCUGCAGAGGAAAAGGCAUGAUAUGCUACCACAUGAGCAAUAGCUUUUAUAGAAACAAGCCUAAAAUUACUUUAAAAAUCAAUUUAACAUUGUUCGUAAUAGCAAUUUUACCCAUUAAAAACCGAUCUUCAAGCAAGUUUGUAUUUUUCACCACAAAAAUUAAAUCUAGACAAAUGACCUAAAAUAAAAUUUUUCUAAAGCACAUUUCAUAUUUCAUUAAAUUACAAAAAAGGAUUGCGUAUGACUUGAGAGGAAAUUCUGAUUGAUUCACAGUUUUAGCAUAAUAAGAAUACAGAUCACAAAUUAAAAUCCCAGACAACAUACGUGCAAAAUCUUUUUCUUUUUCUUUAUUGGGAAAUUAUCAUUCGUAUACCCUAUAUUUGCUUUGUUAUAAAAAAUACUACAACACUUUGAGGGUGUAUCAAUCCUCCACCCUUAGUUGACAAAAUGUAUUAGCUGACCACCAAACCGUUAGUUGAUGUUUAAAAGUUAACGGAAUUACAAUGAAUUGACGAUUUUACCCUUGAAAAUUAUCACUUGUAUACCCUUAAAUUCUAUAUUUAUCACUUGUAUACCCUUAAAUUAUCACUUGUAUCAUAUGAAAAGACUAAAUUACCCUUCUGACAUCAUCAUACUUAAACGGCAACUAACAGUUUGGUGGUCAGCUGAUACAUUUUGUCAACUUAGGGUGGACGAUUGAUACACCCUCAAAGUGUUGUAGUAUUUUUGAUAAUUGAGUAAACUAAGGGUAUAUAAAUGAUAAUUUCUCUUCUUUAUUAAAAAAAAUACCAGCCAAAAGGAAAGAAAAGGAAAAAAAAAAAAAACAAAUAUAGUUAGGUGGAUAGAUAACGAGGAAGGAGUAAAUAAAUUAUUGCUUGGUUAGAUAUCAUCUCAUAGUAACGAAUGAAAAGCAGAGAUAAGAACAGAUGAACCUCGUCUCUCCACCAGUGGCUUGGGGUCUUGGGGCCCAUCACGCGUGGGAGAGGAUUUCAGUUGGAGGAAGAAGGCGGAGCAUCGGGUGGCAACCUGAAAAGCUGGUGGAGGUAAAGGGAGUGAAGGAGACGGGAGCCACCGACACCGAGAGCUAGAACCACGGAUCUGAGCUCUUGGGUAGCACACCCAAAGUUAGCGAAUUGGUGGAUGCAUGUCUACUCUCAAAGGCGCUCGUCUUGAGCCGUCUUGUGCCAUAUCUUGUUGACGCAGGCUGCCCGUGCCAAGGUCCCGCCGUCCGUGUGUUUCAACUUUCAACACCUCGAACAGGAAGUUCUCAUCUAGAUUUGUAAGGCCAGUUUCUUUGGGAGGCUGAGAGUUUCUGUUUUGUUAAGACUUAAGAGGCUGAGAUAGCAAGAUAAAAACAAAUAAGAUUAUAAUUAAAUUAAACGUGAGAAAUUACUUUUCUAGCAAAAGCUUAAUCCAACGCCUCCAUUACUUCUUUUUUAUGGAUAUAUUCUUUAAUUAUUUUUCGUUAUUUUACUUCCUGUUCAUCAAGUUUGCGAUGUUUACAACAAUUAUUCAUUUGAAAAGUUAUCCAAUAAUGUUAAUACGUGAAAAUUGAGAAUAUGUAUAGCGAAAAAAAUUUCUUCAAAAAUGAAUUAUAUAAUCUUGACUUUGGAAAAUGUGGCCAGAACUGCAAAAAUGAAGAUUAAUUAACCUUGGAUGACAAUGAUUAAUACCCGUCCAUUUCUCCUAAGCUCUGUUUCUUACUUUGAUGCGCACAUGACUUGACAGCUUCAUCUUCCUCUAGCUUCCUUUCGUGAAACGUACUAACAAUUAACAGUAGUCUACUAACAAAUUAAGAUAUAAUCCAAUAUCUUUAGUACAAAUUCAAAUAGUCUCAUUUUGACUUUGAGCAAGCUUUUUAAUUCCACACUCAGAAACAAAAUUUUGUGAAUUCACAUUAUUUAGCAAAAUAAUUAACAAAUUAAUUGUGAUUAUGGUUGACGAUCAUGUUGAUAAGCAUCAUAUACACUAUCGUUGCAUAUUUAGUGAAAUGAUGCAAGGACGAAGUAUCACUUGGCUGUAAGAAUUAGUUACCCAACAAUUUGUGGAGUUUGUUUUAGAUAAAAUAAAUAAAUAAAUAAUAGAGAGCAUAAUUAAGCCGACAUGGAUAGACUAACUUAAACAAUAUAUUGAACACAAUUAUUAUUUUUAUUAACUUCCUUUUUCAAGAAGACACUGUACACAAAAGUAAAUUAAAACAAAAAUCUCUUGUACAGUUCAAGAGAUUUUAUAAGUUGAACUGAGCCAAAUAAAGACAUUCACACAAUUGAUAGAUAAUGAUUGAAAAAAUAUUAUGCUCAAAAUAUUUUCUUUGUAUGUCAAAGAACGAGAGAGUUACAAGCUUAUAUACAACUAUUAAGGUCAGCCAAAUCUCUUAGAGUAAUGGCUAGACAGGCUGUCCUAUUUAUGACUACAUACAUUAAGGAAUGAAAUCAUUUGUACAUAAGGAAUAUUAAUAUUAUCAAGUGAUACUUGCUCAAAAUAAAGAUUGUGUCUAGAAUAAGGGAUUGCCGAUGCCAAAUCUUGCCGCUAAUAAUAUUCGGUGAGCUGUAGCUACUGAUUGUAUGGUUUAUCAAUGAUAACCCAUCAUUUUAUUUAAUUAAUAUAAUACGGAAAGAGUAACUCGCACUUAAGUAGUGUAGUUGAGAUUUCUUCCGUGUUGAGGGACAAUAAAGAGAUCCAGAUUGUCGCUCAUGCUCUCAUCAUUAACAAUACUUAUAAGAGAUAUUGGAUAACCCGCAGACCACUCGACCUUCCCUAAAAAUUCACAACAACAAUUGUAUUCAUUAAUACAUAUAUUAAAAUAAAAAUUAUAAAUGACAUUCAACUGAACAUGGCCUGAGAACCUGGAUAAGGAGCUUCCAUGUUCUUCAAAUUAGAAAAGAUAUCUUCUAACUUCUGGUGAACCGUAAUCGAAAUUGAAGUUGCUUUUGUUUCUGGUUUGAUAAUAUGAUGUUGAUGUAUUUAUAUACGAGUCUUCGUAUAGUAUAGUGCUGUAUGCAAUACAGCCCCUUCAACAGUAAAAAGGAAACUUGAACAACUAGUAUUUUACCAGUUGUACAUUUAAUAAAUUUUUAAAAAUUAUUUUUAAUGCAGAAAAAAUAAAAUAAAACUGAAAAAAUUAAGGAAAUUUUGUAAAUAUUUAACACAAACAAUAUUUGAGAGAGAAAAAUAUUUUUAAUUUCAACAAAAGUUAAAAAAAUUAAAAUAAGCAUGUCUCUACUCUUUUGUUUUAAUGUCAAUAUAUUAGGUGACAUUCCAAGUUAAUUUCACAUAUACCUAAUUUUGAUUAAACUUUUUCACUAAUUGGUUUGCUUAUCUCCACUUUCGGAUCCACUAGUUUUAUGUUUAAUAUUCCUACUAAACUCGUUAAAUAUUAAUAUUUUGGGUCAAAUUCCAAUUAAAUUUAUUUCUCGUUAGACAAGUAUCAAAAUUCCGUUAAACUUUCUCCACAUUUGGUUCAUGUGUUUCAACUAUUAUUCUACUAGUUUUUCAUUUAAUAUUUCAACUCGUUUAUCAACAUUCCAAUUAUAUGGGUUAGAUAUUGAUAUUACUUUUUUUGGUUUGAUCAGUUCUAAAUUUUGGUAAUGUUUUUCCAUCCAUAGGUUCACAUGUUUCAACUUAUUGGUCCACUAAUUUUACGUUUGAUAUUUCUACUAAAUUUGUCAAGUACCAAGAUUUAUUGUUAGCUAGCUUCCAAGUAAUUAACAUUAUUCGUUGGAUAAGUUUCAAGUUUUGGUUGUUCUUUCUCUCUUAAUGGUUCACGUGUUUCCUCUAAUUUUUUCCCUAAUUUUGCGUUGAAAAUUGCCAUUAAUUGGUUGAGAUUCCAAUUACUAAGGUUAGGUACUAGGUUUGUUUUCUAUAACUUUAUUUUUUAUUUUGUAGAUCUCUAAUUUUAGUUGUGCUUUCCCCAUUUUUGGUUGACGUAUUUCAAUUGUAAUUCCACAGGUUUUGUGUUCGUUAUUCCAACUAACUUGGUAAAAUUCUAAUUAUAUGGGUUAAAUAUCAAUAUCACUUUUGCUUGGUUUGAUUAGUCUCAAGUUUUGGUUAUACUUUUUUAUCUUUUGGUUCACAUGUUUCAACUUAUUGGUCCACUGGUUUUGCGUUUCAUAUUCCUAUAAAGUUCGUUAGGUACAGUAUUAUGGGUUAGAUUCCAAGUAAAUAUCAUUUUUCGUUAAAUGAGUUUCUAAUUUUCGUCAAACUUUUUCUCUUAAUGGUUCACGUGUUUCAUCUAAUUUUUUCCCUAAUUUUGUGUUGAAUAUUCCCAUUAGCUAGUUGAGAUUCCCAUUACUGAGGUUAGGUACCAAGUUUGUUUUCUAUAACUUUAUUUUUGGUUUUGUAGUUCUCUAAUUUUGGUUGUGCUUUCUCUAUUUUUUGUUGACGUAUUUCAAUUGUAAUUCCACAAGUUUUGUGUUCGUUAUUCCAACUAACUCCACAUGUUUUGCGUUCAUUAUUAGAAUAAAAGCAACAAGUUCUAUCAAAAUUUAAGAAUGAUUACUAGCGCUUUCAUGCUCGUGGAGGUGAGAAUGGGAGACGCUUGUUGUCUUAAGUGACUAUUCUUACCCCACUAAAUUUAUAAAUUUAAUCAUUCCUUCUCUAUAUGGUGUUUCCACUCCUAACAAUAAUUUUCUUAAUAUUAAAAUUGUCAAUAAUAAUAAUUACAAUUAUUAUAACAAAUAGUAAUAAUGAUAAUAAUUGAUUGAGGAUAAAUUAAUAAUUUAUAAUAACUCAUUCUAAUUUAUGUUCACAAAGUAAACAUAUUAAUAGCAAUAUAGAAUAUUCCAAUUGUGUUUCAUUCAUCCAACAAAUAUCAUAUUUUGUUUGUUAUUCUUCAUUUUUAUUGUAGCCCAUUCUAAUUUUUUUUUAAUUUUUGUAAAUUUCAAUUAUUUAUUAGUGAGCACAUAAAAAAUUUAAUAAAAAUUAAAUUUCACAUUAGAAAGAGCAUGCAAGGUAGACUUUUGUAGGGUUUGCAAAUCAUAUUGUAGGUAUUUGGAAGUUCACAAAAAGUAAAUAAUGUUAUGUACAGAAAUAAGUUCUUGUUUAUAACGUUUUGCUGUAUUUCAGUGACACUUUGUUAUAUAAGGUGUUGGAUGCUAGGAUUAAGUAUGGGAUUGAACUAAUUUUGGAAUUAAAUAUUUAUCCAAUGUUUGUCAAGCUUAGUUGGAUUGUAUUAAGGGGGUAGUAAUUUAAAUUUAAUUCUAAAAUCAUGGGAUUAAUAAUGGUAAUUUACGCAUGGGUUUAGUUGGGAUAAGAUUAAUGAAAAAAGUUGUCCAUUUAUGAGAUUUUUAUUUAUAUCAUUUUUUAUUUGCACCUAAUAUUAAUUAAUUUUUAUUAUGAUUUACUUAAAACUUAUUUAUAUUUAUUAUCUAUGAUCUAAUUAAAUUAAUAUAUUUACUUGUAUUAACUCCGGAGAUUAAAUGUUCACCACUAGUAUAUUUAGUAAUUUAUCGAUAAAAUUAAAUGUUUAAUUAUUUAUUUCGCAAACACACCAAUAUUACAUUAUUUCCCUAUUAUUGCCAUCGGUUCCCAAACAUCCAAGAGCUGGUUGGCAACAAGAGAAAAAAUAGGGGUGACUAAUAACGACGACUAUGUAAUCGUGGCCAAUAAAUUAUUUCACAGUACCUAAUUAUAGCAACGAUUAAAUGCAACCUGAAACAUGCUGUUGAAGUCAUAGUUAUGGAAAAUUUUACAAACUUCAAAUAAGACCAAAAAAUUACAAAGAGUAAUGUUAAAUAUCCCAAUUAAAAUUGUGCCACUAUUCAAUCACAAAUGUAGGAUAGGUGACUAUAAUUUUUCUAUAAGUAAUGCUUCGGUACUUUUAACAGUGUGAUGAGUAAACGUUAAUUUUUAUAUUUUAACUCAUGAUCGUUAAGAGAAAUUAAAUUUGGAGUGUGUUUUUCAAAUAAUGUGACACUUCAAAAAUAUAUAUCUCAUCCUUCUCCCCGUUCCUCAUCAAAAACCACUUUUUCCAAUUUUCUCCCACAGGAUGCAGGAAUGAAGAAUGCAUGGAAGGAGAAAUUACCUAUCCAAACAUCCAUACUUGGAAAUCAUCAACACAAACCACAAAAUUAAGCUAUCUUAUGAAAAAUGUCCAUAAUGCAUAAUCAAAACAUAACAAGUAUUGACAAAUUUGAAAACAAAAUACAUAAUAAUCAUAAUUUCUGGGCAUAAAACCAUGGGAUAAUCACUGAGGAGGUGGCGGAGAUGAAGAUGAGGAUGGCGGCGAAAUCCCGAGAGUCCGGCAGAUGAGCUGCUGGUCAUCUAGAAUCUGCUGCUGCUGUGAAAAAAGACGUUGCUGCUCAGAAUGGAAGUGAUAGUGGAACGCUGCAAACCGUGUCUGAAGCUCGUUCUGUUGUAUAGAUAUGGAACAAAUUAAAACUGUCCAUUUAUAUGGGUAAUGAGUAACUACCUUAUCUUUUUAAUAAUUAAAAGAAAAGUAUUCCUUUAAUUAUUGGUAGAAUUUAUUUUCCAAUUCACUAUAAAAAAUAAAUACUCCUAGGGUGAAGAAUAUAAGUAUAAAUUGAAAUACAAAUUUUUUUUCACUUAAAGUGUUUUCUCAAAUUUUUUUCCAUAAGAAACUCAAAAAUGUAUUAAUGAAUAAGUUGUAAAAUAGAAAGUGGACAAGCCGUCCACUUAAAAAACAAAGCCUAGCACUAUUUGUGCUAUACGAAAGUGUACCCAAUCACCCCUAAAGUAUUUUUCCAACUUUUUCUCGUAUUUUUUUAAAGAAUACUUAAUAGAUUAGAUAUUGUAAUAUAAAAAUUGAAGACAAACAAACAUGAAUGAUGUAUCAAUAAAUUAAUGGAGAUCUAUUACUAUAUUUGGAGUAAAAUUAUGAAUAAAUUAACAUAGAUAAUGAAUUUAUACCUUUACUCUAUAAUGCAAAUGGUAUUAUGUUUUUAAUUCAAUUUAGCACCGUACAAGAAAAGAUUACCUUAUCGCUUCCAAUCCCUCCUUUAGAUCUAAGCCACUUCAUGAACUUCUUGAUCCUUGAUUUGCUCCAGAAUGUGAUAGGAAGUAUAAUCCUAUAAGGCUGAAUGUUGUCAUAUGCAACAUUAUGGAGAUAAAAGAUCUGCAUGAGCAACUUAUAAUUAAGAAGAAUAAUAUUAUUCAUGGUAAGCAUAUGCUCAGCUUUAGUUGCAGAAACUAUGUCACCUGUAGGAAGUGCUAACAAAUUCCAAUGUAUGCUGCUUGUUGUUUCCACUAUUUCAUUGUCACCAGAAUGUGAGUUUGAAUUACCCAUCCUUUUAUCUCUCUUUUUGUACCUUGCCUUUUGUUCGGGAGGAAGGUCUUUGUAGGUUUUCCCAAUAUGUUUUUGUAACUGUCAAAAUGAUAAUGAAUAUGUCUUAAAACAUAAAAAACCCACAAAAUAAUAUCUAUACAUGCUACAUUUAAUGAAUAUAUACUAACCCCAAUCGUAACGGACAAAUCUAAAUUUUCACUUCUCAAACGCUUAACUUCUUCAUUGCUGCAAAAGCAUAACAUCUAAUUACUGUUAUUUGGUAUGGGCGUGUUUCUUUCCCGAUAGGUAAAUCACAACGACUACUUACAAGUAAGAGACAAAUCCAUAAGUUGAAGACAUUGGAAUUGCAUCCUGACCAUUUGCUUUUAGAAUAGGAGCACUUUUUUCUGUAAGCCCCCUGGUAGUUGUUUACGCUUUCGUCGGUGACUGUCCAAGAAAAAUUUUAAAUAAUUAAGUGAAGGAUAAUUAUUCCAUCAAUAUGUAUUAAUUUUUUUUUAAAAGAUGAGUUCCCCCACCUGCUAUUCAAAGUCACUGUGUACUCCUUACUUUUUAAUCUAUUAAACAUUCCAUAUAUGGUGGAAUUCAAGCACAAAUUAUAAUUUUAUUUUAUUUUUUUCCUCAUUUAUACCAAUGAAGAAAAAGAUGACAAGAAUAACAAAGGAAAGAUCUUUAUUUUUGCCCAAGACUAUGACCUCUCACAAACUCACAAUAAAUGAAUGACAGAGUGAAAAAAAAUUGUAUAUAAUAAAGGGAUGGGAUCAAGAGCUCUCAUUUCUUACUACAAAAUUUACGAAAUCUAAAUAUUUCAACAACAUAAAAUUUAAUGGAUAAUGAUCUUUGCUGCAUACAUUAAAAUCAUGACUAUUACCGUGCCCUCAACUUUGCGUCAUACAAACAAAUUUCAUCAUAAAACAAAGUACAGUGCUUUUUUUUUAAUAAAAAAAUACAUUAAAGGCUGCUGGGAAUGAGUAGGGGAUGAUGGGUUGUAACCAAGAUCAAAAUUAAUGCAUUGAAACCAAUAUGACAAAAUCCAUACUAUGAAUUAUUAUAAACACCUAAUAAAGGGUUAGUAUAUCAGAGGGAUUGAUACCUGGAAUGUACUUCAGCAAAACAGGACCCCUGAAAAUAAGAAAGAAAAGUUUUGCUCAACAUUCCAAAAAAAAAAGAAGGCCUGCUCUUUUUAAAAAAUUAUAUCGUUGUAACUUACACAAAAUUCCACUUAGCACAAUCGUAAGGACCAAUCGUAAGAUUAAGAUGAAGGCCUGCUUGCUGCACCAGCUUGAUAAACUUCAGCAGAUCAGAAUUCCCCUCCAAGUAAUACUAAAACUAAUUAAAACAAAAACAAAAAACAAAAAUAGCAAAACAUUUACUGAAGAACUUAUUUAAAAUAUUACCCUAGAUUUGAGACUACAAGCAAACAGUGCCUUCUGAUAAAAACAAAUUACAUGCCAUAAAUAAAAUUAUUACGAGCCCACCAAAGAAAUUGUCAGGGUUAUAGUGAUUACAAACCUUCCCUAACUUUAUUUAUCUUCACCAAUGAAAAUAGGUCAACAUUUAACAUUCUUUUACAACCAAGUACACCAAGUCUUACAAUUAAAGGUUUAAGGUUACAAAGCAUAGUUACUUAAGACUCUUAGCUUUAUCGUAAGGCACCUUAGACAAUUCUAUUACCACACAAAGACCUGGGCCUAUUUCUUAUAAACACGGCAAGAAUCACAUCCAAGGUCAAGCAAAUUCAACAACAAGGUCAUACGGCAUAUACCCAGCACAUACCCAACUCAUUGGCCGAUUUGAGGCACAAAACAAUAGAAUAUUAUCAUAAAACCACCACAAUAUCACUGGAUUCGAAUAUAAGAAUAAUAUAAAUAUAAUUGUUCAAUUCAAUCAUUACCCCAAAUCACGAAUACUAGCGAGACUAUAUUAAUUCAUGCCACUGGCAGCAGCACAUUCUUUAAUAAAAUCCUUCAAAUAUAAAAAAUCAGCUACAUGCGAAUCUAGAAUUUAAAAGGAAAUAUACAAUAAUUUUUUGGAGAGAAGAAAUCCCUUUCCACUUAUAUUGAAGAUAAUUCAAGAAAAUGACAGGCCCCAAUUCGCAGAUCAUCAAAACAAACCCCAUUACUUGCAGUUGCUUGAUGCUCGAUAACGUUACCUCUUUUUUUUUUUCAAUUUAUAAUUUUUUCCUUUUUGUGAAUAACAGAAUCUCAAGAUAAAAUAUUGCAGUAUGACUUAAUUGUAACUCUAUCGGUUCAAAAACAAAAAAUGACAAGCCCUAUCAAUUAUCAUUCAAUUAUCAAUCCCUAGAAAUCAUCUCAAUAUUUCAAGUAAUAAUUUCUCAAUUGCAAAAUCAAAUUAUUGAAACUGAAAUUUCAAGUAAUAUUCAUAAACUAAACUGAAACGUCCUGCAUAUUUAAAUGACAUGAUAAGAUUUUUAAUCAUAUAUUAAAUUAGAGAGAGAGAGCUCACCGAAAUUAUUGGAAGACAUAAGAGAGAGAUACAGCAAGAGUGAUAGAUUGAAGCUGACGAAUUGAAGCUAUGAGUGACGAACUGAAGCUGAGAGUGAUAGAUUGAAGCUGACGAAUUGAAGCGAGAGUAACAGAUCGAGUAAGCCUGAGUAAAUGGCACUCUUUCGACUACAUCUUUGCUCUUUGCUGUGAUGGGUGGUGAAUAUUCUUGAAUACCAAUUUCAUUGAUCCAAAAUUCUAGAUGUAGGAGAAAACAAUAGCAGAGAGAAUAUGAAGGCUGUUACUUUGAGGGAGAGAGAGGCAUCACAAUCCAACGGCUGUGAUUUUUUAGAUAAGUCAAGUGAUGACAUAAUGACUGGCAUAUCUGGUCGCCAAAAUGAGUAAUCAAACAUAUUAACCAUUGGAUGUUUCUACUUCUAUAUAACGGUUGCCCUUUCUUUUAAAGUUAUUGUUACGUUCGGAAAACGUGACCACACAAUCAAAUGUUCUUCUAUUGUCAAAAACAAUAAAUACAUGAGUUUCUUUUUUUAGGUUAUGUCAAUUCAGCAGUUAAGCAGUUAGUGGUUUGUUUACUUAUGAGACCGAAUAAUUAAAAUAUAAAACAAAAAUGAUUAAUAACGUUUACUUGUUAAAAUAUAAGAGAAAUAAAAAUGAAAUAUAUAAAUUCACAUACUAUUUAAAUUAAAGAAUAAUAAUAGAGUCAUAACUUUUUUUCCAGUCAUCACUUUAUUUAAAAAAGAGUUGAACUAUAGGCACUCCUCUGAAAUUCUUAAAAAAAACCCUCUCAUGUUAUAAUUACAUUAAAGGAUAAAUUAAUCUAAUUAUACCGCUAUAUUUGUCUCGCUAAAUCUUUACAUCCACACAACUAUAUCAAAGUGUUUUACAUUUUUUUUUGUUUUCUUUUGCAUUCUAUUUUUUUAAUUUAAAAAAAUUACAUAAUAGCUAUUUGAGUCACUUCUUAAUUCAUACAUAUACAAGAAAUUUAAUAAUUCAAAAAUUUGUAUAAAAAAAAAUUUAGUUGGAGUUGUUUGGAAGAAACUAAAUUUUCUUUUGAAAUCAGAAAGAAACAGAAAAAAAAAAACAAAACAAAAAAAAGAAGACAUUUUGGGAAUUAAAGUAGGUAGAAAAGCAGCUUGAAACGUAAAUUACAAGGGUGCUAAUAGUCUUACUCUUUGAAAAAUGCGGCCUGAACUGACAAAAUGCCGACCUAACCAAUUUUUUAUGACGAUGAUUAAUACUUGUUCGUUUCUCCUUAGCUCUGUUUCUUACAUUGAUGCAUACAUGACUUAAAAGCUUCAUCUUCCUCUAGCUUCCUUUCGUGAAAUCCAAUAUCUUCUGUAGAAAUUCGAAUAAUCUCAUUUUGACUUUGAGUAAGCUUUUCAGUUCAAUUAUCUUGCUGUAGUUUAUUUUUGUAUUUGCACAAAAUAAUGCAGUCAGAACAAAAUAAUUAUGUAACCCGAAGCAAUUCCUUCCAUCUCUACGAUAUUAACAAAAGCCAAAAUUUUCAACCAUAAUUACAAUUAAUUUGCUACUUAAACAACGUGAAGUUACAAAAUUUUGGUUUCUAAAUGCGGAGCUAAAAACCUCUAGCAUCAAUAUAUUGGGAAUUGCGCCCUCAUCGUCUUAAGAUUAUUUGUUAAUAAUUAUGUAGAAAGGAAAAAAGAUGGAUGAUUUCAAUUUCCACCAAUCGAUAUGCAUGCACGAGUCUGAACUGAGACUGAGAAGACUAUUAGUACAGUGACGGAGGAAAAUAAUCUACUGAAGCACCGAGUUGCCCAUUUGGAUUUUUCGGAGAAGGUUGAUCUUUAAAGUUCAUUGUUUAUUCAACCAACCACAAAAAAAUUUAUUAUUUAUUCAACCAAUCAUAAACAAUCUUUUGUAUAUUAAAUUUUUUUUUAAAAGUUCCAGAUGAAAUGAUAUUUUGAAUAUUAUCUGCAAUAUUCACGUGAUUGGUACCACAUUUUUUAUUUUCUUAUUAACAAAAUUAUUUAUUUCGUAGGGACCGUAUUCACGCUUCCAAGUUUCUCAUACAUAUGCAAUUUAACCAUUGCGGUUGAUUAGCAUUUGAGUUUUGACAUGGGAAGCGGUAGGGAUGGGAAUAAAAUCCGGAUCCGCAUGUUAAAUAAUGCAGAUUUACAUGUAAGAAAUUAAAAUCUGCACGGAUCCGAAUCCAAAUUUAAAUAUAAGUGCAUUCAAAAAAUCAGAUAUUCUGCUAAUUUUUAUAUUAAAUUAAAAAAAUAUAUAUUAACUUUAACUUAAAAACAAAUUUAACCCAACUCUCACAUUCACACGCGCUCACAACACUUUUCCAGCAGCCACAACCCACAAACCCCUAACACCCAAAUCCCCCUAAUUCCGUAGGAUGUCGCCGUCUGCCUCACGGCCUCGCCUAAGCCUUGUGUCCAAGCCUCGAUCUAAGUCGGUCGCUGUCGUUGCGCGCUGCACGCCUCGAUCUGAGUCGGUCGCUGCCGCUGCACGCUGCACGCCUCGAUCUGAGUAAGUUGCUGCCGCUACACGCUCGAUCUGAGUCAGUUGCUGUCGAAUCCUCGCCAUCGAAGAAGCCUCUCGCUGUCGAAUCCUCGCCCUCGGAGAAGCCUCGUCUAAGCACUUUAAUUAAAAUGGUCUUGGCAAGCCUUGUUGAAUCCUUUGGCCUUUGUUGAUUCAAUUUAGUUUAAUUUUGAAUAAAUUUCUUUGCUGAUUCGUUUCAUCACUUUAAUUAAAUGCAUUAAUUUUCAAUAUAAUGUAAAUGUUUAAUAGGUUUUGGGAUUAGGUUUUAAUUUGGAAAAUUGUUGAAUUUUUAAAUUAAAAAUUUAAAUGAAAUCUUGGUGAAACCUGUUGUCAUCUGCCGGUUAACAUAGCUAGUCUCUGAAAUAAUUUCUUGAUUCACUAAUUAUGAGUUCAAAUUUGAUGCAGAAUGGGCAACCAGCCUACUGCAAACAAAUCUUCUGGAACAGUUCAGAUGAAGGGACAGCCAAUCCAGCAAAACAGUUAUAAACAACUCUAAAUAAAUUCAUAUACGCAUAGCAGCUAAUUACAGUCUUGAUACUUCAUUAGGUUUUUGUUAAUUUUCUAUACAGUUGUGCUGUGCAUUAAAGUUUUGUUAAAUGAAAUCGGUAGGUGAGGAUUAAUUAAUCAAUUAAUUAAGAUCCAGUUAAUGUAAUUAAUUUUAUUUGAUUUUUUUAAUUCGAGUUCUAAAUUAAUCAAUUAAUUUAGAUUCAUGUGAAAUUGAAGUGAAUUAGUUUCGAUCUGUUUUUCGUCCUAUGUUUGUCUGUGUUUACUCUUACUUUUUUUUUGUUUAAAUUUUCGUUUUCUUAUUGUUUACUGAAUAAAUUUCUGAGCUGUAUUUGAGUAUGAUUGAUUUGUGAUUUUAAUUUGUGACUUUUUUUUUUGGAAUUUAAAUCUGAAUGCUUUUUAAGUUGAAUCUGAUUGUGUUGGGCUGCGAUUUAAUUGAGUGAUGAGGGAGCGCCAAAUUGUGAGAGCCAAAUAUUCAAUAACCGAUAAAUUAUAUUUAUAAAUAUUAAUAGCGAUGGCACAUAAACAAUUAAUUCAAGAACUUGCCCAUAGUGAUUAAUUUAAAGAGUAUAAGUAACAUUGCAGUACAGUUAGCCCUUGCGUGUUUAAUUAGCAAUUGAAAACUAAUGUUGCUGAUGAGGUAGAACAUUAUAACACUGUUGCUGAUGAGGCAGCUGGUAAUUCUUCUGGUGAAGAUAUUAAGACUAUUAAAGCUGAAAUGUAAUUAGAGAAAUAUAAUGCAUUCCCUUAGUUUGCUUUUUGUUUUUGAUAUUUGUUUGGCUAAUGCUUUGCUUAGAUUACUUUUUGUUUUUGAGAUUUUAUUGGCUUAGUCAUGGGGUAUUGUUUUCUCUUCUAAUUUCUAUUUUUGUUGUUAUGGGAUUUUAUUGGCUUACUUUUUGUUUUUGAGAUUUAUCCAGUGCUUUCAAUAAAUCAUGGUCGAUUUACUGUUAAUUAAUCAAAUUUAAUUUACCCAAAUUACUCAUGUACACGAUCAAAAUAAUUAUAAUUCCAUGAUAUAUAUACACGCGCGCACACAAACAAAAUGUAAUUAACUUUGAAAUAUAAAAUAUUUAAAAUAAUCACCGUACUAACAAUUCACAAAUCAGAUUUUAUAUAAAUAGACGCAAUAAUGUUAAUCUAGCGAAUCCAGUCAUAAUAAUUUGAUUUUCAUUUAUAUUAAUUAUGUCAAACCAUGCUAUUUUAAUAAAUAGCACUUGAGAAUAUAUAUAUCCAACAUGUAAAAUUUCAAAACAAUAUUUGCCAAAAUCUGAUGAAGAGAAUAUACACGCACGCACAUAUAUAAUCGUACAGCAGAAGGAUAAAUAAAAGAAAAUGAAGUUUCAACAGUUGAAUAAUGCAAAUUCAUUUUUUUUUAACAAGCAUUUUAUUGUUUAAUUAAAAAAUUCGAAAACCGAUUGGUCUUAUAUACAUGAUAAAAACUCACCGACGCCGAACCAUAUUCAUUUAAAUUAGUUUUCAACUGAGAUUUGAAUUUUAAAAUUAUAUAAACAAGCACGCCCAAUUUUUUUUUUUAAAAAGUAGUAAUUAUAAAAUAUUUAUGUCGUCCUCUAAAAAACCAAUUUACAAUCUAUAAAACCAAUUUACAAUCUAUUUCAACAUAAGGUAUAUGGGUUAACAAGUCCCAAUAUUGUCCUCCAUCCUUUCUGCACUUCUCUUCUAUCAACCGACAUCUCCAGAUGUCUAAUUGCAAAAGUGAGGAAGGCAGGCCCUUCUCCGGAAAGUAUUUGAGCUUGGGACAUUCCCAGAGAUACAAUUCAGUGAGGUUUUGAAGAUCAACAAUUGAAGAAGAUAGGCGUUCCAGAUUUGGAAAUUUAUAAAUGCUCAGAGAUGUUAGAGAGGCAGGAAGAGGAAGCGCGGUCCCUAAUCUUUUGUCCUCUAGUGGAAAUGACGCCAUGUCGUCAUCGCAUCCUCUGAUUUCAAGACGUCGCAGAGAGGAGAAUCUGUGAAAUCCCCGUCCCCGCUCAAUCAUUGACUUCCAAAUCUCCAUAUUACCCCAAAUAUCAAGUGACUGAAGGUUGGUGGGGAGGCCAUCUUCUUCUUCAAGGCUUGGAAGCGCACCUCCUUUUCCUAUUGUUAAUUCUUGAAGAGAGCUCAGAUUGUGCAUUCCCUUGGGUAAGGCCUCUAGUCUCUUACAAUUAGAUAUCGCCAGCCUCCUGAGUUUCGCACAAGGCAAUCCCCCUUCGGGAAAGGACACCAGAUUUUUACAACUAUCUAUGCUGAUUGUUUCAAGAGAUGUGUUGUUGUCCAACCUUUCUGCUAUUGACUUCAACUUUGAACAACUCCAAACAACGAGGGACUUAAGAGACGAAGGUGGAUUGCCAACUUCAAGGGACUCAAGCGUGGCAGGUAACUCGUUUUUUGAAAAUAUACAUGUCAGAGAUGGACAACUAAUAAUUUCUAAGUGCUCGAGAAGAGAUGAGGUGUACCUUCUGCUGCUGCUGCUACACUGGAUGCCCUCUUCCACUGUCAAAGUCCUUAUAUUAUCACAAUCUCUGAUGCUCAACUUCUUAAGGCUCGGUGGCAGCUGGACAGCAGCAACAUAUGUCAACGAAUGGCAAUUCAGAAUAUUCAAGAUCUCGAGAGACGAAUUGGUGUCGCACAUCCAUGCCUCUGGUAACGAUUUCAGUGCACCACAAUACCUAAUCUCAAUUUCCUUCAACUUGGAAGGCAGAGCAACCUCAGGAAAGGAAACAAGGGAACUGCACUUCCAGAUUUCUAUCUCUCUCAAGGAACUGAGGCUGAACGAUGAUUGUGGCAGCUUCACAAGGCCUUCGCAAUUACUCAAUCUUAGAUAUUCAAGUCUGCAUGACAACUCGCAGAGCUGCUGUUGUUGGUCUUUCUUUUCCUCCGCCACCAAGGAUUGAAGUUUGGGACAGCUUGUAAUCGUCAGUCUUUUGAGAGAGCAAAUGUCUUGCAGUAAUUCGUUAUGACUCUUCCAUAUAUGUGUUUCAUUUUUAAUAUUUUUUAUCUCCAAUUCUUCCAGUUUUGGUAUUCGCGGCUUCAAUGGCCCUGCGAGAAACACUUGAUUUGAUGUAUCUCUACAAACCACUGCAUUCUGUGAGCCGAGAUGAUCAAUUGCACUUCUCCACACAACCUUUUUACAUCCACGAAUUACCAAUUUGCAAAGAGCUGGAAGACUCCUAAUUGAAAUUGACAAUUCUUCGCAUUGUUCAAUAACAAGCAUCUCCAAUGCAGGAAGCUGCUCUGGAAAUGUUCCUUGCAGUUUAGAACAUCUUAAAAUGUGAAGCUCUCUCAAUUUAGGAAACCCUUCAACUCCCUGACUGGAUCCAUGAGGAAACCACUCUUCCCACUCUUGCAGGUCUUCAAAAUGAAGAGUCUCCAAGCAUGUAAAUGGAAUUUGAGAGUCAUCCCCAUAGAACUCUGAACCCAAUCUCUUUACUCUACUCAUUCCACGCACUGUAAGAUGCUUCAGAGAGGGCAGUUGGCCGACUGACGGCAGGGCAGUACACAUGCCGCAAUCUUCAAAUUUAAGUGUUACUAAAUUUAAGAAUGAGGAAUCUCCUAACCAUGUUGGAAAUUUUGUACCUCCAUAGCCACAGAUGCCAAAUUGUUCCAGAUUUUUAUGGGGUUUGAGCAUGUCAAGCACACCCAUUUCAGUUUCUGCCUCCCUUGAAGAUGAACCAUCGGUGCUGCAAGUCCAAUUAAGCGAUAAUUCUCUAAGAUUCUUCUUUCCAUCCAACCGAGCCUCCUUUGCAUCACCAAUGUCUUUUACAUUCUCUAAUUUUGAAAUUUUAAGUGUCCCCUGAAGAUGUAUCAAUGACUUUAGCUCUCGUAACCCAGAACCAUUGUCUUUUCCCACAGCAAAAUUACCCAGCGUUUGAAGACAAGUCAGCUUACCAAUUCCUAGUGGCAUUUCCUCCAAGGAAUCUGUAUUUGAAUUAUUGAGAUGAUGCAAUUUGAUGAGAUUUCCCAUGUCUGCACACAACUUCUUCAGUCGUCGACAGCCCUCCAAAAGAAGGGUGUGCAAGUUGUAAAGCUUGCUGACUGAUUCAGGCAGAGUUUUAAUCUCAGUUCCAGACAGGUUAAGGUGCCUUAAAUACCUCAAAUCACCAACUGAAUCCGGCAGCUCGGCGAUGCAAUAUCCACGCAGAGAGAAGACCCUUAAGCUUUGGAGUUUGAACAACUUAGGAAGAAUGCUAUGAGCCAAGUAUCCAUGCCGACUAUUUAACAUCACUGGUAAAAAAGUUCUCAAAUGUUGGAUAUCAUACAAUUUCUCAAACCUUUGAACGCCAUCAUAAUCUCCACGAAUGUACGACAGAUAACGAAGAUUUCUAGAAAAACAUUGUUGCUUGUUAACCUCCGAGGUAUACUCCAGUGUGAAGUAUGUCUCCCCUGCAGCCCAACGGGCAAGGUCGUUGAUAAGAUCGUGCAUAACAAAUCGUGAUAUACUGUUGCUCGAUUGCUGGAAAAAAGAUCUUCCACGUAGCUCUUGAAAGAACUUUCGACCGAGAUCUUCACUAGGAUUCCCACUCUCUCCGUGAUUCAAGAAACCCACAGCACUCCAUAAUAAAAUUAUCUCCCCCUCUUCAAAUUCAUAAUCCUUUGGAAACAAUGAGCAAUACGCAAAGCAUUGUUUCAAAGGUGCCGAAAGAUAAUAGUAGCUCACUCUAAGCGCCGGCAUAAUGUCACAUCUCUCUUCUUGCAAUUCCCAUAUCUUGGUACUGAGCACUCUCUCCCAAUCACAUCUGUCAUCUUUUCCUCGCAAAAGUCCUCCAAGUGUUUGCGCUGCCAAGGGCAAGCCAUCGCAUUUGGCCACUAUCUUCUUGCCAAUUUCCUCCAAUAACUUAUCUGACCCCAAAGAGUGUUGAGCGAACACAGACAGACAAUCAUCAUUUGACAACUUUUUCAAUUGAUAAGCCCGAACAGUCCCCAUGAUGGCUGCAACCUCUUGAUUACGAGCUGUGACAAUAAUCUUACUUCCCGGUGCGCCAGCUUCAAAUGGAGGUCUGAGUCGAUCCCAAUCAUUGUAAUUCUCAUUCCAAACGUCAUCUAAAACAAGCAAAAAUUUUUUUCCAGAUAACUUCUUCUUCAGCUCCUCUUGAAGCUUAUUCAAGUUGUGAUUAUCCACGUUCUGGUCAGGAACAAUGGAUAUCAAGAUUGUUUUUGUUAGCCUGAAAACAUCGAAAUCAUCAGAGACACAAGUCCAUGCCUUGAGAUCAAAAUGAUCCUGCACUUGCUUAUCAUUGUAGACAAGCUGAGCAAGAGUGGUUUUGCCCAGCCCGCCCAUACCUAUGAUAGGAAUAACAGAGAAUUCACCAUCGUUGCUUAAAUCAUCCCUCAAAAGCAGUUCUACAACAUCCUUCUUUUCUGUUUCUCUGCCAUAUGCUUUGGCUUCCUUCACCAAAGAAGUUGUCUCUCGCCUUUGCCUGUCUUUUAUGGUCCUCCCACCUGAACUUACGUUCAAACCCAGCGAAUCCUUCUGAGUUACAAUUUCUUGAAAUCUGCCGUUGAUCUCUUUGAUUUUGGACAUUAUGGCGUAAUCGAACUGAAUCGAUUGUGGAGCAAAAGUGGUGCAGCAAGUGGGAAUGAGCUUCCGAAACUUACUUGUUCUUGUACGACUGCUACUGGGUUGAUCAAGAGCAGCAGCAGGUUCUCCAUUUCCAAGCAGCAACUUCCUCCGGAAAACCUCAGUUUGAAACUCAUCCAACAGGUCCUCAACAUCAUAAGCCAAGUUCUGAAGCUCGCCAAGCCACAACUUCACAGACUGAUCAGUCGUUUUCUUCUCCUCAGCAUCAGCAAGCACCGCCUUGAUCAUCACCAACAUAUUCUUCCACUUCUUUAGGUCGGCCUGGAUUUGCUCUUGGCGUGCAAACAACCGAAUCCCCUCUGAAGCUAACUUAUUGACCAGCAAAUCAACGGAAGCCGUAAGGAUUGCCUCUCCGAUGAUUGACAUUUUUUUUUUGUUUUUGUUUUGCAAAGAAAGAAACAGAAUUUUGAGUUUUGAAAAGCAAAAUGAGAAAAUUGAACAGUAAGUGUGGAGGGUCAAGCAAAAUGCGCGUAACAAGUCUUCCGCUUGUUGUUUAUUCCAGUAAAGCUAGAAUAAAAACAGAGCCCACCACCCAUUAAUAAUAAUUGAGCAAUUCACCAACCACCAAUCACCAGUCACCACUACUCGUUACCAUGAAUAUAAUAAAUUGCAACUUGAUAUUUGCAGGGUCCAGCAACAUUGACCCAGUGUCCGGGUAAAUGCUGAUAAAUCAAAACGUUUAUCUCUCUCUCUCUUUUCCAUAAAAUUACUUUAUUUAUUGAAUUAAUUUCCAUGCUAAAACGAAGACUUAAAAGUGCACUACAAUUUUUUAUAAUCACAAUGAUAAUUCUUACUAUCAUGUUAUCUUAAUGUCGUGUCAAAAUAAAUUAUAACAAAGUUUUUUCUAUAUGAAUACUCUUUUCAUUUAUAAAUUUUUCAGUUUUUAAUAUUUUUCUCACUCUUUUAGUCUUAAUAUUUGUAUUCCUCUCUUCAAACUUUCUUAAUUAUUUAAUUUUUAAAGAAAAAUCUAAAAAAAAGUAAGAAAAACAUUAUACUUAGAAAAUAAUGAAUAUUUUAUGGGUAUAAUACAAUUUUGUCUCACCUAUAAAUUUGUUGUUUAGCAAUUAGUUUGAGAAUUUUAAAAAAUUAUUUACAGUAGGAUAAAUUUUUAUUUAAUUUAUUUUUUCACAAUAUUGUAUCUUAAUUAAUUAAGUUGUUAUGUUUAUUACAAAAAUUUUGUUUUGGCUUAGAGGAUUACUUCUUAAAUUCAAAUUAUUUUAAUGAUAAUAAAAGAUAUUUAUAUUGUGUAAACAAAAUAAAAUUGAAGAGAGAAAGAAAAUAUAAAUGACUUAAUUCUAUUUAUAUUUGUCCUUAAAAUGUAAUUGUAAUAGAAUAAGGGUUUUAUAAGAUUAAUGAAGGGAUACCGAUAGUCCUACUCUUAUGGAAAAUGGCAGUAAAAAUGGAAUGUAUCCACUACAAACCUUCGCUUUACAAGUCUUCAAUCAAACAUGUAUUGAUUUGUAAAAGGAUCACUAGCAUCCGAUUAUUGGGAGGUAUUAUGGAGAAGUCACGCUUAGUAUUUACAAUUCAUGUAAGAUGAAUUUGUAAGACUUAUUAAUUUCGAUGAAAAUAUAGAUUUAUUAAGUUACUAAUUCAUUAAGUUAACAUGAGAUAUUAAUAUUUACUAAUUGUGGCGAUUAAUUUAUUUAACUUGUCAUGAUUUUCAAUUAAGAAGGAAGUUCAGUCAAUUUAUGGAAAGAAGGAUAAUUUUUUUUUUCAGAAUUUUAAUUUCUAGGAUUUUAUUUCACUUUGUUUCGAUUGUUGAUGUUGCUAAAGAGGCAGUGAAAGUUUGCUGAAUGCCAUCAGAUGCUUGUAUCUUAUCUCACAAAAUGUCAAUAUCGGUUUGUUUCCCUAUAGGCGCAGCCAUCAUGAAUUGAAAGUAACAACGUGAUGAGCAUAUAACAUAUACAUAUUUUACCAUUAAUUAUAUAAUUGUUAGUUAUUUUUAUUUGUUAUUUUUAAUUAAUUAAAUUAUUUUGUUGAAUAAAAAAUUAAUUAGAGAUUCUAGAUAAAAAGGGCAUGAAGAAGUUUAAUUUGGGAAGCAAAAAAAAAUAAAUUGAAAGAUAAAAAUACAGACAAGGAUUAAUGGAAUCCAAGCCGAAAAAAUCAAAGCACAAGGAUUUUCUUAAUGUCAUUAUUUAGGCAAGGGUUUUGAUGCAGCGGAAGUUUAAGAGAAUCAAAUCUGAAGAAUUUAUUAAGAGAAUCAAAUUGGAAGUUUUGAUGCAGCAAAAAAAAACUGAAGUUUGAAUUUCACUCACAUAGGUAAUAAGAGAAUUAAAUUAUUGUUAGAUUAAAUUGAUUAAAAAAAAUUAUCUGAUAUCCAAAACAGCAUAUCAACAAAAUUGAAAUAAAAGAAAAUUGAAGAGAAAAACCAUCGAGAGAACGAAAAUUAACACACGAAAAUUUCGAUAACUUCACUUAUUAAAACUUGGUUAUUUCAUUUUCAUUGAUAAUCAUUUUGACACCGGUCAAAUUUAAAAGUUUAAAUAAUGGGGGCGCUAUUUCUUUCCAGCUAUGCCCAUCGACUAAUUAAAAUACCGCCGAAACAGUUCAGGGAUAGUAUAGUAAUUUCAUUUAACAGUUUUCGUGCUUCAAAUCAUCAAAUCAAACUCACGGUUUCCGACUUGUAAUGGGUGCAACUCAUGUUUUUCAAACAUUAAGAUCUUUUGCCAUUCUGUUACUAUCCCAUGGUUAUUUAAGUUACAAGAGACAGUAAAAAACAUCAUCAUAUUUUAACGUCCUUUGAAUAUUUGAAGAGGUUAAAAUUUAGGCAGUGUUAUAUAAAAUAUAAUGUAAAUUAGUCUCAGUAAUUGUGUAGUUGUAUGUGAGAAAACAUACAAUGUAAAAGUGUGUGUGAGAAAACAAAAAAUAUGAAUCACCUUUGAUGUAGUUGUAUGGUUGUAAAGAAUUAGAUGGAGAAAUAUAGUAUAUAAUUAAAUUUAUUUUGUUCUUUAAAACGGAUAGGUUUUAUGCAAAUUUUUCAGAGGAGUGCCAAUAUUUCAACUCUAUCAUUGCUAUUAGUUUGUCUUGUAAUUCAAUCAUUGCCGACAAGUAUUAAUUGUGACUAUUAUUAUUUUAAAAAUAUUAUUAUUAUUAUCGUCGUUAUUCUUAACAGCAAUGACUAGAAUUAUAAUAAUAACAAUAACGUCAAUACAAUAAUAUAACAACAUAAUAAUAUUUUAAUUGGGGUCUUCCACCUGGGUAUGCAUGAUUCCUUGUGACAUGAUAUAGGGUGCGUUUGGGAUUGAGGUUAGGCAGCUGUAGCUUAAAAGCUACAGCACUAAAGUGUUUGAUAAACACUAACUGCUGUAGCUUUUAAGCUAUAUUGAUAUGAUUUUUCACUUGUAUAAUACAAAAUCUAUUAUAUCUUUAAAAAUUUUAUCAAAAUUAUUAUUUAAAAUUUAUAUUUACUAUAUAUUAUUAAAUUUUGUUUCAUAAUUACAGUUUUUUUUUCACAGCAGCUGUAGCUUAAAAGCUACAACACCUCAAUCCCAAACGCACCCAUAGAGCCAAUUAAAUUCUGAAAUGCGUGCAAUAAAGACUGUAAAGUGACCAGUUAUUCCGGUUGAAUUCACAAGAGCUCUUGUUUGUGUGUUUAUGUUUCAAGUUGUGUACUCUGUGUUACGAGUUCUCUAAUUAGUCUGAUAUUAUCGCAAUUAUUGCUCAAUAAUGUUACAAGUAUUAUAAUAUAUGUCACUAGUACGGUCGUUGUCUCGAGUGGUACACAUUAAGGCACAAAUUUAGAACGAAAAGCUUCCCAGUAAAAUAAGUUAUUUAAUUAAUUAAAUAAGAAUAAAAUGAAUUUGUGAAAGAAAUUUAAAUUUUAUUUUGAAUUAUUUUGACCAAAAUUUAAGUUUUUUUUUUUUAAAUUUGUUUAAGAAAAUGCAUUGUAAUUGUCUUGUUUUAAUUGGAAAAUCAAUAAAAAAAAUUAUGUAACAGAAAAAAAAAAAAAAAAAAGCAAAACGGUUUGUUUUGGAUGGAGUCCAUAGAUUCCAAUAUUUCCUUCACGAAAACUACAAAAAAUUAUCAAAGCCAUCAAUUUCUACACUCUCACCGAGCAAAUACUCUCAACCUAGAUGAAAGUGUAUAAAUCAACCCCAAUCAGUCCAUCAAUGUCGUCAACCUCAUACAGCAUAAAAAAAUCUGUGUCCAUUAAACCGCCAUCUUGCCAUCUCGUUGUAGUAUUUUACUGUUCAAAUCUAGUUAUCAAUUGGGCAAAAUGGGGACCAAUCUGCAAGUCUUUAAAAUAGAAAGAAACUUUAAUUGAGCACUAUGUUCACGGUGGUGGACCCGGCGGCAGUAAUCUUUAGGGUGGAGUUAUUUAUAUUUUAAAAAUUAUUUUAAACACUCUAAUUUUAAUAAGAAUAUGUAUUACAAAAAUAUUUAUCAUAUAAGUUACUAUUAAGAAUAAUAUAAUAUAUUAUAAGUCAACAUUAUAUAAUUAUUGUGAACACUUGUAUAGCACAAUCCUUAUUUAUUUUAUUAUUCUCAUGACUUAAAUAUAAAAAUUUUUAUUUCCAACAUCUUAAUUAAUAUGUAGAUGAAUAAUAAGGAAAUUAACUUUGAGAAAAAAUUAAAUACAAAAUAUGUGUAAUACUUUUAAAAAAUAAAAUAAAACAAAAGUAUUGCACAAGAUUUUUUUUUGGGAGGGAUUUUGCCAUUCUUCUUCUUCUUCUUCUCCUUCUCUCUCUCUCUCUCUCUCUCUCUCUCUCUCUCUCUCUCUCUCUUUUGGUAGUAUUUAUGGAACAUUUUCUCUUGUUAUGUUCUCAUUGCAAGUUAUUUUGGGUGCAAAAGUCAAUAUUAAAAAUAAAUUAAAUAAAAAAUUAGUAACUAAAAUUAUGUUAAAUUAUUUUUUUACAACUUAAUUUUUAAUUAUAUUUUGUGAGUAUAUGCUAAAUCUCUUAAAAAUAGAGUGUUGAAUAAUUUUAUUAGUUUUUUUAAAUAAAUGAAGCUAAGUAACUUAAAAAGUUUAGUAAGGAUAUUUUUGAAUUUUAAAUAAUGUACAAAGUAAAAUUUAAUUUUUUUAUAAUUAAGCUACGAGCGUGCAAAGUAAUAUUUAGAGUGCUAAUAGUCCUACCCUAAUCUUUAUCAUCACAUUAUUUUCCAUAAAAAGUUUACAAUUAUCUCUUUAUUGGAUAAUUUUGUUCCCUCUCUUACCGUUAUGUUCCCCUACAUUCUCAUAUCUGCAUCACCAUUUAAAUUGUAAUCAUAACGUUAAUCUUUAUCAUUUCACAUAUUUUGCCAAAUUUAUACGCACUGCAAAGCUCUUUCCUUUUUUUUUUUUUUCCCGUUAAGUUUGCUAUAAUGUACAUGAAGAAUAGUUAAAGAGCUCUUUCGAGUCCUUAUCCUUUCUUUCGAGUUUACUUUUGCUUUUUUUUUUUUUUAACGUUUCUCUGGAAUUCACUUCAACAUCACUGGCGCGUUUUCUUCUUUCUCACUGCAACAUCAACUGGGCCACCACCUCUUGCCUCUCCCGGUUCCCCUCAAUUUUCGUAUUCAAUGUCCACCGUUGAUUGUACAUUUAUUAAAAUUCUGUGGUUAUUAUUUUUUGCAUAUAUUUAAUUCCACACGGUCUAGAUCGUAGUUGUGUCCUUUUAAUUGAGGAUGAGAAUGAAAUUAUGAAAUUUAAGUUGGGUAAAAAUGGUGAGUAUGAGGAAAUUAAAUUACAAUUCUUUAAGAUAAAUAAUUUGUAAAUCCCACAUAUUUCAUUUUUAUUUCUCUAGUUAAAUUAUAUUUUAAUAAAUAAAUAUAAUCAAUUAUUUUAAUAUUUUAAUUAAUAAACACGACAUUAACUACGGAACUAAAAAAUCCAAAAAAAAAAAAACAGAGGCGUGUGUGUAUUGCUUGUGACAAAUGUCACCCAUGGAAAACCUUGUGAAAGGCAUUUGAAUGUGUGGCCACAUUUAAUGAACGAAACGAUAACUUUAAAAGAAAGUAUGUACUGUGUUAAUUAUUAGGCUUUAGCUUAAUGAUUUCAAUUAGUUUGUCUUUUAAUUAAAUUAUUGCCGACAAACACUAUCACGACCCACGUCCGCUACUUGUGUGAAUGUGUGUAUAAAUAUCCGCAGCAUAUUAUCAAACUUGAUGCGUGAUCAUCUUUAAGUUUUGGUUACGGUUCAUCAGACGUUAGAAGACAUCUUUUUUAAUUUGAAGAAGAUGGAAACUCCGCAGGUUCUUAUGCCAUGUUCAAUUGAAUGUCAUUUAUAAUUUUUAUUUUAAUAUUAUGUAUUUAUGAAUAUAAUUAUUAUUAUGAUUUUUUCAAAUAAAAACGGAUGGUCUAAGGGUAAUUCAAUAACUAUGUACAGUAUUAUUAAUGAUGAGAGCGUGAAUGAUAAUUUAGAUUUUAUUCUCUUCUCUCAAUACAGAAGAAAUCUCGACUGUAGUAGUUAAGUGUUAUGUAACUCUUUCGUAUUAUGUUCAAUUAAUAAUAAAAUGAUGAGUUAUUAUUACCUGUCAAUUAUGUGAGUGUCUUUGUUUGAUUUAGUUCAACUUAUAAAAUCUCUUGAGAUAUAUAAGAGAUUUUCUUUGUUUACUUUCAUGUACCGCGUCUUCUUGUAAAAAGUAAUUAAUAAAAAAAAUAUCAUUGUGUGCCAUGUAUUGACUAAGUUAGUGUAUUCAUGUUAGGUUAAUUGUGCUCUCUCUUCUUGAUUUUUUUUUAUUAAAAAAAACUCCACGUAUUCUUGGUUAGCUAAUUCUUGCAGGUAGCAAGUGAUCGAUCCUUUUCUUUCCCCUACUGCUGUACCACCAAAUCCUUACAAUUACAUAUCAAGUGGUAUUCGAGCCGUCAAAGGAUCCAUGGAAACACGCAACAAAUCAAAUGCUGAAUUUUGCGAAGAGAUUCACGAAAUCCUUGCUAUACAUGAGUCUAGUUUUGACCAAGUUCACGUCACGCAUCAGCUGCGGGUUUGAAUGGUACCUAGUGGAUAUUUUGUGAGUUCCCACUAAUAAAAUCACACUUGCACAAAACUUAAAAAUUUAAAUUACGUAAUUCAAAUUAUAAAUUUAUAAUGGUAGCCUAAAAAAUCACAUAAAAUACUUAAUUCUAGAUUUUAUCAAUGUAAAUGAGAAAUGACAGUUUUAACAUUAAAAUAAAUACACAAAAUAUAUCAAUUUAACAUAAAUUUUUAAAUUUAAUUACCAAAUACAUAAGUCUAUCGCAACUCAAAGUGCUUUCAAUUGAAAACGAAAAAAGAGAAAGAAAAAAAAAACAAAGAACUACAAAUCAAAAUAGCAGCCAUGACCCAUUUUACAGUCUCAUUCAAUACCACUAGCACCCAUCAAACACGAUUUUUCUAAACAAAGUAUAAAGUACAAAAUUACAAUAAGCAUAUCAUACUCCAUGCUUUAAGUUAAAGAUCCUUAUAUCUUUUUAUGAAUAAUUUUUUAAUGAAAUUUUAUGAUUAAAAUUAAAAAUACAAACAUUCAAAUAAGAAUGUCGGACACUUGCGCAACUAUUCACCAAAUUUUUUCUCUAUAAAAAUCGACCUGCAACUUUCAAUAGGUUUAAAUUUAUAAUAUCAAACCUGAUUGCAGCUCGCAAAAAUUAUCCGUUGCGGCCAAGACUUUGGAUUUGCGAUGAUUUUGCCACCCUAAGUGUAGUUAGUAUUGUAUAUCAUGUGGCUCUUAUAAAAAGCCUAGAAGUUGUUUGAAUAACGGGGUAGACACAUAUCUCCCAAAGAUUUUCUCUUUUUCAAAUUAUUAUUUUUUCUCUAUUAUUGUAACUUCGAAUCCUUAUAAAUUACAGAUUGGAGACAUGAACACAAUGUUUUGACAUAGUGGACUUUUGGCUUGUCCAAAGAAAUUUAGGAUAGAUUUUUACGCACUAAGGUUCUAUUUACUAUUGAAGUUUUAGAACUUUUAAGCCACACCAGAAAUUUUUAUUGUUUUGAUAGAGUUGUAGUCUUUGAUAUGUGAUUAGUAUUAAUUAAGUGUUAUGUUUACAAUAGUUAAAGGCAUAUUGAAUCAAAAUCCACUUCUAAGGGCUUGAUUGAGUGAUUGUAAAGUAGGUUUUUAGUUUGCUAGCCACUCAAGUUCAAAUAUUGGAACCACAUAGCUUUAUAGCCAAGUGAGAGAACUUGUGCCCUAAAAAUUGAGGGGUGCAUAUCGAGUUUUACCACCAAUAAAAGUUGGUGUUAAAACUUUAAUUUCCCUCCUAUUAAUGGAUAUGGGUGAUUAGGAGUUUACAUCCCCUCCUAUUAAUAGACAGGGAUUAUUAGGAAUAUUAAAAAAAAGUUCAAAUAUUGAAAAUGUAGGUAUGGGUUAUAAAAUUCAUAAUAUAAAGACACAAAAUCAAGAUAAAGAUUUAAAAAUUUAGAACCAUGAGAGCGUGACUUGUAAGUUUCAAAGAAGCAUGUGCAAAUAUAUGCAUUAUCGAUGCCCAAUUAAGGGUGGGCAUUAAGAUCGGGUUAACCCGAACCGAACCGAAUCAAACUUAAAAUUUAUUUUGGAUUUAAUUUGGUUAUAGUUGAAGCUUUCAACUGAGUUCAAAACUUAAAAAUGAUUGGGUUGUAUUUCUGUUCGAAUUUAACUCCAGAAGACUAAUCAAUCCAAUCGAGUUAAGUAAGCAAAUUAAGAAAAAAAAUCCCAAAAAAUUAAAACUAACCCUAACUAAAAUAUUCGACCGGGGCCUCCUCGUUUUCUUUUCUUCUUCCUCCUCUCGCUCACCCCUAAUGCCCAUUCAUGGAAAUCCAACAGCUCCAAACGCGUUUCAGCCGCUCGCACGUGUGAGAAAUUUUCCUUCUCAUAGGAUUAUUCGUUUCCUUCGCUUGCAUGCCAGCAGAAUAUUCAGGCCGAGGAUUUUUCCGGGCCUAGCCCAACUAUAAGCUCUCCCAAAACCCAAUCAUAAGUUCAUAACGUUUAGCGUUUGCUAUUACUAUAAUAUUUUUUAACGAAUUUUCACAUUCAUCAACAUAGGCUGACAGAUUUUGUAGAAAAUAAAAUUAAAUAAAAAUACAAGCUCACGAAAUUCCUUUUCCGAUGUGGGAAUCUAUCUACACCUUUCACGUGCUUUUUUUUUUUUGGUGGUGGGGGAUUCCCUUGCUUUUGUUUGCAUUGCCUUAUUGGAUAAAAGUUUGUACAACAUCGUCUGUUUGGUUAAAGCCGAGCAUGAGUGAAGAAAUUUUUUUUAAAAAAAAUUUCCCAUUAAUUUGCAACAAGUAUUAAUAAAGUGCAUGAGAAAAGACACCGGGAUAUGCCUUUUUUAAAAUGAAAAUAAAUGUGUUAAUUAGUCAAUUUAAAUGGUAUGACAUUUUGAAAUGAUAGAAGUGAUCUAAAGUUUAAAUCUUACACUUAAUUUAGGGGUGGGGAUUAAUUGAUGUAAUAUAUAAUAACGAAUUCGAAAGAUAAUUAAAAAUUAAAAGAAAAUAAAAAAGUGCUUUCUUUUUUAUGAUGGUAAUUUGUUUAGAUGAUGAAAACUCUUAGAGUGGUAUUAUCAAUACAUAGUAUUUAUUUUAUUAUAUUUUUAAAUUAAUAAUAAUUAUUAAUAUUCUUAACUAUGUAAAUCACAAUUAUUUUAUUAAUUUUAAUUUAAAUUAUAUAAAUAAAAAAUUAAUAACAACAACACAAAUGAAACAUUAUUAUUGAUAAUAUAGUACAAAUUAAUUUUUUUAGAAUAAAAUAUUUAUUAUUAUUAAUUACUAAUAUUAAAUAAAUAUAAUAGUAUUAUUUUUAAAUAAGUAUAAUAAUAUUAUAUUUUCAAAUAAAAAUAGAAUAUAGUAAUAUUAUUAAUUCUUUAUGAAUAUAAUAAUAUUAUUUUUAAGUAAUUUUAACUUAGAAUCAAUAUAAAUUAUUAUUUUUAACCAAAAAAUUAAUAUUAUUUUAAAUAUGUUUAAUAUUAUUAUUUUUAAUAAAUUUAAUUUAUAAAAUAAUAAAAUAUUAUUAUUUAAAUAAAUAGGAUUUUACUUAUUUUAUUAAAUUUAAUAAAAUAAAUAUGUUUAAUAUUAUUAUUUUUAAUAAAUGUAAUUUAUAAAAUAAUAUAAUAAUAUAAUUUAAAUAAAUAUGAUAUUAUUUAUUUUAUUUUAUUAAAUAUAAGGGUAAAAAAUGAAGAGAGGCGAGUGAAUUCCCACUCCCACCUUCCUCCAUGGGAGUGGGAAUCCUACUCCCCACUCCAAAAUUAGGUGGGAUCCACACAGUGGAAUUCUCACUCCUCCUUUGAAAAUUAUAAGUAAACAUUGGAGUAAAAGUAAUCCACACUCCUCACUCUCACUCCUUAAAAUAAACACUACAUUAAAGAAGCCACUGACUCAUAAGAAAACCAUGAUUAAGUACACGACGAAACAUGUGAGCUCGUUUUUCAAUUUCUUUGAUCACUCAUAAGCUUUUCUAUACCACUCACUAUAUCAUCCUUUUAAGUCAAUUUUGACUGAUCAUAAGAGAUUAUGCACCCCACCUUGAGAUGAUUGAUCACCAAUUUGGCAUUGUAACGUUGAUCACCUCUAAUUGGCCAUGCUAAAAUUGGGACCCCAUUGCCAAUUACUUCUACAGUUAAAUUUUAUCUACAGUGAGAUAAAAAUCCACCUAUUAAUUGAUAACUUAGUAUCAAUAAUUAUGGCGCCGUUCCAUCUAUUAUCAAACCCUUUUUACCGGCUCUACUAUCUAAACCACUACGAAAAUAAGCUGGUUAAAAAUAAAAAAUCCCCAGUUACUCUGCUCAAACUCGUUAAUAUUUGUUUCCACCACCAAAGCAGCCACUCGUAUCUUUUAUUAAGCAUAAUGUUUUUAAACAAAUAUGAUGAAAACUCUUAGGGCCAGUUUGGUAAUGCUGCAGCUUUUAAAAUAAUUGCUGUUAGCUGUGCUGUAGAAAUAAUCAGCUGUGAAGAGAAUCAGUUAAGUGUUUGGUAAAUUUUAUUUUCAAAAGUACUGUGAAUUUUGAAAGCAGUUAUGGGUGUUUGGUAAAUUUUAUUGUUAAACUGCUGUAAGAAAAUAAAUGACCAAAAUGUACAUAAUGUAAGAUGAAAUUUACCUAUACAUAUAAAAAUGUUGUAAGAAAAUAAAUUUACUUGCACUAGAGAAGUUUUGAUAGAACACAAAAUAUGAAGAAAUAGGGUAAACGAAAGGUGUGCGUUAAUUAUAAUAAAAAUUUAUUAAAAUAUUGAUUUUAUUUCUAAUUUAACUAAGGAUAAUUUCGGGUUUAAGUAAUAAUUGUAAGGAUAUUUAUGAAAUUAUAUUAAAGGAUAAAAUUGAUUCUCAAAAUCAGAAUCUAAAAGUUACUAUUUCCCUGCUUUUCAAAAUCAGUUGUAGGAGGAGCUGAUUCUGGCAAAAGUGAUUUUGAUUUUCUUUUACCAAACACCAAAAUUAGCUUUUAGAUUUUUAAAAUCACUUUUAACCCUCCCAAAAGCAAUCCCAAACGGGGCCUUAGAGUGGUAUUAUCCCAUGUUUACUCCAAUGAUUUGGUAUACGCACAUGUAUUUUGGUAUACGCACAUGCACGCUAUAAAUUUAGUCAAGAAAAGUGAAUGUAUCUACAUACAAAUACUUAUCCCAUAUAACUUCAUUUCUUCAACUGAAGAAUCGGUCGUCUCUCAUUUUUUAUUUAUUAUAUAAAGAUAAAUAUAUAAAUUUAAAUGGCGAGAAGAGCGGACGAGGAAUACGAUUACUUGUUCAAAGUGGUAUUAAUCGGCGAUUCGGGAGUCGGCAAAUCGAACUUACUCUCCCGAUUUACUCGUAACGAGUUCUGUUUGGAGUCCAAAUCCACUAUUGGCGUCGAAUUCACCACCCGCACUCUUCAAGUAACUAACUUUUCCUCUUUCACUUCUCUUCAUUUUUAUUAGUUAAUUAAGAUCCAGUUAAUGUAAUUAAUUUUAUUUAAUCUUUUAAAUAAAGUUCUAGAUUAGGCUAACUUAGAUUCAUGUCAAGUUGAAGUGAUUUACUUUCGAUCUCUUUUUCGUCCUAUGUUUAUUUGUACUUACUAUUACUUUUUUUUUGGGUAUUUUCGUUUUUGAAGUGUUUACUGAAUAAAUUUCUGAGCUUUAUUUGUGUAUGCUGAUUGAUUUGUGAUUUUAAUUUGUGAUUUUUUUUUUGGCAUUUAAAUUUGAAUGCUUUUUAAUUUGAAUCUGAAUGUGUUGGGCUGCGAUUUAAUUAAGUCAUGUGUGAGCACCAAAUUGUGAUAGCUAUAUAUUGGGGUGAAAAUUUGGGAUUUAAAGCUAUGUAUUUAAGAUGCAGUUAAUUGGCAAGUGAAAAUUAUGGGCCGGCAGAUUUUGUCAUUGGAAGACUGUUCUCCACAUGUUGAAGUUAGUGAUGCAAGUUGAAACCAAUCUGUUUAAGCUUGGGGUUUCAUGUCUUGAAUCAAGGCUGUGACUUGGGGUGGGUUGAAAGUAUUAUAGCUUUAGCUAUUCCUGAAGUGAUCUGUUUAGACUCACCGUGAUGAGACCGAGUGCUGUACAGUAAAAUGAAAGGAAGUUGGAAAAUAUUUACUUAGCAUUUCGCGUUACUAAUGUUGAACUAAUAAAACCUAGCCCCUAUCCUAGUGAAUUUAUGUUAAAAAGCUAUGCACGCAUUAAGUUAGUGCGAGAGUCUGCUGAAGCAUAUGUCAGCUGUGUGUUUGGAGCUGAGUAUUCUUCAUUCCACAUUUUGGGUUUUGGUUGACCUCCAGCAUGACUCAACCCACUUGAGUUAAAAGCCCUAGAGUUACAUUCUACCCAUGAUAUUUGAGUUUAUCAAGUCACCUUAUUUUAAUACUUCUCUGGAAAACAAAUAUAUAUGUUAAAUCAGGUAGGAAAAAUAAAAAGUUAAUUAUUUUAAUACUAAGGUUUUGAAACAUUAAGAUCUUUAGCCAUUAUGUUACUAUCCCGUAGUUAUUUAAGUUACAAGAGAUAGUAAAAAAUAACAUCAUAUUUUAAUUACUUACACUAAUCCUACAAGUGCUGAUGGUCUAAAGUUGCUGCUGCUUGCACUGAAUCAGUGGUCAUGGGCCAGCCAAGGUUAGGUGAGGCCAACUCAUUAGCUUGUGAAACUUAAAGAAGUCUUAGGUUUGGAAAAGAUGGGGCACAGGUUACAAAAAUUUUUUGAGUUUUGGAUUGAAGGAACAAAAUUGUUGAUGUCUAGCUCACAAUAUUUGAAGUCACUCUGUGCUUCAUCAUGUCAAAUGGAUUGAAUUGCUGUAAGAUCAGGUCAAAUUAAAAUGUUUAAACUCAUUUUUAAGAAACGAAUUCUCAAUUGGACCAGCCUUUCACAGAAGCUGAUAUCACAGAAGCUUUGAGUCAGAUGCAUCCAACCAAAGCCCUUGGCCCAGAUGGUCUCCCAGUAGUAUUUUUCCAAAAGCUUUAGAAUUCAGUAAGCGAAGGAGUUAUAGCCACUUGUCUGCAUAUCCUCAAUGAUGGAGGUAAUAUUGCUCCUUUGAAUCAUACAUACAUUGCUUUAAUCCCCAAGAUAGCAAAACCUAGGACUCUGAUGGAGUAUAGACCAAUCAGCAUAUGUAAUGUAAUUUAUAGGAUCAUUGCAAAGACUAUAGGGAAUAGGCUGAAGCUAAUCUUAGAUCAUGUUAUUUCGCCAACUCAGAGUGCUUUUAUGCCAAAUAGGUUCAUAACUGAUAAUAUAAUUAUUGGGCAUGAGUGUCUUCAUAAGUGGACAAAGCUAUGUUCCAGAGGUGAGAUAGGAAAUUCUCCCGCACGACACAGCAGAAACAAACUUUCCCUUUCAUUUUCUUUUCUCUUUCUCGCUCUCCAAACAGAGCAAAAGGACCGUCGGAAGAUUCUUCACUUCCAUCCAAAAUCAUGAGCAACGAAUAGUGAGCCUCCCUGUUUCCUUCCUUUUUUUGAUAUUAACAUUGUUAACAUAUACUCAUUUUAAUUUGACAAUACUUCAACUUUUUUUAUUUUUUUGCCUUUUCAUUUUUUUUGUUGAAGCAAUUAUCUGUUCAAGCUGUUGCUUAUCGAAGACUCGUCCUUCGGAAAGUCCUGCCUGCUGCUCCGAUUUGCUGUCUGUUGACUUUUCCUUUCCCUUCUUAUUUUCUUUUUUUAUAUUAAUUACUUUCUAUUUUAGCUUUUUGUUCUCUGAAUUUGUGUUAUUAAAAUGAUAAUUUAGAUGACAAAUAAUUGUUAUUCUUGUAAAUUUAGGUUUUCAUUACGUUAAUUGUUAGUUUUUAGGUUUAUUAAUGUAAUUUUUUUUGUUUUUUUUUUUUCAAUUUUUCAGGAUGAUUCUUAUGUCACCGCUACAUCAGUACCAUUGGAGUUGAUUUUGUGAGUCUCUCUUCUAUAUAUAUGUAUAUAUGUGUAUAAGUUAUAAUAUGAGUCUAUGUACGUGUAUGUAUGUAUGUGCAUGUAUAUGUGGAAAGAAAUGUUGGCAGACUUCAGCAUUUUACUCUUUUUUUUUUUUUUUUUUUGGGAGAAAAUAAGAACUGUGGAGUUGGAUGGGAAGACGAUCAAACUGCAGAUUGUGAGUCAAAAUUUCCUUUUAUCUUGUAUUGAGAGAAAUUCGAUUUGUCUUAUUUAGUGAAGGUUAUGUUCAAGAACCUUGUCUUAUUUUCUUUGUUUGAAGAGUGAUAUGUUGAAAUGAGUGUAUUUGUCUUAUAAACAUCAUUUAGGUAAUGUCUUAUGUGUGAUUGUUUUGCAUCUGUUGAGUGGGACACUGCUGGACAGGAGCGAUUCAGGACUAUAACUAGCAGUUAUUACCGAGGAGCCCAUGGAAUCAUAGUAAGGAGCCUUUCCGGUUCUUGGUUUAAAUCAGAAAGUUUGUGAUUUACAUGUGACAUCUUAACAGCAUUGUAUGUGUUUAUUAACUUAUUUUUCAUCUUUCGUUAAGCAGUACAUUUUCCAAUAAAUCUGUAUACAAGAUGAUGUAGUCCAAGAAUGGGAGCGAUAAUAUGAUGCAAAUUGUCUAAUAAAUUCUUAUGACAUAUGAUGUUGUCGGAAGUAAAAGUCUUGCAAUGCUGUAUUCUCUUUUAAGAAAGAAUAAGUGGUAAUCUUAUUUUUCCAAUUUUUUAAUUGAGCAACUGUGUGAGAUUAAUUAAAUGUGUUGGGAUUUCAACAGAUUGUCUAUGAUGUAACUGAGAUGGAGAGCUUCAAUAAUGUCAAGCAGUGGUUGAAUGAGAUUGACAGAUACGCAAAUGACAGUGUAUGCAAGCUUCUAGUGGGGAACAAAUGCGAUUUAGUUGAGAACAAGGUUGUGGACACACAGACAGCCAAGGUAUAUUCGUGACUUCUGUCGCCUGAACUUUGAAUAUAAUUUUAAACUCUUCUCAAGUGCAUUUGCUUGAUAAGUUUCUGCAUACCCAGGACACUCAAACUUUGGACAGUUUGUAUCUCAAGCUGGAAUCUUUUUUGUCAAUACGACUUGUUAAAAUAAGGGUUAUUAUCGUUUGAAUCCUUCAAGAAUUGCAAUAAAUCUAAAGUCCAUAAAAAAAUAUGAUUCCAUCUUUUUACUAUUAUAUCUAGACAAAACCCAUUAUUUUACUACAUUUCAUUGGCACGGAUAGUUGACCUGUUGGCUGACUGAUAAAAUAUCAAUUUUGCACUUUAUAUUAAUUCUUUUUUGGUUAAAAAAUAACACACAAAGUAUUACAAUAUUAUAAAUUCAAAAUAUAAAGUAGUUACAAAUAAUUCCUAUUAGCCUAUGAAUAUAAUAUUUGAUACCUCUAUUUGUGUAAUUUUUUUCCAAUGGUGAAAUUGUUAUUUUUUUUUGUACUAACGGAAAUGUAGUAAAAUCAUAAGUUUUGUAAAGAUAUAGUAGUAAAAUGAUAGACUAAAAUACUUCUUGUAGUUGUUUGAUAUAUUGUAAUUCUUAAAGUAGUCAAUUGAUAAUAUCCCCUAAAAUAAAUGUUCGUAAUAUGUUCUCAUUUUAAUGCAACUGAUUGUUUAAUAAAAUUGUAUUUCUUUGUUAAUCUUUUAUCAUGUGCAUGCUCAGUGAGAAUUUGACUUACUAGAACACAAGUUUGACUCUUCAUUUAAAUGUCUCUUGUAUCAUAUCCUUUAAUGUUGAGUGUGAUUCCAAUAAAAUUGAGUAGGGAGAUCCUUAAAUACCUUUUCCUUUUUUCCAAGGGCCUGCCAAAUUGCUCUAAGUGGUUCUACCCUUUAUCAAUGAAUAAUGAAAAUAAAAUUUUUAUUAAAGCAUUUUGUUCCUUAAAUGGUGACUAAUAGUACCCCUUUUUUUUGGAGAGGAAAGCCAAACAUGCCCAAAGAGAAUCAUUUACUUUCCUCUAAUGUAUUUUCUAAUUCGUUUUGAGCCUUGAAUGUCUGUUUUGGUGCGUAUUCUCAUUCCAUGUUGAAUCUUAUCCAUAUGGACAACCCCACUUACAAAAAAGUCUAAUGAAUCUAUUGAAGUUCAUAUGAGGUUUGUGCUUUAGAUUUAGACCUCUCUCUCUCUCUCUCUCUCUCCACUUACAUGUCUUUCACUUACCUGUCUUUCACUUACCUGUUUGCAUGCAUGCCCAUGCACACACUUUCACGAUAAUACUGUAGGGGAAAAAUCAUGUUUUUAAAUUUUAUAAAACCUUUUGAAGAUCGCUCUCAUAUAAUAUAUAAGAAUUCGUAUUCUAGAAAUCGUACCUUGAAAAUCCGAGUUGGCUUUUCCACUGAAGUGAUUUAGGCUCCUAGAUCACGAUCUGCCACCACCACUCCUGUUAGAUCACGAUCCGUCAUCACCACGCUUGUUAGAUCACGAACUGUCGCCAAUGAUCUUCCAGGUUAUGACUCAGGUUCGAUCUGCACUUGACGUGUGGGCGCCUUUAUCACUGCCAAAGCAACUAGCACGAGAAAAUUUUUCUCUCAAUCAUGGAGAGAAAAAUCUUAUUCUCUGAUUUGUAUAAAGUGGCUUCUUCCUUUUUCUUUUGAGAAAAUAAGCCUUAUAUAUCUCCCUUUAGUGAAAACCCUAGGCUCCAAAUAAUGCCCUAAAUAAAACUCACGUUAUUUUCUUUUUCAAUAGGGAACCCACCUUGUAAAAUAACAUAAGGCCCCUUAUACAAAAGCUAAUUAAAUGGAGCCUCCCACUAAAUGAUAUAUUUAGGCUUUUGACCCAAAUAGCUAGUUAUCUUACUUAUUAGUCCAGUGGUGGUGCAGUCAAUUAAAUGAGCUAACCCGGGGAUCAUUUGGGAACAUACAAUAGUGGCUACAAUAAUUAGGCCUGUAAUUAAACUAGCCUAAUUAUUUAAUUCCAAAUCUACUCCACUAAAAGAUUGGAACUGACUUCCAUAAUUGUAUGCUCGAAUAAUAAUUCGUCCCAAGCCACAUUGAUUUCUUUAGUGCACAAUCCUUUGUACCACAUCGUUAAUUAAAUUGAUAUCUCAACUGUCCAAUCAAUUUAAUAACAUCUUAUUCCUUGAUCCUUACUGGUUUUCUCUAAUGAUCAUUUUCAACAUACUAAAUAUGUUGACACACUCUGGCCAGAGAAUUCUAUGAUCAAGUGCCGAAAACCCAUCAAGAGAUGUGUUGUACAAAUUCUAUAUUGUUAAUCCAUAACUCCAAUACUCAUAAUUGCUCCCACCAAGAUACCGGGUAAUCUUGACCACAAGUAUGUGUUGUGUCCAUUGGUAACUCAAAUGGAAUAACAAUUACAAUCAUGAAAUCAUAAUUAACUCAAGAUUAAGAUUACAGUAAAAUCAACGCCUAUGAGAUUUAAUAAGUCUGACAGUUAUUACAAAGUUAAUUAAAUCUCACAUGUGAUCCUGUUCAAUGUAGUCGUACUACAUCAAUAAAUUCAUACAUGAUUAAGACAAAUCAUUCAAUGAAUUUAUUACAGUCUAUACCUAAAUAAAGUGCCCAACUUUAUUUAUCAACUGCGAACUAAAUUUAUUUAAUCAUAAGAUAACUUGUAUUUAUGUCUUCUGUGAAUCCACAUGGUGAUCACAUAAAUACAUAUAAUAUGAUUAAAUGGACUUUAAUACAAAUAUUAAUGCAAUUAAGAUAUUUGAAUAAAAUACCUCAUUUAUUUUAUUAAUCAGAAAAACUGUUUAUUACAAUUAAAUAAACACAUAUGCUUUUAAAGAGCAUAUUUUCCCAACAAAUACACGGUCACUCGUACUUGUGUUUUGGUUGAAUUACUGGCUGCUAACCUCUGUAAUUCAGUUUGAAACUUGCCACCCUUAGUGCUUCACUCAAAUGGUUGGUUAGGGUGAGAUCUGUAUCGUUUUCUUGGUCUCUUUCCAAGGUUAUCUAAAGGGAUUUGGCAGUCUGAUUCUUUAGGGAAUAUCAUUGCAUAAGAUAUCUAUUGUUUGUUAAUGAAUAAUUUCUAUUUAACUAGUUAUCUAUAUAAAUUGGUAAAUUUUAACUGCAUAAUUUGCAUGCAAUAAGAUUUUAUAAGAAUCUUGUUUUCAACUCAUGACUUAGACUAAUGUGAUAUGUUGAGCAUUAAGCUACAAGAUCUGCACAUCAAAGUGCUUCACAAUGUUAAGGAGAAAGCAUCUUUUUCUGCUUCUUCAUGUGAUUUAAAGUUUCCAAGGUACUUAUCCAAUAAAAUAUCUUUCAAGACUUUGGAAAUGCUUUUAUAUAUGACUGAGAGAAACUUGUUGGGUUGGUUUUUAGCAACAGACGGAGUUAUGGACUUUGUGUUGACUUGUUAUUGAUUAAGACAGUACAUCGGCUGAUCUAUUGGCAUCAAGCAGCAGAUGCAGAAAUUAUGGGUGGCAUACCAUUGUAUCCAAAUAACAUACUACAUUGAUUUUUCUGACUUUCUGUUGGUCUCCGAGUGAAAUGCAGGCAUUUGCAGAUGAACUGGGGAUUCCUUUCCCGGAGACGAGUGCCAAAGAUGCAAUCAAUGUGGAGCAGGCUUUCUUGACCAUGGCUGGCGAGAUUAAGAAAAAGUAAAAUCACUUAACUCUUUCCUUCUUGCCGACUGUUCUUAUUUAACAAUCACUAUUAUUGCUGGUUAUAUGCAUUGUGAUGAAAAUUCUGCAAUGAGUAACUUUUUACCUAAUGUUUUCUGUUGGAACAAAUUACUCUGGUAGAAAAGCCCUACAGGGUUUGAGAAAUCCCAUGAUGUGAUGAUUGUGAGCAUUUUAGACACCGUCUAUGGGUUUAUUUUGUGACUAUAAAAUGUUAAGAUUGUUUCUAGUUUUGGUUUGUAGUGCAUAAAAGGAUUCAAAAUUUGACAUCUGUCUAAAUCAGAUUAAUAACAUGAUAAUGUACAUAUGCAAGAUGUGAGGAAUUGUUUUAUCUCACCCCUAAACUUUAAGAAAUUGAAACAGUAUUAUUCAAAAUAUUUAACAUUUCCAGAAUUGAUAGUUGUCUAUUUGAGCAGUGACUGGUGGUUAUCAUGAACUGAUGUGCGGUUGUGGUUUCAAAUCUUGGUGAAACCUGUUGUCCUAUGCUGAUUAACAUAGUUAGUCUCUGAAACAAUUUGUUGAUUCACUAAUUAUGAGUUAAAAUUUGAUGCAGAAUGGGCAACCAGCCUACUGCAAACAAAUCUUCUGGAACAGUUCAGAUGAAGCGAAUGCCAAUCCAGCAAAACAGCGACUGUUGUGGUUAGCCGAGCAUCUUAUUUUACUUCUACAUGUUAGCUGACUGAUUGUAGACAGUUUUAACUAUGUUGACUGCAUUAUCUUAUGAAUCUUUUAAUCUGUCAAAUAUUUAUUUCCUGCUUUAAGUUCUUUCCCGUUUAUAACAAAUUUAAUUUCUUGCUCCAUUGGAUUCCAAAUUCCUGUCAAUUUACGAGGGAAAAAGAAAAGAGAGACGAAAUGGGAGAAAAUGGUCAAAUUUGUUAGGCGGAGAGAGCUGUUUAAGUAGUUUUUGUUCUCGUUUAUUGUCGUGACCCUCAUGUCGCUUAUCGAUUACCUGGAAGUCCGGUCGUAUCGGAUGGGUAAAGUUACCGAAUCGGCAUCAUUUUGGGUGAAAUAUCAUAUUUAUGUGACACUUUUGAUAAUAUUUUUAUGUGUUACAGAGUAUGAUAAUAUGGUACAGCUGAGAGCAUCUGAUUAAAUGGAGCUGCUGAUGCUUACGUGUGUUGUUGAGUUAGUUAUCCAGCUCAGCAGUAAAGAUAACGAACUGGACUGCAUGCAUAUUAGAUUCAACAAACUGACAAGCUACGAGAUGCCUCUGAUCUUUUACUAUAAAUAACAAGUUGUAAUCAUCAGUCAAAUAAUAAGAAUAUGAUCAUUUUCAGAUCUGAUUCUUUAUGAUUUUCUUUCAUUUUCUUGUUAGUUUCUCUUAAACCAAACACUAUAUACAAACUCUUUCAUGGUAUCAGAGCAAACAAAUGGCAAAUUCGAAUCAAAAUUCUGGAUCCUAUAGUUUUAUUACUCCGAUAAAACUAGAUCAUAAUAACUUCAUUGUUUGGCGAACUCAGAUUCUCACAUCCAUUAAAGGAAAUGGUUUAGAAGAUUUCAUCAAUGGAAAUCAAGUCUGUCCGGAAAAAUUUUUCUCUGCUACAAGCUCUGCUGCUGGUUUCUCAUCUGGAACAGAUAAUCAAGAGAUCAAUCCAGCUUACACAAUGUGGAUAAAGACGGAUCAAUUGAUUCUGAGCUGGAUGCUCUCAUCUAUUCAACCGAAUUUGCUGACAACUGUGAUCCACUGCUCAACUGCAAAGGAACUGCUGGAUACACUUACAAGUAUGUUUGUUUCCCAGUCACAAGCUAGAAUAAUGCCUCUAAAAAUGCGAAUCCAAACUCUUAAAAAAGGCUCGAUGUCCAUAACUGAUUAUUUUGCAAAAAUGAAAAGGAUAUCUGAUAGCUUAGCUUUAGCUGGAAAACCUGUUGAAGUGAAUGAUUUCGUUCAACAUGUUUUGACUGGAUUGGAUUCUUCUGAUUAUGAGUCACUAGUUACUACUGUGUUAGCUAGAGGAGAUAAUAUCAGUCUUGAUGAGUUUUAUUCAUUGUUAUUGAGUCAUGAAAAUCGUGUGGAACAAAAGAGAGGAAAAAUUGCAAGUGAUGUUACACAUAACUUGUCAGCUAAUGUUGCUCAAAAGCAGUUCAAUCCUGGUAAAAACACUAGUGGUAAUCAGAAGUUUAACACUGGAUCGUAUGGAGGAGGUUAUAAUUCUGGAGCUGGAUCUAGUGAUGGUAACUUCUCACAAAUUGUAUGCCAGAUCUGCUUCAUUCCUGGUCAUGGUGCCAAUAAAUGCAGGAAUAUGUUUAACUCAGCUUUUGUUCCUUCAAGAAAUCAAGGAAGAGGUAGUUUUAAUGGAAAUUUUAGGCCUGGUCAGAGGCAGUAUGGUAGAGGUUUUGGCUAUGCUAAUGGAAAUAGGUCUUCUAUGGCUUAUGGAAAUUUUGGUAAUUUUGGUAGAAAUCUUAAUCCUCAAUAUGGUGCUGGAAUUGGUAACUCUCAGUUUGGUAAUUUCAACAUACCAAGAGCACCUGGUUAUCAAGGUCAUUUGAUGUAUUCAGAUCCAACUGCUUUCAAUGUUUAUCAACCAUCUAACUCUCAUGGUGGUUACUCUCCUGCUCAUGUUUUUGUUCCUACUGGAGAUUACUCUGGAUCUCCUUCAGUCCCUGUUCCAACUCAUGCACCUGAGAUGAUUGAAGAUCCAGCUUGGUACAUUGACAGUGGUGCUACUAACCACAUCACAAAUGACUCAGGUAAAUUACUGGAUCUCAAGCCAUAUGUUGGCACUGACAAAUUGCUUGUUGGGAAUGGUUCUGCAUUGCAUAUUAAACAUAUUGGAUCAGUAUUGCUAGCUACUACUGCAAAUAAACCCUUGUGUUUAAACCAUGUUCUUCAUGUUCCAAAUAUUAAGAAAAAUUUACUCAGUGUUUCAAAGCUCUUAGUAGAUAACAAUGUGACACUUGAGUUUUUUGCAAAUGUCUGUGUUGUCAAGGCCAGGAACUCAGGGAUCACUUUGCUUAGAGGAAUUGCAACAGGGGGAUUGUAUCAAGUCCAAUCUGCAACUCAAGUCUCUGAAACUAGCUCAGCCUUGUCAUGUCAACUUUCUUCCAAUAAACCUCAGUCUUUGUUUGCUUUUCAUUCUCCUUUGUCUAGUGAUAUUUCUCCUGAAAUAAGUAAGAGUACUUUGUCUCAUCAUUUGCUGUGUAAAUCAGCCUUGGCUGUCAAUACUAGCUCAGUCGAUGUCAAUGUUUUCCAUAAAAGGCUAGGACAUCCUGCCUUACACACACUCAAAUCUGUAUUGAAAGCUUGUAAUAGUUUCAAUGUACUCAAUAAAACUCCAAACUUUUGCAAUGCCUGUCAACAUGGUAAAAGUCAUCUUUUACAUUUUGGAUCUGUUCCAACAAAAACAACUGCACCAUUACAACUUAUAUAUGCUGAUUUGUGGGGACCAUCACAUGUUGCAUCCACUCAAGGCUAUAUAUACUAUCUGUCCAUUUUAGAUGAUUUUAGCAGAUUCACAUGGAUUUUUCCUUUGACUGCUAAAUCAGAUGCUCUCCAAGUCUUCACAGAAUUCAAAUCCUUUAUUGAAAAACACUUACAACAACUCAUCAAAAUAGUUCAAACAGAUUGGGGAGGGGAGUUUAGAACCUUUGCAUCAUAUCUCACUCAAUUUGGAAUUCAGUUCAGGCACCCUUGUCCACAUAUCCAUCAUCAAAAUGGAAGAAUUGAGAGAAAACAUAGACACAUAGUUGACAUUGGCCUCACUCUGUUAGCUCAAGCUAAUUUACCACUUAAGUUCUGGUGGAAUGCCUUUCAUACUGCUGUAUUCCUUAUCAACAGACUACCCACACCAACUUUGAAUAACAUUUCACCUUAUCAAAAACUUUUUCAGCAAGUACCAGAUUAUGCCUCUCUUAGGGUCUUUGGUUGUGCUUGCUUUCCUUAUCUCAGACCUUAUAACAGACACAAGCUCAGUUUUAGAUCAAACAGAUGUGUUUUCAUUGGGUAUAGCUCUUCUCAUAAAGGGUAUCAGUGUCUUCAUUCAUCUGGUCGUGUGUAUGUGUCCAAUCAUGUCAUCUUUGAUGAACAAUCCUUUCCAUAUGUAUCUGGAUCAGACUUCUCUUCCAUUGCUCAGUCUUGCAGUCCCUUAGAUAUUUCUUCAGAGUCCAAAGUUACUCUUGUUCCAAUCCCACAAGUACAAUCCCCCCUGCAAGAAUCUCCAGCAAGUGAUUACCUACCUGCUGACACUCCACAGGUAUUCUCUCCAUCUUCAACCUCCUCUUCAUCAUCUACUUCAACAUCACAUACACAUCCUAUACAUCAUACACAAUCUCCUCCUCAUAUAUUACCUGCUGCACCACCUAUAGGUCAUCCCAUGAUAACCAGAUCCAAGGCUGGUAUCUUUAAGCCUAAAUCUUUUUUAGCUGCUUUACUAGCCAUACCUUCAGAACCUACUUCUGUUUCAGCUGCUUUAUCUGAUCCAAAAUGGUUUAAGGCAAUGCAAGAAGAAUUUCAAGCACUUCAGAACAAUCAUACAUGGGAUCUGGUCUUGCCAAGUGAACCAGUUAAGGUAGUUGGAAACAAAUGGAUAUUCAAGAUAAAAUAUCAUGCUGAUGGAACCAUUUCUAGAUACAAAGCCAGGUUAGUGGCUAAGGGGUUUCAUCAGACACAAGGAGUUGAUUACACAGAAACAUUCAGUCCAGUUGUUAAAGCAUCCACAGUCAGAGUUAUUUUAAGUUUAGCAGUUCUGAAUAAAUGGGAGCUCAGACAAGUGGAUGUGAAUAAUGCUUUUUUGAAUGGCAUAUUAGUUGAAGAUGUGUACAUGGGGCAGCCAGAGGGCUUCAUUGAUCCAUCUCGACCUCUUCAUGUCUGUAAGUUGAAAAAGGCUCUCUAUGGUUUAAAACAAGCCCCCAGGGCAUGGUUUGAGAGACUGAAAGAUGCUAUGGUUGUGAAAUGGGGUUUCCAAAAUUCAAGGUCAGACAACUCCCUUUUCUACAAGUGGAUAGGUGAUCAAGUAAUUUUUGUUCUUGUCUAUGUGGAUGAUAUAAUCAUAACAGGCUCAAGUGAUAAAAUGGUGCAGCAAGUGAUCACAAAUAUGCAAAAUGCUUUUGCUUUGAAGGAUCUGGGAAAAUUGAGUUAUUUUCUUGGGAUAGAAGUUACCAAAACAGCAUCUGGAAUUUAUCUAUCUCAAUCUAAAUACAUAGCUGAUAUUCUAACCAAACACAAUAUGGCUGACUGCAGUCCAGUUCCUACUCCCAUGGCCACUGGUCAUUAUCUUACAAAGGGGUCAGGAAGUGUUAUUUCAAAUAGUUCUCAAUAUAGAAGUGCAGUUGGAGCCUUACAGUAUGUGACUCUCACUAGGCCAGAAAUAGCUUUCUCUGUAAACAAACUUAGUCAGUUUUUAGCUUCACCAACAGCAGAGCACUGGGAGGCUUGUAAGAGGCUUCUUAGAUAUUUGAAAGGAACAAUUCAUUUUGGAUUACAUUUUUAUCAUUACGGCACUAUGCAGAUAAAUUGUUUUAGUGACUCAGAUUGGGCAUGUGAUAAGGAUGAUCGCAAAUCAGUGGCUGGUCAUGCUGUUUAUCUUGGUUCAAAUUUGGUUUCUUGGUCGUCUAAGAAACAGGCAGUAGUUUCCAGAUCAAGCACUGAAGCUGAAUAUAGAGCUUUGGCUCAAGCUACAGCUGAGGUUACUUGGAUUCAGUCCUUACUGAAAGAGCUACAUAUUCAUCUUGUCACAGCCCCCAUAAUGUGGUGUGAUAAUCAAAGUGCCAUAGCUUUAGCUCACAAUCCUGUUUAUCAUGCUAAAACUAAGCAUGUUGAGCUUGAUAUUCACUUCAUCAGAGACAAAGUAACAGCUAAGCAAAUUACAUUUCAGUUCAUUCCCAGUGAAGACCAAAAUGCCGAUGUUCUUACCAAGGCAUUAACUUUUAAUCAGUUUCACUAUCUAAGAAGCAAGCUGAAUGUCCAUCCAGGUCAGUUCAGCUUGAGGGAGGAUGUUACAGAGUAUGAUAAUAUGGUACAGCUGAGAGCAUCUGAUUAAAUGGAGCUGCUGAUGCUUACGUGUGUUGUUGAGUUAGUUAUCCAGCUCAGCAGCAAAGAUAACGAACUGGACUGCAUGCAUAUUAGAUUCAACAAACUGACAAGCUACGAGAUGCCUCUGAUCUUUUACUAUAAAUAACAAGUUGUAAUCAUCAGUCAAAUAAUAAGAAUAUGAUCAUUUUCAGAUCUGAUUCUUUAUGAUUUUCUUUCAUUUUCUUGUUAGUUUCUCUUAAACCAAACACUAUAUACAAACUCUUUCAUUAUGCAAUAAAAAAAUGCUCAUGGUACCCGUUUCACAUUGUGAAGCGCAUGAUCAGAUCAGAGCAGUCUGGAUUCUGGCAUCACAAGCGGAUGCUUUGACUUGCUUAGUUUGUUUUUUGUUUCUGAUAAUUUCUCGACAUUGGGUGGGAUAUUGUUUCUCUUUUGAGUUUCUCUUUUUAUUUUUUAUCUUAUGGAAUUUGGAGAUAGUGUAAAUGUAUGAAGAUGACGUAAUCAAGUUGUUUUGAUAAAUUCCCCUGGUCGGUUUACUUCACUAACCAUUAAUGCGCAAAACCUCCUAAUGACCCUCAAAAAUCCCGUACAUAAUUAAAGAAUUUCAAUUUUAUAUGUACAAAAAUAAAUAACUCUCAAAUAUAUUAUUUGAUAAUUCUCAAAACAACAAUUCGCUCUAAUAAAUCUCGUAGGAAAUACAUAGUCUAUAUUGUAAGUCUUUUCGAGACUAAUUCAAAGAGAAAAUACGAAGGAUAUAUAAUUGACCUUUAUCUGUCAUAAAGAACUCUAAAUAAAUUCAUAUACGCAUCGCAACUAAUUACAGUUUUGAUACUUCAUUUGGUUUUUGUUAAUUUUCUAUACGGUUGUGCUGUGCAUAAAAGUUUUGUUAAAUGAAAUCGGUGAGGGUUAAUUAAUCAAUUAAUUAAGAUCCAGUUAAUGUAAUUAAUUUUAUUUGAUUUUUUUAAUUCGAGUUCUAAAUUAAUCAAUUAAUUUAGAUUCAUGUGAAAUUGAAGUGAAUUAGUUUUGAUCUGUUUUUCGUCCUAUGUUUGUCUGUGUUUACUCUUACUUUUUUUUUGUUUAAAUUUUUGUUUUCUUAUUGUUUACUGAAUAAAUUUAUGAGCUUUAUUUGAGUAUGAUGAUUGAUUUGUGAUUCUAAUCUAAAUGUGUUGGGCUGCGAUUUAAUUGAGUGAUGUGUGAGCGCCAAAUAUUCAAUAACUGAUAAAUUAUAUUUAUAAAUAUUAAUAGCGAUGGCACAUAAACAAUUAAUUCAAGAACUUGCCCAUAGUGAUUAAUUUAAAGAGUAUAAGUAACAUUGCAGUACAGUUAGCCCUUACGUGUUUAAUUAGCAAUUGAAAACUACUGUUGCUGAUGAGGUAGAACAUUAUAACACUGUUGCUGAUGAGGCAGCUGGUAAUUCUUUUGGUGAAGAUAUUAAGACUAUUAAAGCUGAAAUGUAAUUAGAGAAAUAUAAUGAUUAAAGAGGUGAGCUUUGAUAACCAUCUCUUUAACUAUAUCACUUAAAUAACUAACUUUUUAAUAUUAAAGCUGAAAUUUAAUUUCCACUAUUUUUGAUAUUUGUUUGGCUAAUGCUUUGCUUAGAUUACUUUUUGUUUUUGAGAUUUUAUUGGCUUAGUCAUGGGAUAUUGUUUUCUCUUCUAAUUUCUAUCUUUAUUGUUAUGGGAUUUGAUUGUAGUGUUCAUAUACGAAAAUUAUGUAAUCAAGUGCUUUCAAUAAAUCAUGAUCGAAUUACUAUUAAUUAAUUAAAUUAAAUUUACUCAAAUUACUCAUGUACACGAUCAAAAUAAUUUUAAUUCUAUGAUAUAUAUACACGCGCGCACACACAAACAAAAUGUAAUUAAUUUUGAAAUACAAAAUAUUUAAAAUAAUCACCGUACUAACAAUUCACAAGUUAGAUUUUAUAUGAAUAGACAGAAAUAAUGUUAAUCUAGCAAAUCCAAUCAUAAUAAAUUGAUUUUUAUUUAUAUUAAUUAUGUCGAACCAUGCUAUUUUAAUAAAGAACACUCCGGUGUUUAUAUAUCCAACAGGUAAAAUUUCAAAACAAUAUUUGCCAAAGUCCGAUGAAAAGAAUAUACACGCACACACAUAUAUAAUCAUACAACAGAAGGAUAAAUAAAAAAAAAAAUGAAGUUUCAACAACUGAAUAAUGCAAACUCAUUUUUUUUAAACAAGCAUUUUAUUGUUUAAUUAAAAAAUUCGAAAACCCAUUAGCCUUAUAUACAUGAUAAAGACUCACCGACGCCGAACCAUAUUAAUUUAACUUAGUUUUCAACUGAAAUUUAAAUUUUGAAAUCACAUACACAAACACGCCCAAUUUGAAAAAAAAAAGUAGUAAUCAUAAAAUAUUUCAAUCGUCCAUUGUUCAGUCACCAAAAACCAAUUUACGAUCUAUUUCAACGCCUAAUUUGAAAAAAGAAAAUACUAAUAAUAAAAUAUUACAGUCGUCCAUCCUUUCACAAAUAAAAAAUAUCACCAUAAACAUCGGGUAUAUGGGCUAACAAGUCCCAAUAUUGUCCUCCAUCCUUUCUGCACUUCUCUUCUAUCAACGGACACUGAUUGAUACUUAAUUGCAAAAGUGAGGAAGGCAGGCCCUUCUCCGGAAAGUAUUUGAGCUUGGGACAAUUCUGGAGUCGCAAUGAAGUGAGGUUUUGAAGAUCAACAAUUGAAGAAGAUAGGCGUUCCAGAUUUGGAAAAUUGAAAAUCUCCAGAGAUGUUAGAGAGGGAGGAAGAGGAAGCGCGGUCCCUAAUCUUUUGUCCUCUAGUGGAAAUGACACCAUGUCGUCAUCGCAUCCUUCGAUACGUAGACGUCGCAGAGAGGAGAAUCUGUGAAAUCCCCGGCCCCGCUCAAUCAUUGACUUCCAAAUCUCCAUAUUACCCCGAAUAUCAAGUGAAUGAAGGUUGGUGGGAAGGCCAUCAUCUUCUUCAAGGCUUGGAAGCGCACCUCCUAUUCUUAAUUCUUGAAGAGAGGUCAGAUUGUGCAAUCCCUUGGGUAAGGCCUCUAGUCUCUUACAAUCAGUUAUCUCCAGCCUCGUGAGUUUCGCACAAGGCAAUCCCCCUUCGGGAAAGGACACCAGAUUUCCACACCUCAUUAUCCGUAUGUCUCGAAGCUGGCGGAGAUUAUGUAAACCACUCGGUAAACUUUUCAGAUUUUCACAAUCAGGAAUGUAGAUUGUUUCAAGAGAUGAGUUGUUGUCCAACAUUUCUGCUAUUGACUCCAGCUUUGAACAUCCCCGAACUAAAAGGGACUUAAGAGACGGAGGUAGAUUGCCAACUUCAAGGGACUCAAGCGUGGCAGGUAACUCGUUUUUUGAAAAUAUACAUGUCAGAGACGAACAACUCUCAAUGUGUAAGUGCUCAAGAAGAGAUGACGUGUACCUUCUGCUGCUUCUGCUGCUGCUACACUGGAUGCCCUCUUCCACUGUCAAAGUCCUUAUAUUAUGGCAACCGCAGAUCUUCAAAUUCUUAAGGCUCGAUGGUAGCCUGACAGCAGCAAUAUAUGUCAACGAACAACAAUAGUGAAUAUUCAAGAUCUCGAGAGACGAAUUGGUGUCGCACAUCCAUGCCUCUGGUAACGAUUUCAGUGCAUCACAUGCUCCAAUAUGAAUUUUCUUCAACUUGGAAGGCAGAGCAACCUCAGGAAAGGAAACAAGGGAACUGCACUUGUAGAUUGCUAUCUCUCUCAAGGAACUGAGGCUGAACGAUGAUUGUGGCAGCUUCACAAGGCUUUCGCAAUCACUCAAUUCUAGAUAUUCAAGUCUGCAUGACAAUUCGCAGAGCUGCUGUUGUUGGUCUUUCUUUUCCUCCGCCACCAAGGAUUGAAGUUUGGGACAGCUGUCAAUCGUCAGUCUUUUGAGAGAGCAAAUGUCUUGCAGUAAUUCGUUAUGACUCUUCCAUAUAUGUGUUUCAUUUUUAAUAUUUUUUAUCUCCAAUUCUUCCAGUUUUGGUAUUCGCAGCUUCAAUGGCCCUGCGAGAAACACUUGAUUUGAUGUAUCUCUACAAACCACUGAAUUCUGUGAGCCGAGAUGAUCAAUUGCACUUCUCCACACAACCUUUUUACAUCCAUCAAUCUCUAAUUUGCAAAGAGCUGGAAGACUCGUAACUGAAACUGACAAUUCUUCACAUCCUCGAAUAACAAGCAUCUCCAAUGCAGGAAGGCAUUCUGGCAAUGUUCCUUGCAGUUUAGAACAUCUUAAAAUGCUAAGCUCUCUCAAUUUAGGAAACCCUUCAACUCCCUGACCAGAUCUAAGAGGAAUCCAGUCUUCCCAUUCUCGCAGGUCUUCAAAAUGAAGAGUCUCCAAGCAUGGAAAAGGAAUCCGAGAAUCAUUCCCAUAGAACUCUGAACCCAAACUCUUUACUCUACUCAUUCCACCCACUUCAAGAUGCUUUAGAGAGGGUAGUUGCCCGACUGACGGCAGGGUAGUACACACGCCACAAUCUUCAAAUUUAAGUGUUACUAAAUUUGACAAUGAGGAAUCUCCUAACCAUGUUGGAAAUUUUGUACCUCCAUAGCCACAGACACAAAAUUGUUCCAGAUUUUCAUGGGGUUUGAGCAUGUCAAGCACGCCCAUUUCAGUUUCUGCCUCCCUUGAAGAUGAACCAUCGGUGCUGCAAGUCCAAUUAAGCGAUAAUUCUCUAAGAUUCUCCUUUACAUCCAACCGAGCCUCCUUUGCAUCACCAAUGUCUUUUACAUUCCCUAAAUUUGAAAUUUUAAGUGUCCCCUGAAGAUGUAUCAAUGACUUUAGCUCUCGUAACCCAGAACCAUUGUCUUUUCCCACAGCAAAAUUACUCAAAGUCUGAAGACAAGUCAGCUUACCAAUUCCUACUGGCAUUUCCUCCAACGAAUCUGUAUUUGAAUUAUUGAGAUGAUGCAAUUUGAUGAGGUUUCCCAUGGCUGCACACAACUUCUUCAGUCGCCGACAGUCUUCCAACAGAAGGGUGUGCAAAUUGUAAAGCUUGCUGACUGAUUCAGGCAGAGUUUUAAUCUCAGUUCCAGACAGGUUAAGGUGCCUUAAAUACCUCAAAUCACCAACUGAAUCCGGCAGCUCGGAGAUGUGAUAUCCACGCAAAGAGAAGACCCUCAACCGUUGGAGUUUGAACAACUUAGGAAGAAUGCUACGAGCCAAGUAUCCACGCGAACUCUUUGUCAACAUUACUGGUAAAAAAGUUCGCAAAUGUUGGAUAUCGUACAAGCCCUCAAACCUUUGAACGCCAUCACAAAAUCCGCGAAUGUAUGACAGGUGACGAAUAUUUUUGGAAAAACUUUGUUGCUUGUUAACCUCUGAGGUAUACUCCAUUGUGAAGUAUAUCUCCCCCGCAGCCCAUUGAGCAAGGUCGUUGACAAGGUCGUGCAUCACAAAUCGUGAUUUAUUGUUGCUUGAUUGCUGGAAAAAAGAUCUUGAACGUAGCUCUUGAAAGAACUUUCGACCUAGAUCUUCAAUAGGAUUCCCACUCUCUUUGUGAUCCAAGAAACCCGAAGCACACCAUAAUAAAAUUAUCUCCUCCUCUUCAAAUUCAUAAUCCUUUGGAAACAAUGAGCAGUAUUCAAAGCAUUGUUUCAAAGGUGCCGCAAGAUAAUAGUAGCUCACUCUAAGCGCCGGUAUAAUGUCACAUCUCUCUUCGGGUAAAUCCCAUAUCUUGCAACUGAGCACACCUUCCCAAUCACUCCGGUCAAGUUUACCACGUAAGAGACCACCAAGAGUUUUCGCAGCUAAGGGCAAGCCGUUGCAUUUGAUCACUAUCUUCUUGCCAAUUUCCUCCAAUGACUUGUUUGAACUGAAAUCUCUUGUCCCCAAAGAGUGUUGAGCGAACACAGACAGACAAUCAUCAUUUGACAGCUUUUUCAAUUGAUAAGCCGGAGCAGUCCCCAUGAUGGCUGCAACCCCUUGAUUACGAGCUGUGACAAUAAUCUUACUUCCCGGUGCGCCAGCUUCAAAUGGAGGUCUGAGUCGAUCCCAAUCAUUGUAAUUCUCAUUCCAAACGUCAUCUAAAACAAGCAAAAAUUUCUUUUGAGAUAACUUCUUCUUCAGCUCCUCUUGAAGCUUAUUCAAGUCGUGAUUAUCCACAUUCUGGUCACUAGCAAUUGAAAGUAGGAUUGAUUUUGUAAGCCUGAUAACAUCAAAAUCAUCAGAGACGCAAGUCCAUGCCUUGAGAUCAAAAUGAUCCUGCACUUGCUUAUCAUUGUAGACAAGCUGAGCGAGAGUGGUUUUGCCCAGCCCGCCCAUACCAAUGAUAGGAAUAACAGAGAAUUCACCAUCAUUUCUCAAAUCAUCCCUCAACAACAAUUCAACAAUUUCCUUCUUUUCUGUUUCCCUCCCAUAUACCUUGGCUUCAUUCACCAAAGAGGUUGUGGGUAGUCUUUGCCUAUCUUUUUUGGACCUCCCAACUGAACUUACGUUCAAACCCAGCGAGUCUUUCUGUGUUACAAUAUCUUGAAAUCUGUCGUUGAUCUCUUUGAUUUUGGACAUUAUGGCGUAAUCGAACUGAAUCGAUUGUGGAGUAAAAGUGGUGCAGCAGGUAGGAAUGAGCUUCCGAAACUUACUUGUUCUUGUACGACUGCUACUGGGUUGAUCAAGAGCAGCAGCUGGAUCUCGAUUUCCAAGCAGCAACUUCCUCCGGAAAGCCUCAGUUUGAAACUCAUCCAGCAAGUCUUCAACAUCAAAAGCCAAGUUCUGAAGCUCGCCAAGCCACAACUUCACAGACUGAUCAGUCUUCUUCUCCUCAGCAUCAGCAAGCACCGCCUUGAUCAUCACCAACAUAUUCUUCCACUUCUUUAGGUCGGCUUGGAUUUGCUCUUGGCGUGCAAACAGCCGAAUACCCUCUGAAGCUAACUUAUUGACCAGCAAAUCAACGGACGCCGUAAGGAUUGCCUCUCCGAUGAAUGACAUUUUUUUUCUUUUUCUUUUUUUUUUUGGUUUUGCAAAGAAAGAAAGGAGCAGAAUUAUGGGUUAUGGAAAGCAGAAUGAGAAAAUGGAACAGGUGAGAAAAUGGAUAAUUAAUCAGAACGAGUUUGUGAUUGUGAAGGGUCUGGCCCAGCAAGCUUAGUAGAAAUCACGCGUUUAUACUUUAUUGACCAAUGACUAAUAAUUUGGCAAUUCACUCAUCACCAUUCACCGCCACUUGGUAAGCAAAAUGAAAAUGCUUGGUAAUUAAGUGUGGUCAAGCAAAAUACGACGUAAAAUGUGUCAAGGGUCUCCCCACUUGUUGUUCCUUGCAGCUUAGAAAAGAAAAACAGAGCCCACCACCCAUUAAUAAUUUAGCAAUUCACCAAUCAUCACCACUUGUUACGAAACCAUCUCAUAAACCAAGUUCGUAGGUCGAGCGGUUAAUCCAGUGUCUAUUUCCUAGAACCUUCAUCUCAUAAACCAAGUUCAAUCAAAACGUUCCUCUCUCUAUUUUUUUUUUUUUAAAAAACUCCUAAAACGUUUCUUUUUAGAAAUAUUUUACUUUAUUCAACUAAUAUGAUAUCUAACAAAUAGACACAAUUGAAUCACUCUAAAGUGAAGAUGAAAGGGGAAAAAAAUAACCUUCCAACUACCAGUAAUUUAGCAAGCUUCACUUUAUUCCACCAAAGUGUAAAUAAAGCCAGCCCCCACCACCAUCAAUAAUUUUGCAAGCUUCACACGCUUGUUGUCUUCUCCUUGACGAACUGGACAUGAGUGGACCAAGAACCAAUGACAGAAUUUUAAAAAUAAUAAUAAGAGAAAAACCUACACAUUUUCGACUUAGAGUAGAACCAUAAUUAAUGCUAAAAUCUACUCAGCUAACAUUUUCAAAAUAUUGUUCUUUAUGAUUUUCAAAACCUUGAUUAAGGUUCAUCUCAAAUGUUUGAAGAGAGUCUAUCAAUUCUUCUAUGCUAAAAAUAUCAAAAUUCUUACUUUUUCUUCAAACAUUGAAUAAUAAAAAAAAAAGUUGAAUAUGGAGGAAAGUAGAAUGCAUCCAUCUUCGCUGUAGAAGUCUUCUACUUAUUAAAGCAAGUUAGAAUAAAAGAUUUUAAUCUCUCUUUUUAUUCCUGUAAGUGCACUACAUUUUUUUUUAAUCUCAAUGCGAAGUCGUAUCAUAAUGUUAUAUUCCUAUUGUAAAACAAAAUUUUAGAUAAAACAAAUUCGACUCAUUUUUUAAAGGUAUAUAUUUAGUAGGUUACUAACAAAACUAACAAAACGUGAUUAUUACACUAAAUGAAAUAAAAGACAGUACUAUCACCAAUAAUUUAGCAAGUUUCGCAUGCAUGUGUUUCUAAAAACAUUAUAUGGAAUCAAACAACAGUGAUACAAAGAGAAAAGUGGAAAUCCUCUGAUUGUAUUUUUCUUUUUCUUUUUCAAAAGAAAUGGUGGGGUUGGUUUGUUUGCAAAGUUAUUAGCGUGGGUCUAUUUGUUUUUGUUUUAACUUUAUUAAUCAAUAAGCAAACGUGUAAUGAUUUGUAUAUAUCACUAGCAUCACAUUAUUGGGAGGUAUUGCGCUUAGUAUUCACAAUUUUUAUAAGAUGAAUUUGUAAGACUAAUUAAUUUUGAUGAAAAUGUAUUGUUACUAAGAUAUUAUUUAAUUCAUUAAGUUAACUUGAGGUAUUAAUAUUCACUAAUUGUGGUGCUGAUUAAUUUACUUAACUUGUCACCAUUUGCAAUUAAGAAUGAAGUUCAAUCAAUUUAUUGAGAAAAAAAAAUAAAGAUACCUUUUUUUCUUUAGAUUUUAAUUCUUAGGAUUUGAUUUCACGCUCUUUUAUUUUUUUACGUUGCUAAAGAGGCAGUAAAAAACUUGCUGAAUGUCAUCAAAUACUUUUAUCUCAUCUCACAAAUUGGUAAUAUUUGUUUGGUAUUUCAUCUCAACAGACGCAGUAAGGAUUACCUCUCCAAUGACUGACAUUUUUUUUUUUUUUUGGGGCAAAGAAAGAAACAGAAUUUUGAGUUUCGAAAAGCAAACUAAGAAAAUUGAGCAGCAAGUGUGAAGGGCAAGCAAAAUGCAUGUAGCAAGUCUUCCACUUGUUGUUUAUUCCAGUAAAGUGAAAAUAAAAACAGAGCCCACCACCCAUUAAUAAUUGAGCAAUUCACCAAUCACCAGUCACCACCACCCGUUACCGUAGGAUAAAAUUUUAUUUAAUUUAUUUUUUCACUGUAUUUUAUCUUAAAAAAUUAUUUACAGUAUGAUAAAAUUUUAUUUAAUUUAUUUUUUCAUUGUAUUGUAUCUUAAUUAAUUAAGUUGUUAUAUUUAUUGCAAAAAAUUUAUUUUGGCUUAGAGGAUUACUUCUUAAAUUCAGAUUAUUUUAAUGAUAAUAAAAGAUAUUUAUUUUGUGGAAGCAAAAUAAAUUGAAGAGAGAAAGAAAAUAUAAAUGACUUAACUCUAUUUAUAUUUGUCCUUAAAUAUAAUUGUAGUAUAAUAGGGGUUUUAUAAGAUUAAUGAAGGGGUGCCAAUAGUCCUACUCUUAUAGAAAAUGGCAAUAAAAAUAGUGGAAAUUUAGUGUAAUAAAAAGGAUAAACCAUAAGAAAUUAAUGUUUACAUCAAGAUACGUUAUAAAUAUUGUUUUUCUUAAGAUGUUAUUUGCCUCCACCAAUCGAAUAAUACACAUGAAUUAAACAAAUAUGACUCCAUGAUACAAUAAAGCGCUUAUUUAUUUGUUUAAGUUAUAUGUCGACGAAGCAAAUUUGAAUACUUUUGAAUGUUGUAAGCAUGUCAAGAAUCAAUAUAUUAUUUCUACAAAAAGAAACAAUAUAUUAGAUAUUUAAAGCAUAAAAAAUAGAUGUUAAUUGAUUAAAUUUGAUUUAGGAAAGAAGGCUACGAAAAGAGUGGUGUAAGGUCAUUUUAUUCAUGUCUACAUAGCCCUAUUAUUUGGGUUGUCAUUUUUUUAUAAUACUCCUUCAUGGCCAUUAGAUCAAACACUCAAAUCCCUACUAUAGCUAAUUAGCUUAUUGACCAGUAACUUACAGGAUGCCAUAAGGAUUACAUCUAUGAUGAUUGACCUUUUUUUUUUUUGGGUGGGGGUAGGGGGGAAGAAACCGAAUUAUGAGUUUAUGGAAAUUAGAGCAAAUAAGAAAGUGAAUUACAACAGAAUGAGUUUGUGAUUGUGAUAGGUCGAACAAGUCUAGAAAUCAAUUAGGCAAAAACCACCACGAAAGUUAAAAAGGAAAAAUAGCGCCCACCACAAAUAUAAAAUUGGAGGAGCUUAGGAUCAUGCCUUUGCUUUACAAAUUAAAUUAAAUAAAAGCCAAACCAAGAACCUUGCUUUUGCUUAACAUGAUUAAUUAGGCACUAUUUCAGAAAGAACACAAAAAUAAUAAACCCUUUUAUUGAUCUUAAAUGUCAAGAAUAAAGUAACAUUUUCUCCUCUUACCGUUUCUUCAGGUUCAUUUCAAAAGUUUGAAGAGAGUUUAUCCAUUCUUCUAAACUAAGAAAAAGAAAAUCAACAUUAUUGCUUUCUUCUAUUCUUGCUUUCUUCAGAUGUUGAAUAAAAAAAAAUAUAUUGUUAAAUAUGUAGGAAAAAAACAAACAAAGUGAGUUAAACAAAUAAAACCUAGGUAAAUUAACUGACGCAACACUGGAAAUCACAACUGAAAAUAUAGGAGGGAAAAGAAAAAUCGAAACAGAAAAUGAAACCCGAGGCCUGCACAGGACAAUUUCCUUAAAACAAAUUUACCACCUACUGAAGUGCUUUAGGUCUGCUGGUAACUGUUUCUCAGGAUACAACGAGCACGAAUUUUCGGUCAAUCACAUACAGGUAAUGUCGGCGAACUACAACAGUGGCAAACUCAAUAAGAAAAAACAAAUGAAAGAAGGAGGAAAGGAAAAUUUUCAAGUGCUCUGUGUGCUGGUUUCAGUGUGUAUAAAAAACAGAAGAGGAUGUGCUUUUUUAUACUCAUGUGAGGAUAUAACAGCAGCAUUGUAUUGAAUUUCGGAAUUCAAUAUAUGCCAUUAAAUAGUUAUAACAGCCAAUUCAAUUCCAUCAACUGAUUUCAAAAUUGAAUUCAAAACCAGUUAAAAAAUAAUUGUUGUGAAGUUGUUACAACAAAAAAUUCAAAGGAAAUUAAAAAUGUGCUAUGCAAGCUUGGAUGAUUUUGGACUGACAUUCGCGUACGCAGGACGCACACGAGUUUAACCAAAUCGGUCUUGGAUUUGCACCCCCUACGCACGCGCGUGUAGAGAGAGUCUCUAUCCUUAUAAUUAUUACUCAUGCAUGGUUAAAUGUUUAUAUAUAAACACUAAUCCUUGGGCUUCUUUUUCUCAUGUGGGAAAAGUUUCAUUUGCUUUCAAAUUUCCAACUUCAAUAGUGAACUUUGAGAGACAAUUUCUCAUUCACCCAAGCACUAUUUUGAGAAAAUAAAAUUAUAUUUUUGAAGUAUUAACAUAAUAGAAUCCAAACCUCACAAGAUUUCUCACUUUCGCUAAGUGAGACCCACUCAAAAUGUGCCCUCAAAAUAUCAUAUAGACAUGCUAUUUUUUCAACAAAAUAAGGAGGAAAUUAGAAUGUAUCUACCUUUGCUAACCUAAAAUAAAAGAAAUUAAUCUCUCUUUUAUUACUAAAGUACACUAUUUUUUUAAUAAUUGUAUUGACAAUGACAACAUGUAUCAUCGAUUAUAUUCUUGUUGUGUUGAAAUAAGAUAUAAAAAAUCUUGGAUCAAGAGGAAUUCGACUCAUUUGUUAAAGGUACAUAUUUUAUAUACUAAAAACAAAAAUUAACAUAACACGAUUAUUACACUAAAGUGAAAUGAAAGCCAGUACCCACCAGUUCACCAACAGUAAUUUAGCAAACUUUGCAUUCUCGUGUUUGAGGAAAUGGACAUUGGUGAAUUAACCAAAGGACCAAUGAAAGAAUUGUAAAUAACAAAAUGGAGAUUACACUUUUUUUCCAUAUAAUUGUUCAGGCAAUGAAACUAAUUUUGAGACAUUUUCAAAUAAACUUAUUUUCAAAAGCAAUACAAAAUGAUUUCGUUUUAUUUUGAAACAUUUCAUGGAAUCAAGUAGUAGUAAAAUAAAUAGAAAAGUGGUAAUUCCCUCAUUUUAUUAUUUUCUUUUUUAAAAGGAGAUGAUGGGGUUGGGUUGUUCACAAAAUUAUUGGUGCGGGGUCUGUUUGUUUUUGUUUUAACUUUAUUAAUUAAUUAGCGAAGCAAACAUGUAAUGAUUUGUAAAAGGAUUACUAGCAUCAGAUUAUUGGGAGGCAUUAUGGAGAAGUCACGCUUAGUAUUUACAAUUCAUGUAAGAUAAAUUUGUAGAUUUAUUAAGUUACUUGAGAUAUAUUUAUUAAUUGUGGAGAUUAAUUUAUUUAACUUGUCAUGAUUUUCAAUUAAGAAUGAAGUUCAGUCAAUUUAUGGAAAGAAGGAUAAUUUUGUUUUCAGAUUUUUAAUUCUUAGGAUUUGAUUUCACUUUGUUUCGAUUGUCGAUGUUGCUGAAGAGGCAGUGAAAGUUUGCUGAAUGCCAUCAAAUGCUUGCAUCUUAUCUCACAAAAUGUCAAUAUCAGUCUGUUUCCCUAUAGGCGCAACCAUCACGAAUUUAAAGUAACAACAUGAUGAGCAUAUAACAUAUACAUAUUUUACCAUUAAUUAUAUAAUUGUUAGUUAUUUUUAUUUAUUAUUUUUAAUUAAUUAAAUUAUUUUAUUAAAUAAGAAAUUAAUUGGAGAUUAUGGAUAAAAAGGACAUGAAAAAGUUUAAUUUGGGAAGCAAUAAAAAUUAAAUUGAAAGACAAAAAUACAGACAAGGAUUAAUAGAAUCCGUGCCGAAAAAAUCAAAGCACAAUGUUUUUCUUAAUGUCAUUAUUUAGGCAAGUGUUUUGAUGCACUGGAAGUUUAAGAGAAUAAAAUCUGAAGAAUUUAUUAAGAGAAUCAAAUAGAAAGUUUUGAUGCAGCGAAAAAAAUCUGAAGUUUGAAUUUUGCUCAUAUAGAUAGUAAGAGAAUCAAAUUAUUGUUAAAUUAAAUUAAUGAAAAAAAUUAUCUGAUAUCUAAAACAGCAUAUCAACAAAAUUGAAUUAAAAGAAAAUUGAAGAGAAAAACCAUUGAGAAAUUUCGAUAACUUCACUUAUUAAAACUUGGUUAUUUCAUUUUCAUUGAUAAUCAUUUUGACACCGGUCAAAUUUAAAAGUUUAAAUAAUGGGGGCGAUAUUUCUUUCCAGCUAUGCCCAUCGACUAAUUAAAAUACUGCCGAAACAAUUCAGGGAUAGUAUAGUAAUUUCAUUUAACAGUUUUCGUGCUUCAAAUCAUCAAAUCAAACUCACGGUUUCCGACUUGUAAUGGGUGCAACUCAUGUUUUUCAAACAUUAAUGUGUUUCAAACAUUAAGAUCUUUAGCCAUUCUGUUACUAUCCCGUGGUUAUUUAAGUUACAAGAGACAGUAAAAAAUAUCAUCAUAUUUUAACGUCCCUCGAAUAUUUGAAGAAGUUAAAAUUUAGGCGGUUUUAUAUAAGAUGUAAUAUAAAUUGAUAUCAGUAAUUAUAUGAUUGUAAAUAUCAUGAUCAAUAGUCUCUUAUAAAAAAAAAAAAAGAACAAGUGUCAUGAGCCCAUUUAGAUUAACUUAUAUUUGAGGGGGAAAUCUUUGUACACCAUGGUAUAUAUUAUAUAUAUAGACAUUGAUGAAUUCGCACAGUACAACUAAGUAUUUUUUUUUUUUGAAUACUGGUUACACACCAGAUUACUGGCAAUUGCUAUUAUAGCAGACAUUACACUGAUAUUUACAAUCAAAUAUACAUAAUUGAGACUUAUAUUAUUACAUUAAAUUCUAUGAAGUACAUUUCCAAACAAAUAACCCUUAUAGAGCAGAGAUGUCCUUGCUCCACUCGCAUUUCGCAGGGAGAAGAACUUAUAAAAAUUUAGCCCCCACAAUACUUUUGUGGAGGGUUGAACCGCUGCUCUCACGCUUGUGAGGGCAGCAGUCCAACCCGCAGACCAAGGGCCCAAUGGCGUACAACUAAGUAAUUGCAUGCGCCAUUUGUGCCAAUGUGUAUAUAAAUAUAUAUAUAUAUAUAUACACCCUGCUUGCAUUGCAUUAACUACGUCCCUAGUCACCCACGUCCGCUACUUGUAUGAAUGUGCAUAUAAAUAUACAUAUCCGCAGUGUUAGGAAUUUAGAUCUAUUAGAAAUAGAUAUAGGUAAUUAAAAAACCAAAAAUUAAGAACUUCAUUUUUUUUGGAAGUACUAUUCACGGUUACUGUUCACGACUACUGUUCAUCAUCAUAAAAAAUAUUAAUUUUCAAAAACAUAAUAAAAUGCAGAAAAUAAAUGACACAGAGAUUUUUACGUGGUUCGAAUUAACCAAUCAUACAUCCAUGAGGCCACGCCCAGAUGAAAAGCAAUUCAUUAAGUUGAGAUGUUACAACCUAUGGAUUUACCAAACUUAAGACUCUCAUUUACAGUUUAUCACCAUACAGUUUACUCAACCUUAGAAUGAAUCUGCUUCUCUUGAAUAAUCACUACCCCUCUUGAUCCGCGAUCUUCAAGGCACUUCGCAAAGUGAUCAAUAGCAAUUCUUCAAUUCUUCAAUGUCUAGUGAUACAAGAUACACAUAGACUCUCCAUAGAGAUUAACAGAAGAUGAGAAAAAAAAUCAACACAACAUGAUGCGCCAGAUCCGGAUUCUUUGGGGAGGAGGCCGAAUCUUACUUCUCUGCUUUAUGCUCUGCGUUAUAUGAUCUUCAAUUGUGAAAUACCUCUCUUUAUAUAGGCACUAGAGUUUUACCAAAAUAGCAAGUCUUAAAAGACUUGGAUUCUUUCCAAAUAAGAGUUGCAUUCCUCUUAUAAUUCCCAUGAAUCUGAAUAGGAAUAAAUCUAACCUUCUUACCUUGCUUGUCUCCUAAGAAAUAUUUAGAGCAUUUAAUGAACUCUCUGUUUGAACCAACUUCUUGCUCUAAAUAGAUCUCAUGCGCUAAAUAUAAAAUCUCACCAUUAAUUAACUUGCUAAAUUAAACAUCUAAUUAAAUUAAGAAACAAAUAUUCCUAAUACUAAAUUAGUGAAUUAAUAAAUUAAUCCAUAUUACAAUAUAUGCAAUAAAUAAAUUUUCAAUUUAACUAGACUUGCCAUAAAAUAUCAACUUUAUAAAUAUUGGACUUAACACGCAGCAUAUUAUCAAACCAGAAUCAGAAGCAACUUAAGUUUUGAUUACGGUUCACCGGAAGUCACAGCUAGCAAGUGAUCCUUGCAUCAUUUUACUAAAUAUACAAUGAAAUUAACCCCCGCAAUUUCGGCCUUUGCCAUAGUCGUUUUGUUUAUUAGGUUUAUGUUUAUCAACAUGAUUGUCAACCAUAAUCACAAUCAAGUUGUUAAUUAUUUUUAAAUAAUGUGAAGGAACAAGAUUUUGGUCUUUGAAUGUGGAGUUAGAAAUAUCUCACCUCAAUAUACGGUAUUGUGCUCUCAUCAUCUUAACAUUAUUUGUUAAAAAUUAUGUCAAAGAGGAAAGCAGAUUCAAACAUUACUUCAAUUUUCUUUAAGAGCAUCAAAAAAUCGUUAAUAGGCUACUGUUAUUUGAUAGUACGAUUUCACAAAAGGAAGCUGGAGGAAGAUGAAGCUUUCAAGUCAUGUGUGCAUCAAAGUAAGAAACAGAGCUAACGAGAGAUGGACAAGUAUUAACCACUGUUAUCAGAAAUUAAAUAUAUCAGCAUUUUGUUAUAUCAGCAGAGACGCGUGUACGUAUUGCUUGUGACAAAUCUCACCCAUGGAGAACUUUGUGGACGGCAUUUGAAUGUGUGGCCUCAUUUAAUGAACGAAACGAUAACUUUAAAAGAAAGUAUGUACUGUGUUAAUUAUUAGGCUUUAGCUUAAUGAUUGCAAUUAGUUUGUCUUGUAAUUAAAUUAUUGCCGACAAACACUAUCACGACCGACGUCCACUACUUGCGUGAAUGUGUGUAUAAAUAUCCACAGCAUAUUAUCAAACCUGAAGCGUGAUCAUCUUUAAGUUUUGGUUACGGUUUAUCAGACGUUAGAAAAUAUCUUUUCUAAUUUGAAGAAGAUGGAAACUCCUUAUCCAGGUUCUUAGGUCAUGUUCAGUUGAAUGUUAUUUAUAAUUUUUAUUUUAACAUUAUGUAUUUAUAAAUAUAAUUAUUAUUAUGAUUUUUUCAGGUAAGAAUGGAUGGUCUGAAAGUAACCCAAUAAUUAUGUACAAUAUUAUUAAUGAUGCGAGCGUGAAUAAAAAUUUGGAUUUUAUUCUCGUCCCUCAAUACGGAAGAAAUCUUGACCAUAGAGGCUAAGUGUUAUGUAACUCUUUCGUAUGUAUUAUGUUUAAUUAAUAAUAAAAUGAUGGGUUAUUAUUAUGUCAAUUAUGUGAGUGUCUUUGUUUGGUUUAGUUCAACUUAUAAAAUCUCUUGAGAUAUUUUCUUUAUUUAAUUUUGUGUACCGUGUCUUCUUGUAAAAAGAAAUUAAUAAAAAAAAUAUCAUUGUGUAUAAUGUAUUAACUAAGUUAGUGUAUUCAUGUUAGGUUAAUUGUGCUCUCUCUUCUUCAUAUUUUUUUUUUUUAAAAAAAAACUCCACAUAUUGUUGGUUAGCUAAUUCUUGCAGCUAGCAAGUGAUCAUUUUCUUUCCCCUACUGCCGUAGCAUCAAAUCCUUGCAAUUACAUAUCAAGUGGUAUUCGAGCCGUCAAAUGAUCCAUGGAAACAAGCAACAAAUCAAAUGGUGAAUUUUGCGAAGAGAUUCACGAAAUCCUUGCUAUACAUGAGUCUAGUUUUGACCCAGUUCACAUCACCCAUCAGCUGCGGGUUUGAAUGGUACCUAGUGGAUAUUUUGUGAGUCCCCACGUAUAAAAUCACACUUGCAACAAAACCUAAAAACUUAAAUUACGUAAUUCAAAUUAUAAAUUUAUAAUCAUAGCCUAAAAAACCACACAAAAUACUUAAUUCUAGAUUUUAUCAAUGUAAAUGAAAAAUGAAAGUUUUAAUAUUAAAAUAAACUCACAAAAUAUAUCAAUUUAACACAAAUUUUCAAAGUUAAUUACUAAAUACAUAAGUCUAUCGCAACUCAAAGUGCUUUCAAUUGAAAACGAAAAAAGAGAAAGAGAAUAAAAAAUAAAGAACUACAAAUCAAAGUAGCAGCCAUGUCUCAUUUUGCAGUCUCAUUCAAUACCACUAGCACCCAUCCAACACGAUUUUUCUAAACAAAGUAUCAAGUACAAAAUUACAAUAAGCAUAUCAUACUCCAUGCUUUAAGUUAAAGAUCCUUAUAUAUUUUUAUGAAUAAUUUUUUAAUGAAAUUUUAUGAUUAAAAUUAAAAAUACAAACAUUCAAAUAAGAAUGUCGGACACUUGCACAACUAUUUACCAAAUUUUUUCUCUAUAAAAAUCGACCUGCAACUUUCAAUAGGUUUAAAUUUUAUAAUACCAAACCUGAUUGCAGCUCGCAAAAAUUAUCCGUUGCGGCCAAGACUUUGGAUUUGCGAUGAUUUUGCCACCCUAAGUGUAGUUAGUAUUGUAUAUCAUGUGGCUCUUAUAAAAAGCUUAGAAGUUGUUUGAAUAACGGGGGAGACACAUAUCUCCCAAAGAUUUUCUCUUUUUCAAAUUAUUAUUUUUUCUCUAUUAUUGUAACUUCGAAUCCUUAUAAAUUACAGAUUGGAAACAUGAACACAAUGUUUUGACAUAGUAGACUUUUGGCUUGUCCAGAGAAAUUUAGGAUAGAUUUUUACGCACUAAGGUGGCGUUUGUUUUUUUGUCUGAAAUCUGAAUAGACUUGAAUUAGUCUGAAUUCUGAACAGGUCUGAAUGUUUGAAUCUGAAUAAUAUGUUUGUUUUUUCAUCUGAAUCUUGAAAAAUAAGUAUUAAGUUGUUUGUUUUUUUCAACUUAAAAAGCUAAAAAUAUGUACUUUUACAUUUGUAUCCUUAUUAAAUUUAAAUGUCAAAUAAAUAAUAUAUUAAAUACCACAAUAUUUUAACAUUUAUAAGUAAAACUAUAUUCAAGUGAAUACAUAAUUAUUUUAAAAUUUUAAUAUAUAAAAUACCAUAAAUUUCAAAUUUUAUCGUAUAUAAUAUAAGAAAGAAAAAACAGGGAUAUUUUUAUGUGGGGUAAAUAUCUAUGGGUGAGUUUUGGGAUAGACAUGAAAAAUAAAUUAUAAAACAGGGAUAUUUUUGACAUUAGCAAGUAAUUGACUUAAUUCAGAUUUCUCCAUUAAGUAAAAAGCUAAAAAAAAUUAGCUUAUUUUAUUAAGUCAAAAUUAUCUAAAAAGUCUCAUUAAGUUAUAAAAACAAACACCUCUAAUUAACUUAAUUAAUUAAGUUAAGUCACUUUAAGUCAUUAAGUUAAAAAACAAACGCCACCUAAGACUCUAUUUACUUUUGAGGUUUUAGAACUUUUAAGCAACACUAGAAAUUUGUAUUGUUUUGAUAGAGUUGUAGUCUUUGAUAUGUGAUUGGUAUUAAUCAAGUGUUAUGUUUACAAUAGUUAAAACACAUAUUGAAUCAAAAUCCACUUCUAAGGGCUUGAUUGAGUGAUUGUAAAGUAGGUUUUUAGUUUGCUAGCCACUCAAGUUCAAAUAUUGGAACCACAUCGCUUUAUAGCCAAGUGAGAGAACUUGUGCCCUAAAAAUUGAGGGGUGCAUAUCGAGUUUUACCACCAAUAAAAGUUGGUGUUAAAACUUUAAUUUCUCUCCUAUUGUGGAUAGGGGUAAUUAGGAGUUUACAUCCCCUCCUAUUAAUAGAUAGGGGUUAUUAGGAAUAUUAAAAAAAAGUUCAAAUAUUGAAAAUAUAGGUAUGUGUUAUAAAAUUCAUAAUAUAAAGACACAAAAUCAAGAUAAAUAUUUAAAAAUUUAGAACCAUAAGAGCGUGACUUGUAAGUUUCAAAAAAGUAUGUGCAAAUAUAUGCAUUAUUGAUACCCCAAUUAAGGGUGGGCAUUAAGAAAAAAAAUCCCAAAAAAUUAAAACUAACCCUAACUAAAAUAUUCGACGGCGGCCUCCUCGUUUUCUUUUCUUCUUCUUCCUCCUCUUGCUCACCCUCAAUGCCCAUUCAUGGAAAUCCAACAGCUCCAAACGCGUUUCAGCCGCUCGCACGUGUGAGAAAUUUUCCUUCUCAUAGGAUUAUUCGUUUCCUUCGCUUGCAUGCCAGCAGAAUAUUCAGGCCGAGGAUUUUUCCGGGCCUAGCCCAACUAUAAGCUCUCCCAAAACCCAAUCAUAAAGUUCAUAACGUUUAGCGUUUGCUUUUACUAUAAUUUUUUUUAACCAAUUUUCACAUUCAUCAACAUAGGCAGACAGAUUUUGUAGAAAAUAAAAUUAAAUAAAAAUACAAGAUCACGAAAAUUCCUUUUCCGAUGUGGGAAUCUAUCUACACCUUUCACGUACCUUUUUUUUUUUUUUUUGUGGUGGGGGAUUCACUUGCUUUUGUUUGCAUUGCCUUAUUGGAUAAAAGUUUGUAGAACAUCGUCUGUUUGGUUAAAGCCGAGCAUGAGUGAAGAAAAAUUAAAAAUAAACAAUUUUCCAUUAAUUUGCAACAAGUAUUAAUAAAGUGCAUGAGAAAAGACACCAGGAUAUGUCUUUUUUCAAAUGAAAAUAAAUGUGUUAAUUAGUCAAUUUAAAUGGUAUGACAUUUUGAAAUGACAGAAGUGAUCUAAAGUUUAAAUCUUACUCACAAUUACUUUAGGGUUGGGGAUUAAUUGACCUAAUAUAUAAUAACGAAUUCGAAAGACAAUUAAAAAUUAAAAGAAAAUAAAAAAGUACUUUCUUUUUUAUGAUGGUAAUUUGUUUAGAUGAUGAAAACUCUUAGAGUGGUAUUAUCAUUACAUAGUUUCGAGCGUUGCCAACGUGAAUAAUAUUUAAUUUCGUUUAUAUAGUUAUAUCUCAACUAACAUUUAAACAGAAGUAAGCUGUAAAAAAAAAAUGAACCAUUGAGAUUUGAGAGAACGAAAAACUAAAAAAAAAAGUUAAAAAAUUAGAUCUCAAUAAAUUUACUUGAGAACUACUUUACUUAUUAGUGACGAGAAAACACAAAGAAUAAUGAUGUAUCUCAAUUAAUAAGACAGUUUUUGUAUUUUUCAUUUAUUCAAGAAUCACGAAACUUCAUUGAAAUUUGUUAUUUCAUUGAUAAUAUAUUAAUAUUGAACAAUUAAUGUAGGAGACAUUCCUUUUCAAUUAUACCCAUAUAUUAAUUAAAGACUACCAAAAAGUUCAGGGAUACUAUAGUAAUUUAAGUUAACAAUUUCUGUGCUUGAAAUCAGCCGAUCAAACUCACUUUAAAAUAAACUGAGAAAUCAAAAUCACAUUCUCCGAUUCUACGAUUUCAAUUCAUCUUAUUUCUUCAACUGAAAAAUUGGUUAUAUUUCGUUUUAUUUUAUUUUUAUUUUUAUAUAAAGAUAAAUAUAAAAUAUUUUUUUGAUUACAUGAGACUAUUGCUCAAAUUACAACUCAUAUUACAUGAGAAUAUAACUGAUAUGUACAAAUCAGACUAUAAUUAGGACCAACAUACAUCAAAUCUAAUGGAGCGUUGCCCAAAUUUUAACCCUCUCAAAUAUUCGAGGGAUGUCUACUUCUCGCACUGAGACAAAAAAAUAGACUGCCUUCACUCAAUUUUAUUUAAGAAAAGAAAUACUCCCACAUACAUUGUGGGGGCUCGAACUGUUGCUCUCCAACUUGGAGAGCAGCAGCUCUCACCACUCGGCCAAAGGCCGAGUGGCUGAUUUAUAUUUUGGCCGAGUGGCUGAUAAAUAUAAAAUAUAAAUGAAGAGGAAACUGUUAAAGUAAAAUCAAAAGAAGGACACGAGUUUUAUUGAAAAUGACUCUUUUCAUCAUUUUACCGGAUUGAAUGUAUCUACAUAUAAACUAAAGAAGCACAUUUGUUUCCGACUCUACGCUUUAAAUUUAGCUUCAUUUCUUCAACUGAAGAAUCGGUCGUCUCUCAUUUUUUAUUUAUUAUAUAAAGAUAAAUAUCUAAAUUUAAAUGGCGAGAAGAGCGGACGAGGAAUACGAUUACUUGUUCAAAGUGGUAUCAAUCGGCGAUUCGGGAGUCGGCAAAUCGAACUUACUCUCCCGAUUUACUCGUAACGAGUUCUGUUUGGAGUCGAAAUCCACUAUUGGCGUCGAAUUCGCCACCCGCACUCUUCAAGUAACUAACUUUUCCUCUUUCACUUCUCUUCAUUUUUAUUAGUUAAUUAAGAUCCAGCUAAUGUAAUUAAUUUUAUUUAAUCUUUUAAAUAAAGUUCUAGAUUAGGCUAACUUAGAUUCAUGUGAAGUUGAAGUGAUUUACUUUCGAUCUCUUUUUCGUCCUAUGUUUAUUUGUACUUACUAUUACUUUUUUUUGGGUUUAAAUUUUCGUUUUUGAAGUGUUUACUGAAUAAAUUUCUGAGCUUUAUUUGUGUAUGCUGAUUGAUUUGUGAUUUUAAUUUUGUGACUUUUUUUUUGGAAUUUAAAUUUGAAUGCUUUUUAAGUUGAAUCUGAUUGUGUUGGGCUGCGAUUUAAUUAAGUCAUCUGUGAGCGCCAAGUUGUGAUAGCUAUAUAUUGGGGUGAAAAUUUGGGAUUUAAAGUUAUGUAUUUAAGAUGCAGUUAAUUCGCAAGUGAAAAUUAUGGGCCGGCAGAUUUUGUCAUUGGAAGACUGUUCUCCACAUGUUGAAGUUAGUGAUGCAAGUUGAAACCAAUCUGUUUAAGCUUGGGGUUUCAUGUCUUGAAUCAAGGCUGUGACUUGGGGUGGGUUGAAAGUAUUAUAGCUUUAGCUAUUCCUGAAGUGAUCUGUUUAGACUCACCGUGAUGAGACCGAGUGCUGUACAGUAAAAUGAAAGGAAGUUGGAAAAUAUUUACUUAGCAUUUCGCGUUACUAAUGUUGAACUAAUAAAACCUAGCCCCUAUCCUAGUGAAUUUAUGUUAAAAAGCUAUGCACGCAUUAAGUUAGUGCGAGAGUCUGCUGAAGCAUAUGCCAGCUGUGUGUUUGGAGCUGAGUAUUCUUCAUUCCACAUUUUGGGUUUUGGUUGACCUCCAGCAUGACUCAACCCACUUGAGUUAAAAGCCCUAGAGUUACAUUCUACCCAUGAUAUUUGAGUUUAUCAAGUCACCUUAUUUUAAUACUUCUCUGGAAAACAAAUAUAUAUGUUAAAUCAGGUAGGAAAAAUAAAAAGUUAAUUAUUGAGUUGUAAUGGUGCAACUAAGGUUUUGAAACAUUAAGAUCUUUAGCCAUUAUGUUACUAUCCCGUAGUUAUUUAAGUUACAAGAGAUAGUAAAAAAUAACAUCAUAUUUUAAUUACUUACACUAAUCCUACAAGUGCUGAUGGUCUAAAGUUGCUGCUGCUUGCACUGAAUCAGUGGUCAUGGGCCAGCCAAGGUUAGGUGAGGCCAACUCAUUAGCUUGUGAAACUUAAAGAAGUCUUAGGUUUGGAAAAGAUGGGGCACAGGUUACAAAAUUUUUUUUGAGUUUUGGAUUGAAGGAACAAAAUUGUUGAUGUCUAGUUCACAAUAUUUGAAGUCACUCUGUGCUUCAUCAUGUAAAAUGGAUUGAAUUGCUGUAUGAUCAGGUCAAAUUAAAAUGUUUAAACUCAUUUUUAAGAAACGAAUUCUCAAUUGGACCAGCCUUUCACAGAAGCUGAUAUCACAGAAGCUUUGAGUCAGAUGCAUCCAACCAAAGCCCCUGGCCCAGAUGGUCUCCCAGCAGUAUUUUUCCAAAAGCUUUAGAAUUCAGUAAGCGAAGGAGUUAUAGCCACUUGUCUGCAUAUCCUCAAUGAUGGAGGUAAUAUUGCUCCUUUGAAUCAUACAUACAUUGCUUUAAUCCCCAAGAUAGCAAAACCUAGGACUCUGAUGGAGUAUAGACCAAUCAGCAUAUGUAAUGUAAUUUAUAGGAUCAUUGCAAAGACUAUAGCGAAUAGGCUGAGGCUAAUCUUAGAUCAUGUUAUUUCGCCAACUCAGAGUGCUUUUAUGCCAAAUAGGCUCAUAACUGAUAAUAUAAUUAUUGGGCAUGAGUGUCUUCAUAAGUGGACAAAGCUAAGUUCCAGAGGUGAGAUAGGAAAUUCUCCCGCACGACACAGCAGAAACAAACUUUCCCUUUCAUUUUCUUUUCUCUUUCUCGCUCUCCAAACAGAGCAAAAGGACUGUCGCAAGAUUCUUCACUUCCAUCCAAAAUCAUGAGCAACGAAUGGUGAGCCUCCCUGUUUCCUUCCUUUUUUUGAUAUUAACCUUGUUAACAUAUACUCAUUUUAAUUUGACAAUACUUCAACUUUUUUUAAUUUUUUGCCUUUUCAUUUUUUUUGUUGAAGCAAUUAUCUGUUCAAGCUGUUGCUUAUCGGAGACUCGUCCGUCGGAAAGUCCUGCCUGCUGCUCCGAUUUGCUGUCUGUUGACUUUUCCUUUCCCUUCUUAUUUUCUUUUUUUAUAUUAAUUACUUUCUAUUUUAGCUUUUUGUUCUCUUAAUUUGUGUUAUUAAAAUGAUAAUUUAGAUAAUAAAUAAUUGUUAUUCUUGUAAAUUUCUGUUUUCAUUACGUUAAUUGUUAGCUUUUAGGUUUAUUAAUGUAAUUUUUUUUUUUCAAUUUUUCAGGAUGAUUCUUAUGUCACAGCUACAUCAGUACCAUUGGAGUUGAUUUUGUGAGUCUCUCUUCUAUAUAUAUGUAUAUAUGUGUAUAAGUUAUAAUAUGAGUCUAUGUACGUGUAUGUAUGUAUGUGUAUGCAUAUGUGGAAAGAAAUGUUGGCAGACUUCAGCAUUUUACUCUUUUCUUUUUUUGGCAGAAAAUAAGAACUGUGGAGCUGGAUGGGAAGACGAUCAAACUGCAGAUUGUGAGUCAAAAUUUCCUUUUAUCUUGUAUUGAGAGAAAUUCGAUUUGUCUUAUUUUCUUUGUUUGAAGAGUGAUAUGUUGAAAUGAGUGUAUUUGUCUUAUAAACAUCAUUUAGGUAAUGUCUUCUGUUUGAUUGUUUUUCAUCUGUUUAGUGGGACACUGCUGGACAGGAGCGAUUCAGGACUAUAACUAGCAGUUAUUACCAAGGAGCCCAUGGAAUCAUAGUAAGGAGCCUUCCCGGUUCUUGGUUUAAAUCAGAAAGUUUGUGAUUUACAUGUGACAUCUUAACAGCAUUGUAUGUGUUUAUUAACUUAUUUUUCAUCUUUCAUUAAGCAGUACACUUUCUAUUAAAUCUGUAUACAAGAUGAUGUAGUCCAAGAAUGGGAGCCAUAAUAUGAUGCAAAUUGUCUAAUAAAUUCUUAUGACAUAUGAUGUUGUCGGAAGUAAAAGUCUUGCAAUGCUGUAUUCUCUUUUAAGAAAGAAUAAGUGGUAAUUUUGUUUUUCCAAUUUUUUAAUUGAGCAACUGUAUGAGAUUAAUUAAAUGUGUUGGGAUUUCAACAGAUUGUUUAUGAUGUAACUGGGAUGGAGAGCUUCAAUAAUGUCAAGCAGUGGUUGAAUGAGAUUGACAGAUACGCAAAUGACAGUGUAUGCAAGCUUCUAGUUGGGAACAAAUGCGAUUUAGUUGUGAACAAGGUUGUGGACACACAGACAGCCAUGGUAUAUUCAUGACUUUUGUCGCCUGAACUUUGAAUAUAAUUUUAAACUCUUCUCAAGUGCAUUUGCUUGGUAAGUUUCUGCAUACCCAGGACACUCAAACUUUGGACAGUCUGUAUCUCGAGUUGGAAUCUUUUCUGUCAAUACGACUUGUUAAAAUAAGGGUUGUUAUCGUUUGAAUCAUUCAAGAAUUGCCAUAAAUCUAAAGUCCAUAAAAAAUAUGAUUCCAUCAUUUUACUAUUAUAUCUAGACAAAACCCAUUAUUUUACUACAUUUCAUUGGCACCGAUAGUUGACCUGUUGGCUGACUGAUAAAAUAUCAAUUUUGCACUUUAUAUUAAUUCUUUUUUGGUUAAAAAAUAACACACAAAGUAUUACAAUAUUAUAAAUUCAAAAUAUAAAGUAGUUACAAAUAAUUCCUAUUAGCCUAUGAAUAUAAUAUUUGAUACCUCUAUUUGUGUAAUUUUUUUCCAAUGGUGAAAUUGUUAUUUUUUUUGUACUAACGGAAAUAUAGUAAAAUCAUAAGUUUUGUAAAGAUAUAGUAGUAAAAUGAUAGACUAAAAUACUUCUUGUAGUUGUUUGAUAUAUUGUAAUUCUUAAAGUAGUCAAUUGAUAAUAUCCCCUAAAAUAAAUGUUCGUAAUAUGUUCUCAUUUUAAUGCAACUGAUUGUUUAAUAAAAUUGUAUUUCUUUGUUAAUCUUUUAUCAUGUGCAUGCUCAGUGAGAAUUUGACUUGCUAGAACACAAGUUUGACUCUUCAUUUAAAUGUCUCUUGUAUCAUAUCCUUCAAUGUUGAGUGUGAUUCCAAUAAAAUUGAGUAGGGAGAUCCUUAAAUACCUUUUCCUUUUUUCCAAGGGCCUGCCAAAUUGCUCUAAGUGGUUCUACCCUUUAUCAAUGAAUAAUGAAAAUAAAAUUUUUAUUAAAGCAUUCUGUUCCUUAAAUGGUGACUAAUAGUACCCCCUUUUUUUUUGGAGAGGAAAGCCAAACGCCCAAAGAGGAUCAUUUACUUUCCUCUAAUGUAUUUUCUAAUUCGUUUUGAGCCUUGAAUGUCUGUUUUGGUGCGUAUUCUCAUUCCAUGUCGAAUCUUAUCCAUAUGGACAACCCCACUUACAAAAAAGUCUAAUGAAUCUAUUGAAGUUCAUAUGAGGUUUGUGCUUUAGAUUUAGACCUCUCUCUCUCUCUCUCUCCACUUACAUGUCUUUCACUUACCUGUUUGCAUGCAUGCCCAUGCACACACUUUCAAGAUAAUACACGGUCACUCGUACUUGUGUUUUGGUUGAAUUACUGGCUGCUAACCUCUGUAAUUCAGUUUGAAACUUGCCACCCUUAGUGCUUCACUCAAAUGGUUGGUUAGGGUGAGAUCUGUAUCGUUUUCCUGGUCUCUUUCCAAGGUUAUCUAAAGGGAUUUGGCAGUCUGAUUCUUUAGGGAAUAUCAUUGCAUAAGAUAUCUAUUGUUUGUUAAUGAAUAAUUUCUAUUUAACUAGUUAUCUAUAUAAAUUGGUAAAUUUUAACUGCAUAAUUUGCAUGCAAUAAGAUUUUAUAAGAAUCUUGUUUUCAACUCAUGACUUAGACUAAUGUGAUACGUUGAGCAUUAAGCUACAAGAUCUGCACAUCAAAGUGCUUCACCAUGUUAAGGAGAAAGCAUCGUUUUCUGCUUCUUCAUGUGAUUUAAAGUUUCCAAGGUACUUAUCCAAUAAAAUGUCUUUCAAGACUUUGGAAAUGCUUUUAUGUAUGACUGAGAGAAACUUGUUGGGUUGGUUUUUAGCAACAGACGGAGUUAUGGACUUUGUGUUGACUUGUUAUUGAUUAAGACAGUACAUCGGCUGAUCUAUUGGCAUCAAGCAGCAGAUGCAGAAAUUAUGGGUGGCAUACCAUUGUAUCCAAAUAACAUACUACAUUGAUUUUUCUGACUUUCUGUUGGUCUCCGAGUGAAAUGCAGGCAUUUGCAGAUGAACUGGGGAUUCCUUUCCUGGAGACGAGUGCCAAAGAUGCAAUCAAUGUGGAGCAGGCUUUCUUGACCAUGGCCGGCGAGAUUAAGAAAAAGUAAAAUCACUUAACUCUUUCCUUCUUUCCGACUGUUCUUAUUCAACAAUCACCAUUAUUGCUGGUUAUGUGCAUUGUGAUGAAAAUUCUGCAAUGAAUAACUUUUUACCUAAUGUUUUCUGUUGGAACAAAUUACUCUGGUAGAAAAGCCCUACAGGGUUUGAGAAAUCCCAUGAUGUGAUGAUUGUGAGCAUUUUAGACACCGUGUAUGGGUUUAUUUUGUGACUAUAAAAUGUUAAGAUAUUUCUAGUUUUGGUUUGUAGUGCAUAAAAGGAUUCAAAAUUUGACAUCUGUCUAAAUCAGAUUACUAACAUGACAAUGUACAUAUGCAAGAUGUGAGGAAUUGUUUUAUCUCACCCCUAAACUUUAAGAAAUUGAAACAUUAUUAUUCAAAAUAUUUAACAUUUCCAGAAUUGAUAGUUGUCUAUUUGAGCAGUGACUGGUGGUUAUCAUGAACUGAUGUGUGGUUGUGGUUUCAAAUCUUGGUGAAACCUGUUGUCAUAUGCUGAUUAACAUAGCUAGUCUCUGAAACAAUUUGUUGAUUCACUAAUUAUGAGUUCAAAUUUGAUGCAGAAUGGGCAACCAGCCUACUGCAAACAAAUCUUCUGGAACAGUUCAGAUGAAGGGAUAGCCAAUCCAGCAAAACAGCAACCGCUGUGGUUAGCCGAGCAUCUUAUUUUACUUCUACAUGUUAGCUGACUGAUUGUAGACAGUUUUAACUAUGUUGACUGCAUUAUCUUAUGAAUCUUUUAAUCUGUCAAAUAUUUAUUUCCUGCUUUAAGUUCUUUCCCGUUUAUAACAAAUUUGAUUUCUUGCUCUAUAGCAUUCCAAAUUCCUGUUAAUUUACGAGGGAAAAAGAAAAGAGACGAAAUGGGAGAAAAUGGUCAAAUUUGUUAGGGGGGGAGAGCUGUUGAAGUAGUUUUUGUUCUCGUUUAUCAUCGUGACCCUCUUGUCGCUUAUCUACGACCUGGAAGUCCGGUCAUAUCGGAUGGGUAAAGUUACCGAAACGGCAUCAUUUUGGGUGAAAUAUCAUGUUUAUGUAACACUUUUGAUAAUAUUUUUAUGCAACAAAAAAAUGUUUGCAGUACCCUUCUCACAUUGUGAAGCGCAUGAUCGGAUGAGAGCAGUCUGGAUUCUGGCAUCACAAGCUAAUGCUUUGAUUUGCUUAGUUUGUUUUUUGUUUCUGAUAUUUUCUCGGCAUAGUGUAAAUGUAUGAAGAUGAAAUUGCUGGGUUGGUUUUGUUAUGGAAUUUGGUUUAGUUCACUAACCAUUAAUGCGCAAAACCUCCUAAGACCCUAAAAAAUCCCGUACAUAAUUAAAGAAUUUCAAUUUUAUAUGUACAUAAAUAAAUAACUCUCAAAUAUAUUAUUUGAUAAUCCCAAAAACAACAACUCACUCUAAUAAAUCUCGUAGUCAAUACAUGGUCUAUAUUGCAAGUGUUUUCGAGACUAAUUCAAAAAGAAAAUACGAAGGAUAUAUAAUUGACUUUUACUUGUUAUAAAGAACUCUAAAUAAAUUUAUAUACGCAUCACAGCUAAUUACAGUCUUGGUACUUCAUUAGGUUUUUGUUAAUUUUCUAUACAGUUGUGUUGUGCAUUAAAGCUUUGUUAAAUGAAAUCGGUAGUGAGAAUUAAUUAAUUAAUUAAUUAAUUAAGAUCCAGUUAAUGUAAUUAAUUUUAUUUGAUUUUUUUAAUUCGAGUUCUAAAUUAAUCAAUUAAUUUAGAUUCAUGUGAAAUUGAAGUGAAUUAGUUUCGAACUGUUUUUCAUUCUAUGUUUGUCUGUGUUUACUCUUACUGUUUUUUUUGUUUAAACUUUUGUUUUCUUAUUGUUUACUGAAUAAAUUUCUGAGCUUUGUUUGAGUAUGAUGAUUGAUUUGUGAUUUUAAUCUAAUGUGUUGGGCUGCGAUUUAAUUGAGUGAUGUGUGAGCGCCAAAUUGUGAGCGCCAAGUAGUAAUUAUAAAAUAUUUCAGUCGUCCACUGUUCAGUCACCAAAAACCAAUUUCUAAUCUAUUUCAAAACAAUUUUUGCCAAAGUCCUCCUGGGCUAAUUAAUUCAUACAUUAAUACAGUCCUCCUCUGCUGAAUAAUGCAAACCCGUUACGUUAUUCUACCAUUUCUUAAAUUUAAAGCAUUCCACCAUUUAAUAAAAAAAUUCGAAAACCCAUUAUAUACAAUACAAAAAGCCCACCGACACCAAACCAUAUUAAUUUAAAAUAGUUUUCAAUUGAGAUUUGAAUUUUAAAAUUACAUACACAAACACACCCGAUUUUAAAAAAUAAUAAUAAUCCUAACAAUAAAAUAUUUCAGCCGUCCUCUGUUCAGUCACCGAAAACGGAUUUCCAAUCUAUUAGAACAACCGGUAUAUGGGUUUCCAACCAAUAUUGUCCUCCAUCCUUUCUGCACUUCUCUUCUAUCAACGGACAGCCCACGAUGUAUAAUCGCAAAAGUGAGGAAGGCAGGCCCUUCUCCGGAAAGUAUUUGAGCUUGGGACAAUCCGCGAGAUACAAUUCAGUGAGGUUUUGAAGAUCAACAAUUGAAGAAGAUAGGCGUUCCAGAUUUGGAAAAUUAGAAAUCCCCAGAGAUGUUAGAGAGGCAGGAAGAGGAAGCGUGGUCCCUAAUCUUUUGUCCUCUAGUGGAAAUGACACCAUGUCGUCAUCGCAUCUGCUGAUUGUAAGACGUCGCAGAGAGGAGAAUCUGUGAAAUCCCCGUCCCCGCUCAAUCAUUGACUUCCAAAUCUCCAUAUUACCCCAAAUAUUAAGUGACUGAAGGUUGGUGGGAAGGUCAUCUUCUUCUUCAAGGCUUGGAAGCGCACCUCCUAUUCCUAUUGUUAAUUGUUGAAGAGAGGUCAGAUUGUGCAAUCCCUUGGGUAAGGCCUCUAGUCUCUUACAAUUAGAUAUCGCCAGCGUCCUGAGUUUCGCACAAGGCAAUCCCCCUUCGGGAAAGGACACCAGAUUUUUACAACUAUCUAUACUGAUUGUUUCAAGAGAUGUGUUGUUGUCCAACCUUUCUGCUAUUGACUCCAGCUUUGAACAUCCACCAACACGAAUGGACUUAAGAGACGGAGGUAGAUUGCCAACUUCAAGGGACUCAAGCGUGGCAGGUAACUCGUUUUUUGAAAAUAUACACGUCAGAGAAUCACAACAGUAAAUAUGCAAUUCCUCAAGAAAAGAUGAGGUGUACCUUCUGCCGCUGCUACACUGGAUGCCCUCUUCCACUGUCAAAGUCCUUAUAUUAUCGCAACGGCAGAUCUGCAACUUCUUAAGGCUCGAUGGUAGCUGGACAGCAGCAAUAUAUGUCAACGAACGGCAACCCUCAAUAUUCAAGAUCUCGAGAGACGAAUUGGUGUCGCACAUCCAUGCCUCUGGUAACGAUUUCAGUGCAUCACAAUACCUAAUCUCAAUUUUCCUCAACUUGGAAGGCAGAGCAACCUCAGGAAAGGAAACAAGGGAAUGACAAUCGCAGAUUUCUAUCUCUCUCAAGGAACUGAGGCUGAGCGAUGAUUGUGGCAGCUUCACAAGGCCUUUGCAUUCGCUCAAUCUUAGAUAUUCGAGUCUGCAUGACAACUCGCAGAGCUGCUGUUGUUGGUCUUUCUCUUCCUCCGCCACCAAGGAUUGAAUUUUGGGACACCGUCUAAUCGUCAGUCUUUUGAGAGAGCAAAUGUCUUGCAGUAAUUCGUUAUGACUCUUCCAUAUAUGUGUUUCAUUUUUCAUAUUAUUUAUCCCCAAUUCUUCCAGUUUUGGUAUUCGCGGCUUCAAUGGCUCUGUGAAAAACACUUGAUUUGAUGUAUCUCUACAAACCACUGAAUUCUGUGAGCCGAGAUGAUCAGUUGCACUUCUCCACACAACCUUUUUACAUCCACCAAUUUCAAAUUUGCAAAGAGCUGGAAGACUUGCAACUGAAACUAGCAAUUCUUCACAUCCUUCAAUUGCAAGCAUCUCCAAUGCAGGAAGGUGUUCUGGAAAUGUUCCUUGCAGCUUAGAACACCUUAUAAUAUGAAGCUCUCUCAAUUUAGGAAACCAUUCAACUCCCUGACCAGUUCUAAGAGGAAUCCAGUCUUCCCAUUCUUGCAUGUUUUCAAAACGAAGAGUUUCCAAGCAUGGAAAAGGAAUCGGGGAAUCAUUCCCAUAGAACUCUGAACCCAAACUCUUUACUCUACUCAUUCCACGCACUGCAAGAUGCUUUAGAGAGGGUAGUUGCCCGACUGACGGCAAGGUAGUACACACGCUGCAAUCUUCAAAAUUUAAGGUCGCUAAAUUUGAGAAUGAGGAAUCUCCCAACCAAGUUGGAAAUUGUUUACCUUCAUAGCCACUGAUACAAAAUUGUUCCAGAUUUUCAUGAGGUUUUAGCAUGACGAGCACAUCCUUUUCAGUUUCUGCCUCCCUUGAAGACAAACCAUUGGUACUCUGUGUCCAUUGAAACUUUAACACUUUAAGAUUCUUCUUUCCAUCCAAUUGAGCCUCCUUCGCAUCACCAAUGUCUUUUACGUUCUCCAAUUUUGAAAUGUUAAGUGUCCCACGAAGAUGCGUCAACAAUUUUAGCUCUCGUAUCCCGGAACCACUGUCUUUUCCCACAACAAAAUUACACAGCGUCUGAAGGAAAGUCAACUUACCAAUUCCUAGUGGCAUCUCCUCCAAUGAAUCUGUCUUUGAAUUAUCGAGAUGAUGCAAUUUGAUGAGGUUUCCCAUGUCUGCACACAACUUCUUCAGUCGCCGACAGCCCUCCAGCAGAAGAGUGUGCAAAUUGUAAAGCUUGUUGACUGAUUCAGGCAGAGUUCUAAUCUCAGUUAGAGAUAGGUUAAGGUACCUUAAAUACCUCAAAUCACCAAUUGAAUCCGGUAGCUCAGAGAUGUGAUAUCCACGCAAAGAGAAGACCCUCAACCGUUGGAGUUUGAACAACUUAGGAAGAAUGCUAUGAGCCAAGUAGCCGGGCCGGCUACUUAACAACGUUACUGGUAAAAGAGUUCGCAAAUGUUGGAUAUCGUACAACUCCUCAAACCUUUUAACACCAUCGUAAUCUCCACGAAUGUACGACAGAUGACGAAGAUUUCUUGGAAAACUUUGUUGCUUGUCAACCUCUGAGAUAUACUCCAUUCUGAAGUACAUUUCCCCAGCAGCCCAUUGAGCAAGAUCAUUGAUGAGGUCGUGCAUCACAAAUCGUGAUAUACUGUUGCUUGAUUGCUGGAAAAAAGAUCUUGAACGUAGCUCUUGAAAGAACUUUCGACCUAGAUCUUCACUGGGAUUCCCACUCUCUCCGUGAUCCAAGAAACCCGAAGCACACCAUAAUAAAAUUAUCUCCUCCUCUUCAAAUUCAUAAUCCUUUGGAAACAAUGAGCAGUAUGCAAAGCAUUGUUUCAAAGGUGCCGAAAGAUAAUAGUAGCUCACUCUAAGCGCCGGUAUAAUGUCACAUCUCUCUUCUGGUAAAUCCCAUAUCUUGCAACUGAGCACACCUUCCCAAUGACUCCGGUCAAGUUUACCACGCAAGAGACCACCAAGAGUUUUCGCAGCUAAGGGCAAGCCGUUGCAUUUGAUCACUAUCUUCUUGCCAAUUUCCUCCAAUGACUUGUUUGAACUGAUAUCUCUUGCCCCUAAAGAGUGUUGAGCGAACACAGACAGACAAUCAUCAUUUGACAGCUUUUUCAAAUGAUAAGCCCGAGCAGUCCCCAUGAUGGCUGCAACCUCUUGAUUACGAGCUGUGACAAUAAUCUUACUCCCCGGUGCGCCAGCUUCAAAUGGACGGCUCAUGUCAACCCAGUCAUUGUAAUUCUCAUUCCAAACAUCGUCUAAAACAAGCAAAAAUUUCUUUUGAGAUAACUUCUUCUUCAGCUCCUCUUGAAGCAAAUUUAAAUCACUGUCAUCAGUAGUCUGCUUAGUAAUGGAUCUUAGAAUUGUUUUUGUUAGCCUGAUAACAUCAAAAUCAUCAGAGACACAAGUCCAUGCCUUGAGAUCAAAAUGACCCUGCACUCGAGCAUCAUUAUAGACAAGCUGAGCGAGAGUGGUUUUGCCCAGCCCGCCCAUACCUAUAAUAGGAAUAACAGAGAAUUCACCAUCAUUUCUCAAAUCAUCCCUCAACAGCAAUUCAACAAUUUCAUUCUUUUCUGUUUCCCUCCCAUAUACCUUGGCUUCAGUCACUAAAGAGGUUGUGGGUAGUCUUUGCCUGUCUUUUCUGGACCUCCCAGCUGAACUUACGUUCAAACCGAGCGAGUCUUUCUGUGUUACAAUAUCUUGAAAUCUGUAGUUGAUCUCUUUGAUUUUGGACAUUAUGGCGUAAUCGAACUGAAUCGAUUGUGGGGUAAAAGUGGUGCAGCAAGUAGGAAUGAGCUUCUGAAACUUACUUGUUCUUGUACGACUGCUACUGGGUUGAUCCUGAGCCGCAGCUGGAUCUCCAUUUCCAAGCAGCACCUUCCUCCGGAAAGCCCCAGUUUGAAACUCAUCCAACAAGUCUUCAACAUCAAAAGCCAAGUUCUGAAGCUCGCCAAGCCACAACUUCACAAUCUCAUCAGUCUUCUUUUCCUCAGCAUCAGCAAGCACCGCCUUGACCUUCAAAAGCAUCGUCUUCCACUUCAUUAGAUCGGCCCGGAUUUGAUCUUGGCGUGGAAACAACCGAAUCCCCACUGAAGCUAACUUAUAGACCAACAACUCAACGGACGCCGUCAGGAUUGCCUCUCCGAUGAUUGACAUUUUUUUCUUUUUUUUGUUUUGCAAAGAAAGAAACAGAAUUUUGAGUUUUGAGAAGCAAAAUGAGAAAAUUGAACAGUAAGUGUGGAGGGUCAAGCAAAAUGCGCGUAUCAAGUCUUCCACUUGUUGUUUAUUCCAGUAAAGUGAAAAAAAAAUAGAGACCACGACCCUUUAAUAAUUUAGCAAUUCACCGGUCACGAGUCACCACCACUCGUUACCAUGAAUAUAAUAAAUUGCACCUAGAUAUUUGCAGGGUCCAGCAACAUUGACCCAGUGUCCGGGUAAAUGCUGAAUAACGAGGAAAAUGGAAUGUAUCAACUACGAACCUUCGCUUUACAAGUCUUCAAACUCAUAAACCAAGUUAAAUCAAAACGUUUAUCUCUCUCACCCUUUUUGCCAUAUAAUUACUUUAUUUAUUGAAUUAAUUUCCAUGCUAAAACGAAGACUUAAAAGUGCACUACAAUUUUUUAUAAUCACAAUGGUAAUUCCUACUAUCAUGUUAUCUUAAUGUCGUGUCAAAAUAAAUUAUAAUAAAAUUUUUUUUAUAUGAACAUUUUUUUUAUUUAUGAAUUUCUUAAUUUUUAAUAUUUUUCUUACUCUUUAGUCUUAAUAUUUGUAUUUCUCUCUUCAAACUUUCUUUAUUAUUUAAUUUUUAAAGAAAAAUAUAAAAAAAGUAAGAAAAAUAUUAUACUUAAAAAAUAGUGAAUAUUUUAUGGGUCUAAUACAAGCCUGUAUUAUUUUUGACAAUGAAAGAGCACGCGAAAAAUCUCACUCAUAGAAAACUUUGUGAAAGGCAUUUGAAUGUGUGGCCACAUUUACCGAACGAAACGAUAAGGCUUUAGCCCUAUAAUUGCAAUUAGUUUGUCUUGUAACUAAAUUAUUGCCGACAAGCAGCCAUGCAUGUAAUUAGUCACAAGUUGCUUUGAAAUAAAUAGGUACUUGACAUUUGGCUCACUGAUUAUGUGUGCAAUAUUCCCGUAUUUCCCAUUACUUCCCGUACUUUAUGCAUUAUUGUUUUGUAUGUCUUUCGGUGUUUACGGUGUAGUUAGGGAUGGUAGCGGGUAGGGUCUGGUACGGGUUUGACAUCACCAAACCCGCAUCUACAAAAAAUUUUAAUUACGUAAUUCAAAUUAUAAAUUUAUAAAUAUUGCCUAAAAAAAAAUCACAUAAAAUACUUAAUUCUAGAUUUUAUCAAUGUAAAUGAAAAAUGAAAAUAUCAACAUUAAAAUAAAUACACAAAAUAUAUCAAUUUAACACGAAUUCUCAAAUUCAAUUAGCAAAUAAAUAAGUCUAUCACAACUCGAAGUGUUUUCAACUGAAAAAGAAAAAAAAGAGAAAGAGAAAAAAACAAAGAACUACAAAUCAAAGUAGCACCCAUAACCUAUUUCAUAGGCUCAUUCAACACCAAGAUUCAUUCAUUACCACUAGCACCCAUUCAACGUGGUUUUUCUAAACAAAAUAUAAAGUACAAAAUUACAAUAAGCAUAUCAUACUCCAUGCUUUAAGUUAAAGAUCCUUAUAUAAUUUUAUGAAUAAAUUUUUAGUGAAAUUUUAUGAUUAAAAUUAAAAAUACAAAUAUUAAAAUAAGAAUGUUGGACAUCUGCGCAACUAUUUGCUAUUUUUUUUUCUCUAUAAAAAUUCACCUGCAACUUACAGCAGAUUUAAAUUUAUAAUAUCAAACUUGAUUGUAGCUUGCAAAAUUUUUGGAUGUACGAUAAUUUUGCCACCCUAAGUGUAGUUAGUGUGUUUCCAAUUGGCUCCUAUAAAAAGCCUAGAAGUUGUUUGAAUAAUGAGGGAGGCAAAUAUUUCCCAAAGAUAUUCUCUUUUUCAAAUUCUUUUCUUUUCUCUAUUAUUGUAACUUCAAAUCCUUGAAAUUACAUAUUUCAAAUCCUUGACAUGAACACAAUGUUUUGACAUAGUGGCUUUUGGCUUGUCCAGAGAAAUUUAGGAUAGAUUUUGAUGUAUUAAGGCUCGUUUUACUAUUGAGAUUUUGGAACUUUUGAGCUACACUUGAAAUUUGUAUUAUUCUAAUAGAGUUGUACCCUUCGAUAUGUGAAUGGUAUUAAUCAGGUGUUAUGUUUACAGCAGUUAAAGGCAUAUUGAAUCAAAGUCCACUUUUGAUUGAGAUUUUAAAGUAGGUUUUUAAUUUGAUAGCUACUCAAGUUCAAAUAUUGGAACCACAGUGCUUUAUAACCAAGUGGGAGAACUUCUGUCCUGAAAGUUGAAGGCUGCAUACCGAGUUUUACUACCAACAAAAAUUGGUGUUAAGACUUUAGUUGCCCUCCUACUUAUAGAUAAGGGUAAUUAGGACUUUACAUCCCCUCCUGCUAAUAGAUAGGGGUUACUAGGAAUAUUAAAAAAAUGUUCAAAUAUUGAAAAAAUAGGUAUGGGUUAUAAAAUUCAUAAUACAAGAACAGUAAAUCAAGAUAAAAUUUAAAAAUUUAGAACCAUGAAAGCGUAACUUGUAAGUUUCAAAGAAGCAUGUGAAAACAUAUGCGUAUCGAUACCCAUUAAGGGUGGGCAUUAAGAUCGGGUUAACUCGAACCGAACCUUAAAUUUAUUUUGGGUUCAAUUUGAUUUUGGUUGAACCUUUCAACUGAGUUGAAAACUUAUAAACGAUUGGGGUNNNNNNNNNNNNNNNNNNNNNNNNNNNNNNNNNNNNNNNNNNNNNNNNNNNNNNNNNNNNNNNNNNNNNNNNNNNNNNNNNNNNNNNNNNNNNNNNNNNNNNNNNNNNNNNNNNNNNNNNNNNNNNNNNNNNNNNNNNNNNNNNNNNNNNNNNNNNNNNNNNNNNNNNNNNNNNNNNNNNNNNNNNNNNNNNNNNNNNNNNNNNNNNNNNNNNNNNNNNNNNNNNNNNNNNNNNNNNNNNNNNNNNNNNNNNNNNNNNNNNNNNNNNNNNNNNNNNNNNNNNNNNNNNNNNNNNNNNNNNNNNNNNNNNNNNNNNNNNNNNNNNNNNNNNNNNNNNNNNNNNNNNNNNNNNNNNNNNNNNNNNNNNNNNNNNNNNNNNNNNNNNNNNNNNNNNNNNNNNNNNNNNNNNNNNNNNNNNNNNNNNNNNNNNNNNNNNNNNNNNNNNNNNNNNNNNNNNNNNNNNNNNNNNNNNNNNNNNNNNNNNNNNNNNNNNNNNNNNNNNNNNNNNNNNNNNNNNNNNNNNNNNNNNNNNNNNNNNNNNNNNNNNNNNNNNNNNNNNNNNNNNNNNNNNNNNNNNNNNNNAGAUAUCAAAAUCACAUUCUUCAAUUCUACAAUUUCAAUUCAUCUUCAUAACUUCAACUGAAGAAUUGAUUGUAUCUCGUUUUAAUUUUUUUUUAUGUAAAGAUAAAUAUAAAAUAUAAAUGGUGAGGAGACUGAAAAAGUAAAAUCAAAAGAAGAGCACGAGUUUUAUUGAAAAUUACUUUUUUUUCAUCAUUUUGCCAGAGUGAAUGUAUCUACAUUUAAACGAAAGAAGCACAUUUGUUUGUAUUAGCUUUUUUAUUGUAUUUUUAAUAAUAAGUAAUUUUCAAUUAACUUAUAUCAUUUUUUACGAAAAUAAUAGGUGUUAGUUAGUUGAUUCAAAUGGCAAGACCUCUUGGGAUAGAGUUUGUAAUUUAGUGGCUUAUCAAUUGUUUAAAUAGGGCAUUAUUAGAGCCAAAUUAUUGUAUUUGGUUAAAAAACUCCUACUUUGCUUACAACUUUAUUAUCCUAUUAUGUUUAUUAAUAAAUAACAAUUUUAUUGAAAAAAAAACAAGAUAUGUUGAAAUGAUACAAAAAAUUUGGGUUGUAAAUCUUACUCGAAUUUAGCUUGAGAUUGGCAUUGUUAGCAUAAUAUUUGAAGAUAUAUUUUUUAAAUUAAAAAAAAAAAGAAAUUGGGUUCACACUAGUUAGUUUUAACUCAUAGUGAGAUUUAAACAAAAUCGGAAUAAUAAAUCUUGAUAUCCUAACUCAUGGAUAACAUCUACAUAAAAUAAUAAAAUCUAUUGUGUCGAAAAUAAGGGGUCUAAAGUUUGAAUUUCACUCACAUAGGUAGCAAGAGAAUCAAAUUAUUGUUAGAUUAAAUUAAUUAAAAAAAUUAUCUGAUAUACAAAACACAGCAUAUCAAAAAAAUUGAAAUAAAAGAAAAUUGAAAAGCAAAACGAUUGAGAGAACGAAAAACUAACACAAGAAAAUGCCGAUAAUUAAUUGCCUCAGCGGGCACCAACUUAAUUAUGCUUAUUAAAGCCUGGUUUAUUGUUAGAGUGCAAUUUAUGCACUAGUUUUGCAUUAUUUACUUCCCUUAAUAUCAAUGUUUUGCACUUAAUAAUAGUGAUUUACUUGUGUUUUACUUUUGUAGGUGCAAUUCUAUUAAUUGGUGAUAAAAUUAAGCUAAAAGAUGAUGUUUAAGGAGGAUUGUUCUCUUGGAGAAAUUAUGAGCGUCGAAGAACUUUGUUGAUAAGGCAUGGGCACGUGCUGUCAACUGCGGACCUGCAGUUUUUAGUUUAAACGUGUUUUGUAUUUUUGGCUAUUUUUGUAAUUACGAAUUUAAUAUUUCAGAUAUUAGUAUUUUAUUUUAAAUAGAACUCUAAAAGAGAAGAGAGAGAGAGAGUAUUUAAGAGAGGAAUCUAUUGUGAAAAAUGUAUUUACGCUUUAAUUUUUAUGUGAGCUUUGAUUAUCUUACAUUAGGGACAAUGUAAGUUCUUGGUGUGGGGGAGGGAUUUUUGCAUUAUUGAUGUCUGGAAGUAUUAUUUUCACUCUACUCAUCUAUUUUCAUUCUACUCAUCCUUAAAUGAUUUUGGAGUUAGUAUGCUUCAUAUAUUAUUAAUUUUCUUUUCUUUUCUUUCUCACUACUCUUUUCCCAUCUAUUUUUUUUACUACAUACAUCUUUCUCGCUUAUUAUCCUUUUUACCUUUCCUUUUAUUUCUCACUCAUACCUUCUUCUCAUUCUAUACCACUAUUGAUGGUUGAUUCAUUUGAAGAGUGUACAUGAUUUGAUAACAAAUUUACCAACUUUGUGAGGAUUUGAGCCUAUGAGCAACCACUUUGCUCUAAUAUUUUUGUUAUGUGAAUAUCAAUCUUAGUUUUUUUAUUCUAGAACUUGCUUUGUUAUGCAUGUUGAAGCCGCAUUACGGGAUUUUAUGCAUUAAAAUGAUAAGGGCAAACCCUUUUCCAUUUUUCUAUUCUCGCAUUUUUUUUCUCUACCCGAAGACCUUUAUUUGCUAUCUUUGUUUGAGCCUUAACCAUUACCCAUCUAAUCCUCUCCGUCUACUUAACCAUUUUUCUUCUUUUUGAGCCUCAAUUUAAGGAGAUUUUUGGACUCAUUGUGUGGAUAUAUUUUGUGUUUUUUUUACCUUGUAUUAAAGUUUCUCAAUUAGAUCAACAAGCAUUAUGCUUGAAUUAAAUUGUGCAAGGUUCGUUUCUUUUGUUUGAUUAAAAAAAACAAAAAAUAAAAAACAAAAAAAAGGAAAAAGAAAAAAAAGAAAAAGAAAAAAAAUCGAAAAAAAAUCGAAAAAAAAAAUUAAAAGUUUACAUUCUUGGUGACUUGAGUAGAAAUAAGCAUUUUGAUAUCAUAAGUUCAUUCAAUGAGUUCAUUCUUCUCAUUUUGAUAUCUUUUUCUCUUUCAUGGACCUUUCUUUUUCAUUUAACCUAUUUAACCCCAUUGCAACCCUUUUAAGACCCUUAGAUUUUUGCAUUUUAUUCAUGUUGUGGAUUGAGAUGUGAUAUAUGAGCAAGCUUAUGGUAAUAGCAUUCUUUGAUUUGAUUUGAGUGAAUAAAUGACACCCUAAACACUUUGAGUGCAUGGAGUGAAGUCAUUGAGAGGGCUAUUAAAUCUUGUUGCACUUGAAUUUUGAAUGUAUCUUCUUGGUGGUUGAAUGUUCUUAUUCUAUCUUAUGAGAUUCUAUGCUUUAAAAUCCUUGUCUCUCGAAUGUUGAUCGACUUAAUUUCUUGAGGUAUGGUUGCUUAGAAUUAUUUAUGGAUGAGUUGAGAUGAGAAUUGAGUGGAGAUUUGGGAUUAGUCUUGAGUUAUAUGCUUGAGGACAAGCAUCAUCUUGGUGUGGGGGAAUUUGUUAGAGUGCAAUUUAUGCACUAGUUUUUAAUUAUUUACUUCCCUUAAUAUCGAUGUUUUGCACUUAAUAAUAGUGAUUUACUUGUGUUUUACUUUUGUAGGUGCAAUUCUAUUGAUUGGUGAUAAAAUUGAGCUAAAAGAUGAUGUUUAAGGAGGAUUGUUCUCUUGGAGAAAUUAUGAGCAUCAGAAGAACUUUGUUGAUAAGGCGUGGGCGCGUGCUGUCAACUGCGGACCUGCAGUUUUUAGUUUAAACGUGUUUUGUAUUUUUGGCUAUUUUUGUAAUUACGAAUUUAAUAUUUCAGAUAUUAGUAUUUUAUUUUAAAUAGAACUCUAAAAGAGAAGAGAGAGAGAGAGUAUUUAAGAGAGGAAUCUAUUGUGAAAAAAAUGGGGAUUUUAGAUUGAAGAAAAGAAAGAAACCCUAGAUCUAAUUUUUCUCUUCUCUCUAUGAAGAACUAAACUUAUUUUUCUGGUUGAAGGUUAAUGAAGCUUUGAUUCAUCACUACUGUGAGAUCUUUCUUAUGCUUUAAUUGUUUUAUUACUCUUUGGGUAUUUGUUUAUUCUCUGAAUUAGUUUCAUGAUUAUGUUUGUUAAUUAGGUAAUUGGCCACUAUUUAAUUAUCAACUUAAUCUAUUGUCAAUUAAAGGAUUCAUCGUAUGAAGAAUUUAAUGUUUGUGACAAAUAACAUAGCAGAGAGUUGUGUUGUGAGAAUAAACAAUCUAAUUUAAAUGAAUCAUCAUAUGUGUUGAUUAGGAUUUGGGUCUCUUUGGUUUUUCAGGCUGUCAAUUGAUUAAAUCCUAUGAUCGUAUCUAGGAUUGUCUAUUGAUUAGGGAAAUAACCAACGGUCGUACCUUGGUUAUCGACUAGUUAAGGAGAGAUUGGCUAUUAGAGGGUCUCAGUAGUUAUAACCGGUCUAUUCAUAAGUAAUAAUAAUCUAUAUUUGAAUCAAUGAUCAGUAGUCGAAUCAAGCUGAGUUAAUUCCUUCAACCAGAGCUUUCUCCAAUUUGAAUCACAACUUUAAUUUACAUUCUCGUUAUUUUAAUUUAAUUUUUAUUAUUGUCAACAAAACCCCCAUUUUAUGUUUUACGUUUUAAAAGGAUUUAAAUAAUUACCGAUCUCUGUGGACACGACCCUGCUCAAUCACUAUACACAAUUUAUUUAGAGUAAAAAUUUAUUUUUGUUGGCUUCGACACCCACCAGUUAUUUCAUUUUCAUUGAUAAUCAUUUUGACACCGGUCAAAUUUAAAAGUUUAAAUAAUGGGGGCCAUUUUUCUUUCCAGCUAUGCCCAUUAGCUAAUAAAAGAACCGCCGAAAGGGUUCGGGGAUAAUAUAGUAAUAUGAUUGAUAAUCAUUUUGGAGCUGAGUAUUCUUCGUUCCACAUUUUGGGUUUUGGUUGACCAUAUUUUAAUACUUUUUCUGGAAAACAAAUAUAUAUUUAGUGACUUGUAAUGGGUGCAACUCAUGUUUUUGAAACAUUAACAUCUUUACUUACUUACACUAAUGCGGCAACUGCUGCUUGCUUUUUUUUUUUUCCUUUUGCUUUUGGUUAAUAAUAAUAAUAAUAAUAAUAAUAAUAAUAAUAAUAAUAAUAAUAAUAAUAAUAAUAAUAAUAAUAAUAACAACUUUUUAAUUUAAUAUAUUAUUAAAUAAUAUUUUUAUUUUUAUUUUUACAUUAUAAUUUAUUAUAACUAAUAAUAAAUAUUUAAUUUUGAAUAAUAUUAAUUUAAAAUUAAUAAUAUUAUAAAUAAUAAUAUAAACUAUUAAUACAAUUUAAAUAUAUCAAUAUAAUAUAAUAUUUAAUUUAAAUUAAUCACAAAAAAUUAAUACAAUAUAUUAUAAUACCAAAUAUUAUACAAUAUUACUAUAAUACAAUUAUGAUACAAUUUGAGGGAGAUUGUCAGCUUUUUCGGAUUAAAAAUAAUAUAUACCACUUACUCUAUUGUUUUUAUAAUGUUCAACAAUCCCCUUGAGAAAAAAAAAAAACGAAAAGAAGGAAUAAAUAGAUGAUUUGCUUGAUAUUGUAUCUUAGAAAUAUAAAAUAUAUAUUUAUUAUUAAAAGUAUUUAAAAAUAAUAAAGAGUACAUAAAAAAUAUCUUAUCCUCAACAACAAGAUCAGACGACGUCAAUUCAGCAAAAUGACUUGUACAAUUUGAAAGUCCAGCAACGGUCACCUCUUAAUGUUAUUUUUACUAUAUUAUAUUGAUAUUUUGUUUUGUUAAUCAUAUAAGUCAAUCAAUAAUUAUUUAAUCAUUAGAAUUAAAACUAAUGUAUUAAUUAAAAUUCAAAAUCUAUUAUAAAAAUAGUAAAUAUUAAUACAAAGAGAUGGACAUAUUACAAAAUACAUUCACCAAAAGUUCUAUUAUACUUAAAAUUCUCAUUCACAAAAAAAUAAUAAUAGUUGAAUACAUGUACAAAAAAAGGGGAUAAAUAAAAAAUAAUAAUAAUAAAUAAUAAAAGGAUAGUUUAUAUAAUAAAAAAUAAAUUUAUUGAAUAGGGAUGUUAAUAAUAAAGAAUAAUAGCCGAUCAAACUCACUUUACAAUAAACUGAGAAAUCAAAAUCACAUUCUCCGAUUCUACGAUUGACUCUUUUUCAUCAUUUUACUGGAGUGAAUGUAUCUAUAUGUAUUGGGGACCAUAAUGGAAACUGAUAGAACCUACAAGGGCUAAAAUUAGAACAACGAACGAUAUCUCAAAGUCGCCGAAACGUAAGUAAUUAAUCUUAUCUUUCAAUUGAUUUUUUGUGGAGACAGAGACAAACCCGAACAGCAAAUAGCCAUAAAUGAUAGGACAAUUAAAUUGGAACUCUCCGCGGACCCACGAUUUAAUAUCUUUAGAUUGUAACGGUUUAACCAAAAAAAAAACAAUUUUAGUAAAAUAUUUCUUAAAAAAUGAAAAAAAAUGUUGAAAAGAAGAACAAAAUUGUGGUCCACGUGUCAUUUCAAAAUAGGUUGCUGGCAUAAACAACCGUCCCCAUCUCGGACAGAUGUUAUUUGAGUGGUUGGUGCGCGUUUCCACUUUUUUGUUUUAGAUGCAACGACUCAUGCACUAUAUAUAUAUAUAUAUACGUAAUUUCUAUCUUAUAUAUGUAUAAGAUACAUUCUUUAUCUUUUAUCUCCCUUAUAGAAUAAUAUAUGUGUGGAAUUUAUAUAUAUUGUUCAUAUGAAAAAAAUAUAUCUUAUAUGCAUGAUAGAAUAAUCCAUGAAUCUAAUGUUAUUAGUUUAAAUAAUGGGUGCAACUCAUGUUUUUGAAACAUUAAGAUCUUUAGUCAUUCUGUUACUAUCCCGUGGUUAUUUAAGUUACAAGAGACAGUAAAAAAACAACGUCAUAUUUUAAUUACUUACACUAAAUAAAUUACUCACACUGAUGCCGCGUCUGCCGCUUACUUUUUUUCUUUUUUUUUAUCCUUUUGCUUUUGUUUUUAACUUUUACUUUUACUUUUUGACUUUUGCUUUUGGUUUAUUAUAAUAAUAAUAAUAAUAAUAAUAAUAACUAUUUUUUAAUUUAAUAUAAUAUUAAAUAAUAUUUUAUUUUUAAUUUUACAUUAUAAUUAUUAAUAUAUAAUUUAUUAUUCAAUAUUAUUAUAUUAUGUUUUUUAUUUUUAAUUAUAAUUUAUUAAUAAAUUUAUAAUUUAUUAUAACUAAUAAUAAAUAUUUAAAUUUAAAUAAUAUUAAUUUAAAAUUAAUAAUAAUAUAAAAUAUUAAUACAAUUUAAAUAUAAAUUAAUAUUUAAUUUAAAUUAAUCACAAAAAAUUAAUACAAUAUAGUAUAGCACCAAAUAUUAUAUAUUAUUAUUAUAAUACAGUACUAAUACAACAUAAUAUAAUAUAAUACAUUAAUAUUAAAAUAAUAUAAUACAGUAUGCGAAAUGAACCGAAAUGGUAUUACUUUGUUUGUCUUGUUAUUUACAAUUAUUUAAUCUGUAGACCCACUCAUGCUCCUUCUAUGCAACAUAGAUACAAUUUGAGGAAGAUUAUCAAUUUUUUCUGAGAAAAAAUAAUAUAUACCACUUACUCUUUAUUGUUUUUAUAAUGUUCAACAAUCCGUUUGAGAUGAAAAUAAAUAAAUAAAAAGAAGGAGUAAAUAGACGAUUUGCUUGAUGUUGUAUCUUAGAAAUAUAAAAUAUAUAUUUAUUAUUAAAAAUAUUUAAAAAUAAUAGAGAGUUCAUAAAAAAUAUCUUAUCCUCAACAACAAGAUCAGACGACGUCAAUUCAGCAAAAUGACUUGAACAAUUUGAAAGUCCAGCGACGGUCACCUCUUGGCACACAUACGGCAACGUGUGUAGCAUUGGCAAGAGGUCUCCCAGAAGGACGAUUAAGGAAAGAUUGCAAGACAAAAUCAUGAAAAUAGUAGUACAGAUAUGCAAUAUGCUAAAUUGUCCUCGAUUGAGUCAAUCGCAAUCAAGUCUUAGAAAUCGCACCCCUGUAUUAAUUUCCAGAAAUAUGUUUGUUCCAUAUUUAUCGUGCACGUAUACAUUGUAUGUAUUGGGAAUAGAAAGAGUGUAUGAAAAAAAAUUCUUCAUUCAUCGAUUAAAACUUAAAUUAUGUACGAGGGUUAAGCGCAGCGUUUUUAAAUUUAAAAAGCACAAGUGUCAAUCCACUAAGGUUUGGUCCAAUGGCUAGAGUCACUCCCUCGCGAAAUGAUUAGAGCUCCCACAAAUGUAUUGUACAAGUUUAAUUUAAAUUUUCUUCCUCAAAACUUAAGUGAAGACAUUAUUUUUCAUAGAAGUAGAGUUUUUCUAGGAGUUUGACAUCCCUCAAAUAUUAAAAGAAUUAAAAUCUGAACGAUACUAUAUAAAAUAUAAUUUAAACUGAUCUUAAUAAUUAUAUAAUUAUAAAUAUAAUGAGCAACAGUCUCGUUAAAAAAACAGAUCAAGUGUCAUGAGCCCAUUUAAAUUAACUAAUAUUUGAGGGGGAAAUCUCUGUAUACCAUAGUAUAUAUUCUAUAUCCAGUCAUGGGACCCAUACACGGAUGGUUCCACGUAAUUCGCAGAGUUGAACUGGAGACACUGAUUAGUUCGUUGUCUACUUACCAACUUAUGUACAACUAAGUAAUUGCAUGCACCAUUUGCGACUUAUCUAUCCACCCUGCUUGCAUUGCAUUAACUACGUCACCAAUCACCCACGUCCGCUACUUGUGUGAACGUGUAUAUAAAUACAUAUAUCCGCAGCAUAUUAUCAAACCAGAAUCAGAAGCAACUUAAGUUUUGUUCAUUAGGUUUAUGUUUAUCAACAUGAUAUAUUGUCAAUCAUAAUCGCAAUCAAGUUGUUAAUUAUUUUUUAAAUAAUGUGAAGGAACAAGAUUUUGGCCUUUGAGUGUCUGGUUAAAAAUAUCUCACCUCAAUGUACGGUGUUGUGCUCUCAUCAUCGUACUAUUAUUUGUUAAAAGUAUGUCAAAGAGGAAAGCAGAUUCAAACAUUACUUCAAUUUUAUUUAAGAGAAUAAAAAAAUCGUUAAUAGGCUACUGUUAUUUGUUAGUACGAUUUCACAAAAAAAUCGGUUUCUUAAACAACUCCAACUACAAUUUUUUUUUUACAAAUUUUUGAAUUAUUAAAUCAUAUGUGUGUGUAUAAAUUGAAUAGAAUUAAAAGUGGACUCAAAUGGCUAUUAUGUAAUUUUUUUAUAAUUAAAGAAAAGUUUAGAAUGUAAAAGUGUGUGUGAGAAAACAAAAAAUAUAAAUCACCUUUGAUGUAGUUGUACGGUUGUAAAGAGUUAGAUGGAGAAAUAUAGUAUAUAAUUAAAUUUAUUUUGUUCCUUAAAACGGGUAGGUUUUAUAAGAAUUUUCCAGAGGAGUGCUAAUAUUUCAACUUUUUUUCAAAUGAAGUGAUGUCCUGGAAUAAAAUCACUACUCUAUCAUUGCUAUUAGUUUGUCUUGUAUUUCAAUAAUUGUCGACAAGUAUUAAUUGUGAAUAUUAUUGUUUUAAAAAUUUUAUUAUUAUUAUCGUCGUUAUUCUUAACAGUAAUGACUAGAAUUAUAAUAAAAACAAUAACGUUAAUACAAUAAUAUAACAACAUAAUAAUAUUUUAAUUGAGAGGAUAAGAAUGAAAUUAUGAAAUUUAGGUUGGGUAAAAAUGAUGAGUAUGAGGAAAUUAAAUUACCAUUUUUUAAGCUAAACAAUUCAUAAAUUCCACAUAUUUCAUUCGUAUUUCUCUUAUAUUUUAACAAGUAAACAUUAUCAAUAAUUUUAAUAUUUUAAUUAAUAAACACGGCGUUAACUACGGAACUAAAAGAUCAAAAAAAAAAAAAAAAACAGAGACGCGUGUAUGUAUUGCUUGUGACAAAUCUCACCCGUGGAAAACUUUGUGAAAGGCAUUUGAAUGUGAGGCCACAUUUAAUGAACGAAACGAUAACUUUAAAAGAGAGUAUGUACUGUGUUAAUUAUUAGGCUUUAGCUUAAUGAUUGCAAUUAGUUUGUCUUGUAAUUAAAUUAUUGCCGACAAACACUAUCACGACCCACGUCCGCUACUUGUGUGAGUGCGUGUAUAAAUAUCCGCAGCAUAUUAUCAAACCUGAAGCGUACUAAUAAAGUAUUGGUUCCACUACAAUAGAGUCUCCUUAAGUGGUUUUGAUUGGGUUUGCUCCUCAGUUCGAGUCGCAGAAAAGUCACCUUUGUUGGGAGAACCUGUGCCUCUCAGUUCGAGCGGGGAUUUCUAGUCUGGAUUGUGAUACAGGCUUAAAGGUGCCUCCCACAGUUGGGGCCCUCCCCAGAAUACCUCGUUGUCAAAACCAAAAAAAAAAAAAAAAUCAAACCUGAAGCGUGAUCAUCUUUAAGUUUUGGUUAGGGUUGAUCAGACGUUGGAAGAUAUCUUUCCUAAUUUAAAGAAGAUGGAAACUCCUUAUCCAGGUUCUUAGGCCAUGUUCAGUUGAAUGUCAUUUAUAAUUUUUAUUUUAACAUUAUGUAUUUAUGAAUACAAUUAUUGUUUAUUUUAACAUUAUGUAUUUAUGAAUACAAUUAUUGUUAUGAUUUUUUCAGGUAAGAAUGGGUGGUCUGAGGGUAACCCAAUAACUAUGUACAAUAUUAUUAAUGAUGAGAGUGUGAAUGACAAUUUGGAUUUUAUUCUCGUCCCUCAAUACAGAAGAAAUCUUGACCAUAGCGGUUAAUUGCUAUGUAACUCUUUCGUAUUAUGUUUAAUUAAUAAUAAAAUGAUGGGUUAUUAUUACCUGUCAAUUAUGUGAGUGUCUCUGCUUGAUUUAGUUCACUUAUAAAAUAUCUUAAGAUAUACAAGAGAUUUUCUUUAUUUACUUUCAUGUACCGCGUCUUCUUGUAAAAAGAAACUAAUAAAAAAAUAUCAUUGUGUGCAAUGUAUUGACUAAGUUAGUGUAUUCAUGUUAGCUUAAUUGUGCUCUCUCUUCUUGAUUUUUUUGUUUUUUUUGGUUAAAACAAACUCCACAUAUUGUUGGUUAGCUAAUUCUUGCAGCUAGCAAGUGAUCCUUUUCUUUCCCCUACUGCCUGCCGUAGCAUCAAAUCCUGACAAUUAUAUAUCAAGUGGUAUUCGAGCCGUCAAAUGAUCCUUGGAAACACGCAACAAAUCAAAUGCUGAAUUUUGCCAAGAGAUUCACGAAAUCCUUGCUAGACAUGUCUUUUGUCCAGUUUAUUUCAAACUACGCGAGCAAUGUUCCCGUUACUGUUUAGUAUGUCUUUUGUUGUUUGCAAUGUAGUUAGGGAUGUUAGCGGGUAGGGUUUGGUACGGAUUUGACAUUACCAAAAGCCGGAUCUGUAAAAAAAAUUUAAUUAUCAAAUUCAUUGUGGGUUUUAUUUAUUCAUUUUUUUCCUCUUAACAAAGCCCAUCAGCUGCGGGUUUGAAUGGUACCUAGUGUAUAUUUUUGUGAGUUCCCACGUAUAAAAUCACACUUGCAACAAAACCUAAAAGUUAAAAUUAUGUAAUUCAAAUUAUAAAUUUAUAAUCGUAGCCUAAAAAACCACAUAAAAUACUUAAUUUUAGAUUUUAUUAAUGUAAAUGAGAAAUGAAAGUAAAACAUUAAAAUAAAUACACAAAAUAUAUCAAUUUAACAAAAAUUUUAAAUUUUAAUUACCAAAUACAUAAGUCUAUCGCAACUUAAAGUGCUUUCAAUUGAAAACGAAAAAAGAGAAAGAGAAAAAAAAAGAACUACAAAUCAAAGUAGCACCCGUGACCCAUUUCCCAGUCUCAUUCAAUACCACUAGCACCCAUCCAACGUGAUUUUUCUAAACAAAGUAUAAAGUACAAAAUUACAAUAAGCAUAUCAUACUCCAUGCUUUAAGUUAAAGAUCCUUAUAUAUUUUUAUGAAUAAUUUUUUCAUGAAAUUUUAUGAUUAAAAUUAAAAAUACAAACAUUCAAAUAAGAAUGUCGGACACUUGCGCAACUAUUUACCAAAAUUUUUCUCUAUAAAAAUCGACCUGCAACUUUCAAUAGGUUUAAAUUUAUAAUAUCAAACCUAAUUGCAGCUCGCAAAAAUUAUCUGUUGCGGCCAAGACUUUGGAUUUGCGAUGAUUUUGCCACCCUAAGUGUAGUUAGUAUUGUAUAUCAUGUGGCUCUUAUAAAAAGCCUAGAAGUUGUUUGAAUAAUGGGGGAGACACAUAUCUCCCAAAGAUUUUCUCUUUUUCAAAUUAUUAUUUCUUCUCUAUUAUUGUAACUUCGAAUCCUUAUAAAUUACAGAUUGGAGACAUGAACACAAUGUUUUGACAUAGUGGACUUUUGACUUAUCCAGAGAAAUUUAGGAUAGAUUUUUAUACACUAAGGUUCUAUUUACUAUUGAGGUUUUAGAACUUUUAAGCCACACUAGAAAUUUGUAUUGUUUUGAUUGGUAUUGAAUCAAAGGCAUAUUGAAUCAAAUAUUGUUUACAAUAGUUAAAGGCAUAUUGAAUCAAAAUCCACUUCUAAGGGUUUGAUUGAGUGAUUGUAAAGUAGGUUUUUAGUUUGCUAGCCACUCAAGUUCAAAUAUUGGAACCACAGAGCCUUAUAGCCAAGUGAGAGAACUUGUGCCCUAAAAAUUGAGGGGUGCAUAUCGAGUUUUACCACCAAUAAAAGUUGGUGUUAAAACUUUAAUUUCCCUCCUAUUGUGGAUAGGGGUAAUUAGGAGUUUACAUCCCCUCCUAUUAAUAGAUAGGGGUUAUUAGGAAUAUUAAAAAAAAGUUCAAAUAUUGAAAAUAUAGGUAUGGGUUAUAAAAUUCAUAAUAUAAAGACACAAAAUCAAGAUAAAGAUUUAAAAAUUUAGAACCAUGAGAGCGUGACUUGUAAGUUUCAAAAAAGUAUGUGUAAAUAUAUGCAUUAUUGAUGCCCCAAUUAAGGGUGGGCAUUAAGAAAAAAAAAUCCCAAAAAAUUAAAACUAACCCUAACUAAAAUAUUCGACCGCGGCCUCCUCGUUUUCUUUUCUUCUUCUUCCUCCUCUUGCUCACCCUCAAUGCCCAUUCAUGGAAAUCCAACAGCUCCAAACGCGUUUCAGCCGCUCGCACGUGUGAGAAUUUUUCCUUCUCAUGGGAUUAUUCUUCGCUUGCAUGCCAGCAGAAUAUUCAGGCCGAGGAUUUUUCCGGGCCUAGCCCAACUAUAAGCUCUCCCAAAACCCAAUCAUAAAGUUCAUAACGUUUAGCGUUUGCUAUUACUAUAAUUUUUUUUAACCAAUUUUCACAUUCAUCAACAAAGGCUGACAGAUUUUGCAGAAAAUAAAAUUAAAUAAAAGUACAAGCUCACGAAAUUCCUUUUCCGAUGUGGGAAUCUAUCUACACCUUUCACGUGCCUUUUUUUUUUUGGUUUAUCACAUGUUGAAGUUAAACAGUUGAAGUUAGUGAUGCAAGUUGAAGUUAGUGAUGCAAGUUGAAAGUUGAAAGUUGCAAAAGACUUGGUUGUGAUUUCUCCAAAGGAGAUUUUGAAAAUUUGUUCUGUUGAUUGCAGGUGGAUGAGUCUGUGACCAAGCUGGACUGCCGUGUGCCUCCAGUCCUCAAGCAAGUCCCUGCCCAAGCUCUCUCCGCGGCUCAAAUGGCUCCAGUAGUGGCACGAUCCGUGGCUUCUGAAGUGAAGACUGCCGGUGUAGCCGGCACCGCCUCAGGAAUGGCAAAAUCCGUUUACACCAAGUACGAGCCAGCAGCCAAGGAACUUUACUCCAAGUAAGAACCAAAAGCGGAGCAAUAUGCUGUAUCAGCUUGGCGCAAGCUCAAUCAGAUGCCACUAUUCCCUCAAGUAGCUCAAGUUGUUGUGCCAACUGCUGCCUAUUGUUCCGAAAAAUACAACCAAACAGUGGUGAGCGCUGCAGAGAAGGGGUACAAGGUCUCCUCAUAUUUGCCUUUGGUCCCUACUGAGAGGAUUGCUAAGGUGUUCAGCAACGAGGUUGUUGAAUCGCAGCCUCUGGCUUCUGCUGGACGUGAAGCUGAUGUUGCUGUGUAUUGAUAGCUGUGUUUUCUGUUUUCUGGCCUCACAAUUUUUCUUGCAAGCUGUGGAGUGAAAAUGUUUUCCUUUCUGGAUAUGGGUAUUGGGUUGAAAAUGGAGUGGAUUACGAUUAUUUAAUUUUUAAAGACAUUGCUUAAUUCUGUGGCGUCAGCAUAAUACUUUCUGUUUUUGACUUUUCUUCUGUGUUUAGAUUUUUAGUUCAUUGCUCUUAAUAGUGUUAAAAGUUGGUCACUUUCCUAAAGAAACUCUAAUGAAGGAAAUGAACUUUGGAAUUAAAGUAGAAAUUAUAUGAAAUAUUAAAUUUUAAUUAAAAUAAAAAAUAUAUUAAAAACAUCGUAAAGCAAAAAUUGAGCCAGCUAGAUCCAUUAAGAGUGGCUGGCCCAACCCAACGUCCCAACCCAACAUAACACAAUCACCAGAACUUGUGCUGAGUAUGAUUGUUAAUAUUAUAGCGUGUUUACUAAUAUCAUUCAAAUGUAAUAGUAAUGUAUAAUUAAACAAAAUCAAAAGUCUAUGAUUCCGCUAAUUUGGGGCUAGGGUUUUUCCUUUUCCCAUCCCUUGACUUAAUGAUUUUUAAAAAAUGAAAAUAAAACCCGCACGACAUGACGGGUUCAGUUCCGAUUUGGAUCAAAUUAAGUCCAGUUCGUUAUUGUGAAAUCGUAAUAAACAAAUAAAUUGGGGGCUGAAAAAUCUGGUCGGAAUUUCAAUUUGUAUUAAUUAAUUGACUUUUUGAAUUGCUUUCCAAUAAAAUUAAGCUAUGUUCAAGUGUUUGUAUUUUGGUAAAUUGUGCUGCAUCUAUUUUGCUCAUGUGAUUGUUAAUUUAUUUUGUUUUUCUAGGUUUUGUGGGUAUGAUUGUUAAUUUAUUUUGUUUUUCUGAGUUUUGUUCAUAUGAUUGUUAAUUGAUUUUGUUUGUUCUUUUCUUUACGUGCUGUAAUUUCAUUUUCCGUUGGGGUAAAUUCAAGAAUUAUGAUUUAUGAGUCUAAAUUGUUUUGAACGUAUAAUAUGCGAGGGUUCUGCCUACAAUUACUUUGGCUAGUGUGUCAACUGCAGGCUCUGUGGAGGGUAAGGUAAAAUAGUUUAUGAAUAAAUUGAAAAAUUGGUGAUAUAGGUGGUUACGGCUGAAAUUGUAGAAGAGUUUUAUUCAAUUUCUACCUAGUAAAUGUGAUAUUUACAAUCUCAGCAGAUGAGAGAGUAAGCUUUGCUAUUCAAUACAUGUUUCAUUAAUUCACUUGGGUAUUGAAACCCCGAAGCUUUUUUUUUUUUUUUGAGCAAAGGGAACCUUAUUCGGACUGUUCAACUAAGAAAAAAUGAUACAAGGAAAUGAAAUUAAGUGCCAUGAGGCAUCAGUGCCUACCUCAAUGCUUUCUUCUAUAUGUAACAUUUCUAAUACAUAGUAUGUACAUGAGUGAAAACCUUUGAAGUAAAUAAAUAUAUGUUUACUCUAUCAAAAUUGGACUUCCCUGCAAAUGCAAUCCCAUGAUUGACAAAAAAUGGCCAGCAUCGCUGUGGUGCCAUGUCUGAAAUUUGCUAAAACAACUCGGAGACGGCAUGGGGCACAAGAAGAGAGUUCUUAAGUUCCAAAAUUGUCUACGAUCAAGUGUUGGGAUGGUGAAUGCUUUCACCAUUUAUGCAACUGAGCGGUGAUACUUUUCACCACAGGAUAAUAUUCUGUGUGCACGUGCUUUUUAGCUUUCUCUGAACCAGGUUGCUCAAGCCACUCAUCAUACAAGCUUUUCACCAGAGAAUUUUUGAAAGGAUCAGCUACCAUUACAUUUUCCAAAUAUAUGGUUUCCAGUGUCUUAAUCAACUCCUUCGGUGAUUGCCCUGGCUUAGGCUUGACCUGACGUCCACCAUUCAUGCAACCUGAAGGGCAUGCCAUGAUCUCCACAAAGUGAUAAUCACAUUUUCGCAUUUUCACUCUCCUGACAAUGUUUUGCAGGUUCUGGAAGCCAUAACAUAGGGCAAAUUUCAACAACGUUUUUCCCUCCACUUCCAGAGCCACCUCUCGGAAAUCAGAGUUUCUGAUGGUUUUAAAUUCUAGACGACCUUCAAUAACUUUUCCAAAUAGUGUUUUAGCAGCAUGUCUGAAUACUGUUUCUGCAUAACCACCAGAACUUCCAGCGACCCCAUAAAGAUGUCCUUCAUCAUCAACAUUGGUCAAGAUAAUGCCCCAUAAUAUAGAAUAUCCAACAAUAAAACAUGCAUGAAAAUAAAUGCAAGUAAAUCGAGAUUAUGAAAAUCAUUCACCCACAAAAUGAGAGUGCCACAAUGAAUACCCAAAGCAGGCCACCAACAAAAUUUAAAACAAAAGUAAUUCGUGUAAAAUAUUAAUGGAGCCAAGCAAAGAAAACACAAGAAAUAAGAGUUUUGUUAUUUUACCUGUAGCACUAGGGUGCCAACUCUAACGUCUCCAACUAAAACAAUAAUACAUUUAUUGGUGGAAAAGGCAGAACGUUCAAGACCUUCGUAGCUAGUUUCAAUGGCAAGGGGAACGCUUGCAACCUCAACUCCAUACAUCAGUUUGUUAUUUGUUUAAACACAUAAGUCGUAAAAAUAUUUUCAACUUACUACAUGUGUUUUUUUACUAAGCAGUUGUUCCCCUCCAGGUGACUGGACAUAAACUCUAUUUAAUUUUUUAUAUAUUUUAUAUUUUGAAAAUUUGAUUUAUUGUAGACAAACAAGGGAGUUUGACAUAAUAAAUUCUUAAUUCUUAAUAUAAGGUAUGACAAAAUGAUAUUUUCAUUUAUUCUAGACAAAUUAAAUUUUGUCACAAUAAAUAUUAAUCCAUCAUAAAAUUAAAGGGAAAAUAAUGAUAAUUUAUAUAAUUAAUCUUUUCGGCAAUAAAUCUAAAUAAAAAAUGGUGAAAAGAAUUUAUUAAAUUUUAUUUACUACUAAGGGUGGAUCCAUAACCUUAGCCAUUUUUAGCAAAAGUAAAAUAAACAAAUAAAUAUUUUUUUGUGUAUCGACCUCGAACUCACCGAACUAUAAUAUAACAAGACACUCUUAUACUUGAGAGUUAAAAAUUACUUUUAAGUUGUGUCACCUAGAAGACUCUCUGUGUGUUAUUAUAUUAGGAGAAUUAUAUGCUUUCUACUUAAUAAAUUAAGAUUUACAAUAAAAUAUACUGACUAAAAGGGAUGCAUAUAUCCAACACAAUUUCUUUCGAACACUAAAAUUAUUAUUUUUUAUUUCACACUUAUUACUUUAAACUCUUAUACGAAACAAAUAAGGGCUACUAAAUAACAUGUCAGAUAAUUUUAUUACUUCUUUAAUUAUUACAAUUUAAUUCGGGCUUCUUCUGUAACAAACUAUACAACUCAUACUUUCUAUUACUUACAACAAAUAAAAUAGAGUGUCGAAUAUAUUUUUCUCUUUCUUUUUUAUUGUUUGAACUUAUCUUUCAUCUCAAUUAAGCCGCUAUUUCUUGGUUGAUGAUUUACUAUUUUUAAAUUUAUUGUUGUUAUUAUUACGCAAAUUAUCAUCACGCAAAUUAACAUGUACCAAUUUUUCCAUUUUCCAAUUGCAUAUAUAUUUACUAAAUGCUUCGGUACCGAUGUAAAGCAUCUCCUCAUACUGUCGUCAUCUUAUUUCUUCAAAUUAAUUAAAUCUAACAUGUAAUUUCAUUCCUGUAAAUUUACUUUAAUCUCAUCGCAUACAUUACAUUAUUUUUUAUUUUAAUAAAUAAUUUCUGCUAUAAUUAUCCUAUUACUUAAUUUUGAAAUUGUCAACAAUGAAUAUUAACCUACAUUAAUAGAUUAUGGGACAUUCUCCUAUCAAAUUACUGUUUUCUAAGGAACUAUCUUUUAUGCCUUCUAACGUAACCCUUUUAUCUUCCCUGAUGAACAUAAGAUUCGAAAGUCCUGUAACAUAUUUAGGUACGAGGCAGCAAUUUCACCUUCUAAUUUGAAAAGGAAACUGUAUUAUUCUUACUUUAAAUAACCCUUCAUACCUUAUUGAUGGGUAGAGAGACAUUUUGCAUCCCGUGCGUUACAAUUUUCUUAUUGAUGCCGACAUUCGUGCGAUUCACAUCUCGGUGUCCGAUUGAUAUUGUUUAUCGCCUCCAGCCGGCCGGGGGGGGGGGGGGGGGGUGCAUCUGUCACUAUACAACAUAAUCAGGCCUUCAUUCUUCUCAUCCGCCGCCAAUAUCGUUCAUCUUUGUUCUUUACCACAUGUUCUUGUUCAUUUAAUUUGGAUAUGUUGGUCCACAUCCCCCUGCACACGAAGGUUCACUUUUACGGGUGUUCGCGUCUCAGAUUUUGCGGAUUGCACAUCAAUCCAUAUAUUUUUAAUUCAAUAUAUACUAUUUCUCCUGAUUUCAUGAGUUUUUCCAGAUUUAGAGACUUAAAUCCUUUUCCAAUCCAUCUAAUACGGAAUUUUUUAAUUAUGCUAAUUUAUUAGGGUCUUAUUCUGUAACAAACUAUAAAACUCAUAGUUUCUAUACUUACAACAAACAAUUGAGACUGUCAUAAAAAAUAGUUAAAAUAGAGUGUCGAAGAUAUUUUUCUCUUUCUUUUUUCCUCUUUUAAUUGAUCAAUCAUCUCAAAAAAGCCUCCAUUUCUUGGUUGAUGAUUUACUAUUUUUAAAAUUAUUAUUAUUACACAAAUUAUCGUCGUCGUCGUCGUCAUAAUUAUAAUAUUAACCAUUACUAGUUUUAUUAUUAUUGUUGUUGUUAUUCAAAUUUGGAAAUGACAUGGCCUAUUAUUUAAACUCUAAGGAUAAAAUUAAAAUUACAUAUUAUUCAGGUUAAAUGGAAUUUUUCCCUUUUUUUCCCCACCAAUUACUUUUGCAAUGCAUUGCCUGAUCAUUUUUUUAUUAUUUAUUUAUUUAUUAUUAUUAUUAUUAUUAUUAUUAUUAUUAUUACACGCUACAUAAUUUUUCUUCACAUUUUUUUUAUAUGGUUUUCAUUUACUCAACUCAUACGCAAAUUUCCCACAAAAUCGAAUUAUACACUAACUCAACUGUAAAUUCAUGCCAGGCUACUUUUAAAAUUACAGUUGAUAUUUCGCAUUUUUUUUCCCACCAAGCACGCAAUUCAUUACCUUAAAUCCACUUCCAAAUGUUUUCGUCACUAUUUUCGAAAUUUUCAAAUCAUUCUAACCCCAACCCAUACUUGCACGCUUCCAACUUCUUGCUUUUAACCAAUACUUGCAUGCACUUUUUUUAAUUAUUUUACAUGCGUUACUGUUACAACUUCCAACUACUACAGGCGUUUUUUUGGUCAAAAAGUUGAUUCCCUGCAGUGUUACCGGCCCAUUACCUUUAUCUCAGGUUACUCUCUUGCGUCUGUGUGUCUCUUCUGCAGCCACGAGAUGAAAUCUAACGGUGACCAUGCUACAAGACAAACGACUUGGGUACGAAACCCAUGACGCAAAGUAGCUGCGGCCUAAAUCAGGUAGGAAAAAUAAAAAGUUAAUUAUUGAGUUGUAAUGGUGCAACUAAGGUUUUGAAACAUUAAGAUCUUUAGCCAUUAUGUUACUAUCCCGUAGUUAUUUAAGUUAUAAGAGAUAGUAAAAAAUAACAUCAUGUAAUUAUUUAAGUUAUAAGAGAUAGUAAAAAAUAACAUCAUAUUUUAAUUACUUACACUAAUCCUACAAGUGCUAAUGGUCUAAAGUUGCUGCUGCUUGCACUGAAUCAGUGGUCAUGGGCCAGCCAAGGUUAGGUGAGGCCAACUCAUUAGCUUGAGAAACUUAAAGAAGUCUUAGGUUUGGAAAAGAUGGGGCACAGGUUAUAAAUUUUUUUUGAGUUUUGGAUUGAAGGAACAAAAUUGUUGAUGUCUAGCUCACAAUAUUUGAAGUCACUCUGUGCUUCAUCAUGUAAAAUGGAUUGAAUUGCUGUAAGAUCAAGUCAAAUUAAAAUGUUUAAACUCAUUUUUAAGAAACGAAUUCUCAAUUGGACCAGCCUUUCACAGAAGCUGAUAUCACAGAAGCUUUGAGUCAGAUGCAUCCAACCAAAGCCCCUGGCCCAGAUGGUCUCCCAACAGUAUUUUUCCAAAAGCUUUAGAAUUCAGUAAGCGAAGGAGUUAUAGCCACUUGUCUGCAUAUCCUCAAUGAUGGAAGUAAUAUUGCUCCUUUGAAUCAUACAUACAUUGCUUUAAUCCCCAAGAUAGCAAAACUUAGGACUCUGAUGGAGUAUAGACCAAUCAGCAUAUGUAAUGUAAUUUAUAGGAUCAUUGCAAAGACUAUAGCGAAUAGACUGAAGCUAAUCUUAGAUCAUGUUAUUUCGCCAACUCAGAGUGCUUUUAUGCCAAAUAGGCUUAUAACUAAUAAUAUAAUUAUUGGGCAUGAGUGUCUUCAUAAGUGGACAAAGCUAAGUUCCAGAGGUGAGAUAGGAAAUUCUCCCGCACGACAUAGUAGAAACAAACUUUCCCUUUCAUUUUCUUUCUUCUUUCUCGCUCUCCAAACAGAGCAAAAGGACCGUCGCAAGAUUCUUCACUUCCAUCCAAAAUCAUGAGCAACGAAUAGUGAGCCUCCCUGUUUCCUUCCUUUUUUUGAUAUUAACAUUGUUAACAUAUACUCAUUUUAAUUUGACAAUACUUCAACUUUUUUUUAUUUUUUUGCCUUUUCAUUUUUUUUGUUGAAGCAAUUAUCUGUUCAAGCUGUUGCUUAUCGGAGACUCGUCUGUCGGAAAGUCCUACCUGCUGCUCCGAUUUGCUGUCUGUUGACUUUUCCUUUCCCUUCUUAUUUUCUUUUUUUUAUAUUAAUUACUUUCUAUUUUAGCUUUUUGUUCUCUGAAUUUGUGUUAUUAAAAUGAUAAUUUAGAUGAUAAAUAAUUGUUAUUCUUGUAAAUUUCGAUUUUCAUUACGUUAAUUGUUAGUUUUUAGGUUUAUUAAUGUAAUUUUUUUUUUCAAUUUUUCAGGAUGAUUCUUAUGUCACAGCUACAUCAGUACCAUUGGAGUUGAUUUUGUGAGUCUCUCUUCUAUAUAUAUGUAUAUAUGUGUAUAAGUUAUAAUAUGAGUCUAUGUACGUGUAUGAAUGUAUGUGUAUGUAUAUGUGGAAAGAAAUGUUGGCAGACUUCAGCAUUUUACUCUUUUUUUUUUUUUGGCAGAAAAUAAGAACUGUGGAGCUGGAUGGGAAGACGAUCAAACUGCAGAUUGUGAGUCAAAAUUUCCUUUUAUCUUGUAUUGAGAGAAAUUCGAUUUGUCUUAUUUAGUGAAGGUUAUGUUCAAGAACCUCUUCUUAUUUUCUUUGUUUGAAGAGUGAUAUGUUGAAAUGAGUGUAUUUGUCUUAUAAACAUCAUUUAGGUAAUGUCUGAUGUUUGAUUGUUUUUCAUCUGUUUAGUGGGACACUGCUGGACAGGAGCGAUUCAGGACUAUAACUAGCAAUUAUUACCGAGGAGCCCAUGGAAUCAUAGCAAGGAGCCUUCCCGGUUCUUGGUUUAAAUCAGAAAGUUUGUGAUUUACAUGUGACAUCUUAACAGCAUUGUAUGUGUUUAUUAACUUAUUUUUCAUCUUUCAUUAAGCAGUACAUUUUCCAAUAAAUCUGUAUACAAGAUGAUGUAGUCCAAGAAUGGGAGCCAUAAUAUGAUGCAAAUUGUCUAAUAAAUUCUUAUGACAUAUGAUGUUGUCGGAAGUAAAAGUCUUGCAAUGCUGUAUUCUCUUUUAAGAAAGAAUAAGUGGUAAUUUUUUUUUUCCAAUUUUUUAAUUGAGCAACUGUAUGAGAUUAAUUAAAUGUGUUGGGAUUUCAACAGAUUGUCUAUGAUGUAACUGAGAUGGAGAGCUUCAAUAAUGUCAAGCAGUGGUUGAAUGAGAUUGACAGAUACGCAAAUGACAGUGUAUGCAAACUUCUAGUUGGGAACAAAUGCGAUUUAGUUGAGAACAAGGUUGUGGACACACAGACAGCCAAGGUAUAUUCGUGACUUCUUUCGCCUGAACUUUGAAUAUAAUUUUAAACUCUUCUCAAGUGCAUUUGCUUGAUAAGUUUCUGCAUACCCAGGACACUCAAACUUUGGACAGUGUAUCUCGAGUUGGAAUCUUUUCUGCCAAUACGACUUGUUAAAAUAAUGGUUAUUAUCGUUUGAAUCAUUCAAGAAUUGCAAUAAAUCUAAAGUCCAUAAAAAAUAUGAUUCCAUCAUUUUACUAUUAUAUCUAGACAAAACCCAUUAUUUUACUACAUUUCAUUGGCACCGAUAGUUGACCUGUUGGCUGACUGAUAAAAUCUCAAUUUUGCACUUUACAUUAAUUCUUUUUUGGUUAAAAAAUAACACACAAAGUAUUACAAUAUUAUAAAUUCAAAAUAUAAAGUAGUUACAAAUAAUUCCUAUUAGCCUAUGAAUAUAAUAUUUGAUACCUCUAUUUGUGUAAUUUUUUUUCCAAUGGUGAAAUUGUUAUUUUUUUUGUACUAACGGAAAUGUAGUAAAAUCAUAAGUUUUGUAAAGAUAUAGUAGUAAAAUGAUAGACUAAAAUACUUCUUGUAGUUGUUUGAUAUAUUGUAAUUCUUAAAGUACUCAAUUGAUAAUAUCCCCUAAAAUAAAUGUUCGUAAUAUGUUCUCAUUUUAAUGCAACUGAUUGUUUAAUAAAAUUGUAUUUCUUUGUUAAUCUUUUAUCAUGUGCAUGCUCAGUGAGAAUUUGACUUACUAGAACACAAGUUUGACUCUUCAUUUAAAUGUCUCUUGUAUCAUAUCCUUCAAUGUUGUGUGUGAUUCCAAUAAAAUUGAGUAGGGAGAUCCUUAAAUACCUUUUCCUUUUUUCCAAGGGCCUGUCAAAUUGCUCUAAGUGAUUCUACCCUUUAUCAAUGAAUAAUGAAAAUAAAAUUUUUAUUAAAGCAGUUUUUUCCGUAAAUGGUGACUAAUAGUACCCCUUUUUUUGGAGAGGAAAGUCAAACAUGCCCAAAGAGAAUCAUUUACUUUCCUCUAAUGUAUUUUCUAAUUCGUUUUGACCCUUGAAUGUCUGUUUUGGUGCGUAUUCUCAUUCCAUGUCGAAUCUUAUCCAUAUGGACAACCCCACUUACAAAAAAGUCUAAUGAAUCUAUUGAUGUUCAUAUGAGGUUUGUGCUUUAGAUUUAGACCUCUCUCUCUCUCUCUCUCUCUCUCUCUCUCCACUUACAUGUCUUUCACUUACCUGUUUGCAUGCAUGCCCAUGCACACACUUGCAAGUUAAUACACAGUCACUCGUACUUGUGUUUUGGUUGAGCUACUGGCUGCUAACCUCUGUAAUUCAGUUUGAAACUUGCCCCCCUUAGUGCUUCACUCAAAUGGUUGGUUAGGGUGAGAUCUGUAUCGUUUUCCUGGUCUCUUUCCAAGGUUAUCUAAAGGGAUUUGGCAGUCUGAUUCUUUAGGGAAUAUCAUUGCAUAAGAUAUCUAUUGUUUGUUAAUGAAUAAUUUCUAUUAACUAGUUAUCUAUCUAAAUUGGUAAAUUUUAACUGCAUAAUUUGCAUGCAAUAAGAUUUUAUAAGAAUCUUGUUUUCAACUCAUGACUUAGACUAAUGUGAUAUGUUGAGCAUUAAGCUACAAGAUCUGCACAUCAGAGUGCUUCACGAUGUUAAGGAGAAAGCAUCUUUUUCUGCUUCUUAAUGUGAUUUAGAGUUUCCAUGUUACUUAUCCUAUAAAAUAUCUUUCAAGACUUUGCAAAUGCUUUUAUUUAUGACUGAGAGAAACUUGUUGGGUUGGUUUUUAGCAACAGACGGAGUUAUGGACUUUGUAUUGACUUGUUAUUGAUUAAGAUAGUACAUCGGCUGAUCUAUUGGUAUCAAGCAGCAGAUGCAGAAAUUAUGGGUGGCAUAUCAUUGUAUCCAAAGAGCGUACUACAUGGAAUUUUUCUGAUUUUCUGUUGGUCUCCGAGUGAAAUGCAGGCAUUUGCAGAUGAACUGGGGAUUCCUUUCCUGGAGACGAGCGCCAAAGAUGCAAUCAAUGUGGAGCAGGCUUUCUUGACCAUGGCUCGCGAGGUUAAGAAAAAGUAAAAUCACUUAACUCUUUCCUUCUUGCCUUAUGAUUGAUUCUGUGAUCCAUCACCCAUUUGUAAAUGCUGACUGUUCUAUUCAACAAUCACCAUUAUUGCUGGUUAUAUGCAUUGUGAUGAAAAUUCAGCAAUGAGUAACUUUUUACCUAAUGUUUUCUGUUGGAACAAAUUACUCUGGUAGAAAAGCCCUACAGGGUUUGAGAAAUCCCAUGAUGUGAUGAUUGUGAGCAUUUUAGACACCGUGUAUGGGUUUAUUUUUUGACUAUAAAAUGUUAAGAUUGUUUCUAGUUUUCGUUUGUAGUGCAUAAAAGGAUUCAAAAUUUGACAUCUGUCUAAAUCAGAUUAAUAACAUGAUAAUGUACAUAUGCAAGAUGUGAGGAAUUGUUUUAUCUCACCCCUAAACUUUAAGAAAUUGAAACAUUAUCAUUCAAAAUAUUUAACAUUUCCAGAAUUGAUAGUUGUCUAUUUGAGCAGUGACUGGUGGUUAUCAUGAACUGAUGUGUGGUUGUGGUGUCAAAUCUUGGUGAAACCUGUUGUCAUCUGCCGGUUAACAUAGCUAGUCUCUGAAAUAAUUUCUUGAUUCACUAAUUAUGAGUUCAAAUUUGAUGCAGGAUGGGCAACCAGCCUACUGCAAACAAAUCUUCUGGAACAGUUCAGAUGAAGGGACAGCCAAUCCAGCAAAACAGCAACUGCUGUGGUUAGCCGAGCCUGUUAUUUUACUACUACAUGUUAGCUGACUGAUUGUAGACAGUUUUAACUAUGUUGACUGCAUUAUCUUAUGAAUCUUUUAAUAUGUCAAAUAUUUAUUUCCUGCUUUAAGUUCUUUCCGUUUAUAACAAAUUUAAUUUCUUGCUUCAUCGCAUUCCAAAUUCCUGUCAAUUUACGAGGGAAAAAGAAAAGAGAGACGAAAUCAGAGAAAAUGGUCAAAUUUGUUAGGGGGAGAGAGCUGUUCAAGUAGUUUCUGUUCUUGUUUAUUGUCGUGACCCUCUUGUAGCUUGUCUAUGACCUGGAAGUCCGGUCAAAUCGGAUGGGUAAAGUUACCAAAACGGCAUCAUUUUGGGUGAAAUAUCAUAUUUAUGUCACACUUUUGAUAAUAAUUUUAAUGCAACAAAAAAUUGUUCGCGGUACCCUUUUCACAUUGUGAAGCGCAUGAUCGGAUGGGAGCAGUCUGGAUUCUGGCAUCACAAGCUAAUGCUUUGAUUUGCUUAGUUUGUUUUUUGUUUCUGAUAUUUUCUUGUCAGUGGGUGGGAUAUUGUUUCACUUUCGAGUUUCCUUUUUUUUUUUUGUUAUGGAAUUUGGAGAUAGUGUACAUGUAUGAAGAUGACGUAAUAAAGUUGUUUUGAUAAAUUCUCCUGGUCGGUUUACUUCACUAACCAUUAAUGCACAAAGCCACCUAAUGACCCUAAAAAAUCCCAUACAUAAUUAAAGAAUUUCAAUUUUUUUUGUUAUGGAAUUUGGAGAUAGUAUACAUGUAUGAAGAUGACGUAAUAAAGUUUUGAUAAAUUCUCCUGGUCGGUUUACUUCACUAACCAUUAAUGCGCAAAGCCACCUAAUGAUCCUCAAAAAUCCCAUUCAUAAUUAAAGAAUUUCAAUUUUAUAUGUACAAAAAUAAAUGACUCAAAUAUAUUAUUUGAUAAUUUCAAAAACAAUAAUUCACUCUAAUAAAUCUCGUAGCAAAUAUAUGAACUGUAUUGCAAGUCUUUUCGAGACUAAUUCAAAGGAAUACGAAUGACAUAUAAUUGACAUUUACCUAUCAUAAAGAACUCUAAAUAAAUUCAUAUAUGCAUCGCAGUUAAUUACAGCCUUGAUACUUCAAUUGGUUUUUGUUAAUUUUCUGUACAGUUAUGCUGUGCAUAAAAGUUUUGUUAAAUGAAAUUGAUAGGUGAAGAGAAUUUUUAGAAGCAGUCAUCAAAGUAAUGAUCAAUAUAAAUAUUGAUUGUCUCAAGUUAGAUUAUACAAAGAUGAAAUAAUGCUAAUAUAGUAAAUUCAAUCAUAAUAAUUUGACUUCCAUUAUAUUAAUUAUGUCCAAUCAUGCUACUUUAAUAAAGAACGCUCGAGCAUUUAUAUGUAUACAACAUACGAAAUUAAUUACAAAACUAUCUUUGACAAAGUCUGACCGGUCAACUAUCCAUCAAAUUUUGUAUUGUGUUACCGUUGAGCUCUUAUGUCAAAUAUGGAUAGACAGUGCUUUGGCUAACAGUGAGAUAUAUGCGAGCAUAAGAGCUUCGUUCUCUGUUUUUACGGUGUUUCUCUUUGUGGUUGUUGGACGAACUCUAAUGUGAAUUUCUAUCUAGUGGGUAUCCUGAUACUCUUAGUUAGUUUGGGAUUGUUGUUUUAUAUAUAAUAUUCAGUAUCCAAAAUUCAUAUGAUGAUAACCUUCAUUACUUUUGUCAUAUUUUCUUUCGUGUUGGUGUUAGUAUCUUAAUUUUGUACCCGAUGUUAAGGACAAUAUAUAGCUAAUUUGAAACUUCUAUAAUUUUACAUAUAUAGACGCAAAUUCAUUUUUAAGAGUGCAUUUAAUCAAGCAGUCCAGAUGUUUAUACUGAGUAAGUGGUUCAAUAUUAAUACAAAACUAUUUUAAGUAACAUGUGGCAUAUUCCAAUUCCAGUGAGCUUCCAACUCAGAUUCCCAAUUCAAAAGAAACGUUUUCAAUUUUCUCCAGAACAUUCUACAAAACGUUUCUUCUAGUCUCUACGCUGUGCUAGAAUUUUCUCUAAGUUUCUUUUGCAAAGACUUUUAAAGAAUUAUCCAAAUACCGAGCUUUCUUAGGGGGAGAGAGCUGUUCAAGUAGUUUCUGUUCUUGUUUAUUGUCGUGACCCUCUUGUAGCUUGUCUAUGACCUGGAAGUCCGGUCAUAUCGGAUGGGUAAAGUUACCAAAACGGCAUCAUUUUGGGUGAAAUAUCAUAUUCAUGUAACACUUUUGAUAAUAUUUUUAUGCAACAAAAAAAUGUUGUUUCACAUUGCUUAGUUUAUUUUUUGUUUCUGAUAUUUUCUUGGCAUUGGGUGGGAUGUUGUUUCUCUUUUGAGUUUCCCUUUUUUUUUUUUUAUUAUGGAAUUUGGAGAUAGUGUACGUGUAUGAAGAUGACGUAAUAAAGUUGUUUUGAUAAAUGCCCCUGGUCGGUUUACUUCACUAACCAUUAAUGCGCAAAACCUUCUAAUGAUCCUAAAAAAUCCCGUACAUAAUUAAAGAAUUUUAUAUUAUUUGAUAUGUACAAAAUUUUAUAUGUACAAAAAUAAAUAACUCUGAAAUAUAUUAUUUGAUAAUUUUAAAAACAACAAUUCGCUCUAAUAAAUCUCGUAAGAAAUACAUAGUCUAUAUUGUAAGUCUUUUCGAGACUAAUUCAAAGAGAAAAUACGAAGGACAUAUAAUUGACCUUUAUCUGUCAUAAAGAAUUCUAAAUAAAUUCAUAUACGCAUCGCAACUAAUUACAACCUUGAUACUUCAUUUGGUUUUUGUUAAUUUUCUAUACAGUUGUGCUGUACAUAAAAGUUUUGUUAAAUGAAAUCGGUAGCUGAGGAUUAAUUAAUCAAUUAAUUAAGAUCCAGUUAAUGUAAUUAAUUUUAUUUGAUUUUUUUAAUUCGAGUUCUAAAUUAAUCAAUUAAUUAGAUUCAUGUGAAAUUGAAGUGAAUUAGUUUCGAUAUGUUUUUCGUCCUAUGUUUGUCUGUGUUUACUCUCACUUUUUUUUUGUUUAAAUUUUCGUUUUCUUAUUGUUUACUGAAUAAAUUUCUGAGCUGUAUUUGAGUAUGAUGAUUGAUUUGUGAUUUUAAUUUGUGACUUUUUUUUUUGGAAUUUAAAUCUGAAUGCUUUUUAAGUUGAAUCUGAUUGUGUUGGGCCGCGAUUUAAUUGAGUGAUGUGUGAGCGCCAAAUUGUGAGAGCCAAAUAUUNNNNNNNNNNNNNNNNNNNNNNNNNNNNNNNNNNNNNNNNNNNNNNNNNNNNNNNNNNNNNNNNNNNNNNNNNNNNNNNNNNNNNNNNNNNNNNNNNNNNNNNNNNNNNNNNNNNNNNNNNNNNNNNNNNNNNNNNNNNNNNNNNNNNNNNNNNNNNNNNNNNNNNNNNNNNNNNNNNNNNNNNNNNNNNNNNNNNNNNNNNNNNNNNNNNNNNNNNNNNNNNNNNNNNNNNNNNNNNNNNNNNNNNNNNNNNNNNNNNNNNNNNNNNNNNNNNNNNNNNNNNNNNNNNNNNNNNNNNNNNNNNNNNNNNNNNNNNNNNNNNNNNNNNNNNNNNAUAAAUAACAUUGCAAUACAAUCUAGCCCUUACGUGUUUAAUUAGCAAUUACACGAACAUUAUAACACUCUGUUGCUGAUGCGGCAGCUAGUAAUUCUUCUGGUGAAGAUAUUAAGGCUGUUAAAGCUAAAAUGUAAUCAGAGAAAUAUAAUGCAUUCCCUUAGUUUGCUUUUUGUUUUUGAUAUUUGUUUGGCUAAUGCUUUGCUUAGAUUGCUUUUUGUUUUUGAGAUUUUAUUGGCUUAGUCAUGGUAUAUUGUUUUCUCUUCUAAUUUUCUAUUUUUGUCGUUAUGGGAUUUGAUGAUGGUGUACACAUACGAAAAUUAUGUAAUAAAGUGCUUUCAAUAAAUCAUGGUCGGUUUACUAUUAAUUAAUUAAAUUUAAUUAACUCAAAUUACUCUUGUACACAACCAAAAUAAUUUCAAUUCUACGAUAUGUAUACACACGCGCACACACAAACAAAAAGUAAUUAACUUUCAAAUAUUUGCCAUGCUAUUUUAAUAAAUAGUACUUGAGAAUAUAUAUAUCCAACAGGUAAAAUUUCAAAACAAUAUUUGCCGAAGUCUGAUGAAGAGAAUAUACACGCACACACAUAUAUAACCGUACAGCAGAAGGAUAAAUAAAAGAAAAUAAAGUUUCAACAGCUGAAUAAUGCAAACUCAUUUUUUUUAACAAGCAUUUUAUUGUUUAAUUUAAAAAAUUCGAAAACCGAUUGGUCUUAUAUACAUGAUAAAGACUCACCGACGCCGAACCAUAUUCAUUUAAAUUAGUUUCAACUGAGAUUUGAUUUGAAAUUACAUACACAAACACGCUCAAUUUAAAAAUAAAAAAUAGUAAUUAUAAAAUAUUUCUGUCGUCCUCCAUUCAAUUAUCAAAAAACGACUUUAUAAUCGAUUUUAACAUAAGGUAUAUGGGUUAACAAGUCCCAAUAUUGUCCUCCAUCCUUUCUGCACUUCUCUUCUAUCAACGGACAUCUCCAGAUCUGUAAUUGCAAAAGUGAGGAAGGCAGGCCCUUCUCCGGAAAGUAUUUAAGCUUGGGACAUCCAUGGAGUCGCAAUUCAGUGAGGUUUUGAAGAUCAACAAUUGAAGAAGGUAGGCGUUCCAGAUUUGAAAAUAAAAGAAUGCUCAGAGAUGUUAGAGAGGCAGGAAGAGGAAGCGCGGUCCCUAAUCUUUUGUCCUCUAGUGGAAAUGACACCAUGUCGUCAUAACAUCCUCCGAUUUCUAGAUGUCGCAUAGAGGAGAAUCUGUGAAAUCCCCGACCCCGCUCAACCAUUGACUUCCAAAUCUCCAUAUUACCCCUGAUAUGAAGUGACUGAAUCUUGGUGGGAAGGCCAUCUUCUUCAAGGCUUGGAAGCUCACCUCCUAUUCUUAAUUCUUGAACAGAAGUCAGGUUGUGCAAUCCCUUGGGUAAGGCCUCUAGUCUCUUGCACCAACGGAUACAGAGCUUAGUGACUUUCGCACAAGGCANNNNNNNNNNNNNNNNNNNNNNNNNNNNNNNNNNNNNNNNNNNNNNNNNNNNNNNNNNNNNNNNNNNNNNNNNNNNNNNNNNNNNNNNNNNNNNNNNNNNNNNNNNNNNNNNNNNNNNNNNNNNNNNNNNGAGACGUGUUGUAGUCCAACCUUUCUGCUAUGGACUCCAGAUUUCCACACAUCUGUAUACUAAUCUUUCGAAGCUGGCGGAGAUUAUGUAAACCACUCGGUAAAAUUUUGAGAUUUUCACAAUGAUAAAUGUUGAUUUUUUCAAGAGAUGUGUUGUUGUCCAACCUUUCUGCUAUUGACUCCAGCUUUGAACAAUGAGAAACAUAAAGGGACUUAAGAGACGGAGGUAGAUUGCCAACUUCAAGGGACUCAAGCGUGGCAGGUAACUCGUUUUUUGAAAAUAUACAUGUCAGUGAUGGACAAUCCCUAAUUUCCAACUCCUCGAGAAGAGAUGAGGUGUACCUUCUGCCGCUGCUACUCUGGAUGCCCUCUUCCACUGUCAAAGUCCUUAUAUUAUCGCAACGCCAGAUCUUCAACUUCUUAAGGCUCGAUGGUAGCUGGACAGCAGCAAUAUAUGUCAACGAACAACAAUACUGAAUAUUCAAGAUCUCGAGAGACGAAUGGGUGUCGCACAUCCAUGCCUCUGGUAACGAUUUCAGUGCAUCACAAUGCCCAAUCUGAAUUUCCUUCAACUUGGAAGGCAGAGCAACCUCAGGAAACGAAACAAGGGAACUGCAGUUGUAGAUUUCUAUCUCUCUCAAGGAACUGAGGCUGAACGAUGAUUGUGGCAGCUUCACAAGGCCUUCGCAUCGGUUCAAUUCUAGAUAUUCAAGUCUGCUUGACAAUUCGCAGAGCUGCUGUUGUUGGUCUUUCUCUUCCUCCGCCACCAAGGAUUGAAGUUUGGGACAUCUGUCAAUCGUCAGUCUUUUGAGAGAGCAAAUGUCUUGCAGUAAUUCGUUAUGACUCUUCCAUACAUAUGUUUCAUUUUCAAUAUUUUUUAUCUCCAAUUCUUCUAGUUUUGGUAUUCGCGGCUUCAAUGGCCCUGCGAGAAACACUUGAUUUGAUGUAUCUCUACAAACCACUGAAUUCUGUGAGCCGAGAUGAUCAGUUGCACUUCUCCACACAACCUUUUUACAUCCAUCCAUCUCUAAUUUGCAAAGAGCUGGAAGAGUCGCAAUUGAAAUUGACAAUUCUUCGCAUUCUACAAUAACAAGCAUCUCCAAUGCAGGAAGGUGCUCUGGAAAUGUUCCUUGUAGUUUAGAACAUCUUAAAAUGUGAAGCUCUCUCAAUUUAGGAAACCCUUCAACUCCCUGACUGGAUCCAUGAGGAAUCCAGUCUUCCCAUUCUUGCAAGUCUUCAAAACAAAGAGUCUCCAAGCAUGGAAAAGGAAUCGGGGAAUCAUUCCCAUAGAACUCUGAACCCAAACUCUUUACUCUACUCAUUCCACUCACUUCAAGAUGCUUUAGAGAGGGUAGUUGCCCGACUGACGGCAGGGUAGUACACACGCCGCAAUCUUGAAAAUCUAAGGUCGCUAAAUUUGAGAAUAAGGAAUCUCCCAACCAAGUUGGAAAUUCUUUACCUCCAUAGCCACCGAUACAAAUUUGUUCCAGAUUUUCAUGAGGUUUUAGCAUGUCGAGCACAUCCUUUUCAGUUUCUGCCUCCCUUGAAGACAAACCAUCGGUACUCCGUGUCCAUCGAAACCUUAACACUUUAAGAUUCUUCUUUCCAUCCAAUUGAGCCUCCUUCGCAUCACCAAUGUCUUUUACGUUCUCCAAUUUUGAAAUGUUAAGUGUCCCACGAAGAUGCGUCAACAAUUUUAGCUCUCGUAUCACGGAACCACUGUCUUCUCCCACAACAAAAUUACACAGCGUUUGAAGGCAAGUCAACUUACCAAUUCCUAGUGGCAUCUCCUCCAAUGAAUCUGUAUUUGAAUUAUCGAGAUGAUGCAAUUUGAUGAGGUUUCCCAUGUCUGCACACAACUUCUUCAGCCGCCGACAACCUUCCAAUAGAAGUGUGUGCAAAUUGUAAAGCUUUUUGACUGAUUCAGGCAGAGUUCUAAUAUCAGUUCCAGAUAGGUUGAGGUACCUUAAAUACCUCAAAUCACCAAUUGAAUCUGGUAGCUCGGAGAUGUGAUAUCCACACAAAGAGAAGACCCUCAAGCGUCGGAGUUUGAACAACUUAGGAAGAAUGCUAUGAGCCAAGUAUCCACGCGAACUAUUUGUCAACAUUACUGGUAAAAAAGUUCGCAAAUGUUGGAUAUCGUACAACUCCUCAAACCUUUUAACACCAUCGUAACCUCCACGAAUGUACGACAGAUGACGAAGAUUUCUUGGAAAGCUUUGUUGCUUGUCAACCUCUGAGAUAUCCUCCAUUCUGAAGUACAUUUCCCCAGCAGCCCAUUCAGCAAGGUCAUUGACGAGGUCAUGCAUCACAAAUCGUGAUAUGCUGUUGCUUGAUUGCUGGAAAAAAGAUCUUGCACGUAGCUCUUGAAAGAACUUUCGACCUAGAUCUUCACUUGGAUUCCCGCUCUCUCCGUGAUCCAAGAAACCCACAGCACUCCAUAAUAAAAUUAUCUCCUCCUCUUCAAAUUCAUAAUCCUUUGGAAACAAUGAGCAGUAUGCAAAGCAUUGUUUCAAAGGUGCCGAAAGAUAAUAGUAGCUCACUCUAAGCGCCGGUAUAAUGUCACAUCUCUCUUCUGGUAAAUCCCAUAUCUUGCAACUGAGCACCCCUUCCCAAUCACUCCGGUCAAGUUUACCACGCAAGAGACCACCAAGAGUUUUCGCAGCUAAGGGCAAGCCGUUGCAUUUGAUCACUAUCUUCUUGCCAAUUUCCUCCAAUAACUUGUUUGAACUGAAAUCUCUUGUCCCCAAAGAGUGUUGAGCGAACACAGACAGACAAUCAUCAUUUGACAACUUUUUCAAUUGAUAAACUGGAGCAGUCCCCAUGAUGGCUGCAACCCCUUGAUUACGAGCUGUGACAAUAAUCUUACUUCCCGGUGCGCCAGCUUCAAAUGGAGGUCUGAGUCGAUCCCAAUCAUUGUAAUUCUCAUUCCAAACGUCAUCUAAAACAAGCAAAAAUUUCUUUCCAGAUAACUUCUUCUUCAGCUCCUCGUGAAGCUUAUUCAAGUCGUGAUUAUCCACAUUCUGGUCACUAGCAAUUGAAAGUAGGAUUGAUUUUGUAAGCCUGAUAACAUCAAAAUCAUCAGAGACGCAAGUCCAUACCUUGAGAUCAAAAUGACCCUGCACUUGCUUAUCAUUGUAGACAAGCUGAGCGAGAGUGGUUUUGCCCAUCCCGCCCAUACCUAUAAUUGGAAUAACAGAGAAUUCACCAUCAUUUCUCAAAUCAUCCCUCAACAACAAUUCAACAAUUUCCUUCUUUUCGAUUUCCCUGCCAUAUACUUUGGCUUCCUUCACCAAAGAGGUUGUCUCUCGCCUUUUCCUGUCUUUUUUGGACCUUCCAACUGAACUUACGUUCAAACCGAGCGAGUCUUUCUGUGUUACAAUAUCUUGAAAUCCGUCGUUGAUCUCUUUGAUUUUGGACAUUAUGGUGUAAUCGAACUGAAUCGAUUGUGGAGUAAAAGUGGUGCAGCAAGUAGGAAUGAGCUUCCGAAACUUACUUGUUCUUGUACGACUGCUACUGGGUUGAUCAAGAGCAGCAGCUGGAUCUCGAUUUCCAAGCAGCAACUUCCUCCCGAAAGCCUCAGUUUGAAACUCAUCCAGCAAGUCUUCAACAUCAAAAGCCAAGUUCUGAAGCUCGGCAAGCCACAACUUCACAGACUGAUCAGUCUUCUUCUCCUCAGCAUCAGCAAGCACCGCCUUGAUCAUCACCAACAUAUUCUUCCACUUCUUUAGGUCGGCUUGGAUUUGCUCUUGGCGUGCAAACAGCCGAAUCCCCUCUGAAGCUAACUUAUUGACCAGCAAAUCAACGGACGCCGUAAGGAUUGCCUCUCCGAUGAAUGACAUUUUUUUCUUCUUUUUCUUUUUUUUGGUUUUGCAAAGAAAGAAAGGAGCAGAAUUAUGGGUUAUGGAAAGCAGAAUGAGAAAAUGGAUAAUUAAGCAGAAUGAGUUUGUGAUUGUGAAGGGUCUGGCCCAGCAAUCUUAGUAGAAAUCACGCGUUUAUACUUUAUUGACCAAUGACUAAUAAUUUGGCAAUUCACUCAUCACCACCACUUGGUAAAGCAAAAUAAAAAUGCUUAGUAAUUAAGUGUCAAGGGUCAAGCAAAAUACGACGCAAAAUGUGUCAAGGGUCUCCCCACUACUUGUUCCUUGCAGCUUAGAAAAGAAAAACAGAGCCCACCACCCAUUAAUAUUUAGCAAUUCACCAAUCAUCACCACUUGUUACGAAACCAUCUCAUCAACCAAGUUCGUAGGUCGAGCAGUUAAUCCAGUGUCUAUUUCCUAGAACCUUCAUCUCAUAAACCAAGUUCAAUCAAAACGUUCCUCUCUCGCUAUUUUUUUUUUUUCAAAACUCCUAAAACGUUUUCUUUUUAGAAAUAUUUUACUUUAUUCAUCUAAUAUGUUAUCUAACAAAUAGACACAAUUGAAAUCACUCUAAAGUGAAGAUGAAAGGGGAAAAAAAUAACCUUCCAACCACCAGUAAUUUUGCAAGCUUCACUUUAUUCCACCAAAGUGUAAAUAAAGCCAGCCCCCACCACCAUCAAUAAUUUUGCAAGCUUCACACGCUUGUUGUCUUCUCCUUGACGAACUGGACAUGAGUGGACCAAGAAUAAUCAAUGACAGGAUUUUCAAAAUAAUAAUAAGAGAAAAACCUACACAUUUUCGGCUUAGAGUAGAACCGUAAUUAAUGCUAAAAUCUACUCAGCUAACAUUUUCAAAAUAUUAUUCUUUAUGAUUUUCAAAACCGUGAUUAAGGUUCAUCUCAAAUGUUUGAAGAGAGUCUAACAGUUCUUCUACGCUAAGAAUAUCAAAAUUCUUACUUUUUCUUCAAACGUUGAAUAAUGAAAAAAAAAAUUGAAUAUGGAGGAAAAUAGAAUGCAUCCAUCUUUGCUAGAAGUCUUCUACUUAUAAAAGCAAGUUAGAAUAAACGAUUUUAAUCUCUCUUUUUAUUCCUGUAAGUGCACUACAUUUUUUUUUUUAAUCUCAAUGCGAAGUCGUAUCAUAAUGUUAUAUUCCUAUUGUAAAACAAAAUUUUAGAUAAAAUAAAUUCGACUCAUUUUUUAAAGGUAUAUAUUUAGUAGGUUACUAACAUAACUAACAAAUCGUGAUUAUUACACUAAAUGGAAUAAAAGACAGUACUAUCACCAAUAAUUUAGCAAGUUUCGCAUGCACGUGUUGCUAGAAACAUUAUAUGGAAUCAAACGACAGUGAUACAAAGAGAAAAGUGGAAAUCCUCUGAUUGUAUUUUUUUUUCUUUUUCAGAAGAAAUGGUGGGGUUGGUUUGUUUGCAAAGUUAUUAGCGUGGGUCUAUUUGUUUUUGUUUUAACUUUAUUAAUCAAUAAGCAAACAUGUAAUGAUUUGUAUAUAUCAUUAGCAUCACAUUAUUGGGAGGUAUUGCGCUUAGUAUUCAUAAUUUUUGUAAGAUGAAUUUGGAAGACUUAUUAAUUUUGAUGAAAAUGUAUCGGUGUUAAGAUAUUAUUUAAUUCAUUAAGUUAACUUGAGGAAAAGCAAAAUGAGAAAAUUGAGCAAUUCACCAAUUGGCAAUAUUUGUUUAAUUCAUCAAAUACUUGUAUCUCAUCUCACAAAUUGGCCAUAUUUGUUUGGUAUUUCAUCUCAACAGACGCAGUAAGGAUUGCCUCUCCGAUGGAUUGACAUUUUUUUUUUGUUUUGCAAAGAAAGAAACAGAAUUUUGAGUUUUGAAAAGCAAAAUGAGAAAAUUGAACAGUAAGUGUGGAGGGUCAAGCAAAAUGCGCGUAACAAGUCUUCCGCUUCUUGUUUAUUCCAGUAAAGCGAGAAUAAAAUCAGAGCCCACCACCCAUUAAUAAUUGAGCAAUUCACCAAUCACCAGUCGCCACCACUCGUUACCAUGAAUAUAAUAAAUUGCACCUCCAUAUUUGCAGGGUCCAGCAACAUUGACCCAGUGUCCGGGUAAAUGCUUAAUAACGAGGAAAAUGGAAUGUAUCCGCUACGAACCUUCGCUUUACAAGUCUUCAAACUCAUAAACCCAGUUAAAUCAAAACGUUUAUCUCUCUCUCUCUCUUUUUGCCAUAUAAUUACUUUAUUUAUUGAAUUAAUUUCCAUGCUAAAAGGAAGACUUAAAACUGCACUACAAUUUUUUAUAAUCACAAUGGUAAUUUCUACUAUCAUGUUAUUUUAAUAUCGUGUUAAAAUAAAUUAUUACAAAGUUUUUUUUAUGAACACUCUUUUUAUUUAUAAAUUUUUUAAUUUUUAAUAUUUUUCUUACUCUUUUAAUCUUAAUGUUUGUAUUUCGCUCUUCAAAUUUUUAUUAUUAUUUAAUUUUUAAAGAAAAAUAUGAAAAAAAAAUAAAAAAAAUAUUAUACUUAAAAAAUAGUGAAUAUUUUAUGGGUCUAAUACAAACCUGUAUUGUUUUUGACAAUGAAAGAGCACGCGAAAAAUCUCACUCAUAGAAAAUUUAGUGAAAGGCAUUUGAAUGUGUGGCCACAUUUUCCGAACGAAACGAUAAGGCUUUAGCCUUAUAAUUGCAAUUAGUUUGUCUUGUAACUAAAUUAUUGCCGACAAGCACCAUCAUGCUGACAAACCGUGCAUGCACGUCCUCAAUCACCCACGUCCUCUACUUGUGUGCAAUAUUUCCCAUUACUUCCCGUACUUUAUGCAUUAUUGUUUUGUAUGUCUUUUGUUGUUUACGGUGUAGUUAGGGAUGGUAGCGGGUUGGGUCUGGUACCGGUUUGACAUCACCAAACCCGCAUCUAAAAAAAAUUUAAUUACGUAAUUUAAAUUAUAAAUUUAUAACCGUUGCCUAAAAAAACCACAUAAAAUACUUAAUUCUACAUUUUAUCAAUGUAAAUGAGAAAUGAAAAUAUCAACAUUAAAACAAAUACAUAAAAUGUAUCAAUUUAACACCAAUUCUCAAAUUCAAUUACCAAAUAAAUAAGUACAGUGUAGCACUAAAAUAUAAUAUUUAAAUUAAAUUAAUCACAAAAAAUUAAUACAAUACAGUGUAGCACCAAACAUUGUACAUUAUUAUUAUAAUACAGUACUAAUACAACGCAACAUAAUACAAUACACCAACAUUAAAAUAAUACAAUCUAAUAUAAUACAAUACAGUGUGCGAAAUGCACCGACAUGGUAUUACUUUGUUUGUCUCGUUAUUUACAAUUAUUUAAUCUGUAGACCCACUCAUGCUCCUUCUAUGUAACAUAGAUGCAAUUUGAGGAAGAUUAUCAAUUUUUUCUGACUAAAAAUAAUAUAGACCACUUAUUUUUUAUUGUUUUUAUAAUGUUCAACAAUUCGCUUGAGAUCAAAAAAUUAAAUGAAAAGGAGUAAAUAGAUGAUUUACUUGAUGUUGUAUCUUAGAAAUAUAAAAUAUAUUUAUUUAUUAUUAAAAAUAUUUAAAAAUAAUAAAGAGUACAUAAAAAGUAUCUUAUCCUCAACAACAAGAUCAGACGACGUCAAUUCAGCAAAAUGACUUGAAUAACUUGAAAGUCCAGCAGCCGUCACCUCUUGGCGCACACAUGGCAACGUGCGUGGCUUUGGCAAGAGGUCUCCCAAAAGGACGAUUAAGAAAGAUUGCAGGACAAAUCAUGAAAAUAGUAGUACAGAUAUGCAAUGGCUAAAUUUCCUCGAUUAAGUCCAUCACAAUCAAGUCUUAGAAAUCACACCCCUGUAUUAAUUUCCAGAAAUAUGUUUGUUCCAUAUUUAUCGUGCACGUAUAUAUUGUAUGUAUUGGGAAUAGAAAGAGUGUAUGUAAAAAAUUCUUCAUUCAUCGAUUAAAACUUAAUUUAUGUACAAGGGUUAAGUGUAGUGUUUUUAAAUUUAAAAAGGACAAGUGUCAAUCCACUGAGGCUUGCCUCAAUGGCUAGAGCCACACUCCCUCACAAAGUGGUUCGAUCUCCCACAAAUACAUUAUAGAGGUUUAAUUUAAAUUUUUUUCCUCAAAUUUUGAGUGAAGACAGUUUUUCUUCCAGAAAUAGAAUUUUUCUGAGAGUUUGACGCCCCUCAAAUAUUUGAGAUGAUUAAAAUUUGAGCGGUGCUAUAUAAAAUAUAAUGUAAACUAAUCUAAAUAAUUGUAUAAUUAUAAAUAUAAUGAACAAUAGUCUCAUACAAAAAAAUGACAAGUGUAGUAAGCCCAUUUAAAUUAACUUAUAUUUGAGGGGAAAAUCUCUGUAUAUCAUAGUAUAUAUUAUAUAUCCAGUCGUGGGACCCAUACAUGGUUCCAUGUAAUUCGGCACAGUUGAACUGGAGACACUGAUUAGUUCGUUGUCUAUUUGCCAACUUAUGUACAACUAAGUAAUUUCAUGCACCAUUUGCGCCUUAUCUAUCCAGCCUGCUUGCAUUGCAUUAACUAAACAUACAAUGAAAUUAACCCUUGUAAUUUCGGCCUUUGCCAUAGUCGUUUUGUUUAUUAGGUUUAUGUUUAUCAACAUGAUAUGUUGUCAACCAUAAUCACAAUCAAGUUGUUAAUUAUUUUUUAAAUAAUGUGAAGGAACAAGAUUUUGGUCUUUGAGUGUGGAGUUAAAAAUAUCUCACCUCAACAUACGGUGUUGUGCUCUCAUCAUCUUAACAUUAUUUGUUAAAAAUUAUGUCAAAGAGGAAAGCAGAUUCAAACAUUACUUCAAUUUUCUUUAAGAGCAUAAAAAUAUCGUUAAUAGGCUACUGUUAUUUGUUAGUACGAUUUCACAAAAGGAAGCUAGAGGAAGAUGAAGCUCUCAAGUCAUGUAUGCAUCAAAGUAAGAAACAGAGCUAAUGAGAGAUGGACAAUUUUAAAUAUGUCAGCAUUUUGUCAGUUCUGGCCAUAUUUUGAAAGAUUAGAACCCUAAUUUUCUUUUGAAGCUCCUUUUAUGUCGAAAUCUAUUUUAAUUUCCAAAAUAUCUUUUUCCAUUUUUUUAGUUUCUUUCUGAUUAAAAAAAAAAUCAGUUUCUUAAACAACUCCAACUACAAAUAUUUUUUUACAAAUUUUUGAAUUAUUAAAUCAUAUGUGCGUGUAUAAAUUGAAUAGAAUUAAAAGUGGACUCAAAUAGAUAUUAUGUAAUUUUUUUAUAAUUAAAGAAAAGUUUAGAAUGCAAAAGUGUGUGUGAGAAAACAAAAAAAUAUAAAUCGCCUUUGAUAUAAUUAUAUGGUUGUAAAAAGUUAGAUGGAGAAAUAUAGUAUAUAAUUAAAUUUAUUUUGUUCCUUAAAACGGGUAGGUUUUAUAAGAAUUUUCCAGAGGAGCGCCAAUAUUUCAGCUUUUUUUUUCAAAUGAAGUGAUGUCCUGGAAUAAAAUCACUACUCUAUCAUUGCUAUUAGUUUGUCUUGUAUUUCAAUAAUUGCCGACAAGUAUUAAUUGUGAAUAUUAUUAUUAUUAUCGUCGUUAUUCUUAACAGCAAUGACUAGAAUUAUAAUAAUAACAAUAACGUUAAUACAAUAAUAUAACAACAUAAUAAUAUUUUAAUUGAGAGGAUAAAAAUAAAAUUAUGAAAUUUAGGUUGGAUAAAAAUGGUGAGUAUGAAGAAAUUAAAUUACUAUUUUUUAAGUUAAACAGUUCAUAAAUUUCACAUAUUUCAUUCUUAUUUCUCUUAUAUUUUAACAAAUAAACAUUACCAAUCGUUUUAAUAUUUUAAUUAAUAAACACGGCAUUAACUACGGAACUAAAAGAUCCCCAAAAAAAAAAAAAAUAGAGACGCGUGUAUGUAUUGCUUGUGACAAAUCUCACCCAUGGAAAACUUUGUGAAAGGCAUUUGAAUGUGUGGCCACAUUUAAUGAACGAAACGAUAACUUUAAAAGAAAGUAUGUAAUGUGUUAAUUAUUAGGCUUUAGCCUGAUGAUUGCAAUUAGUUUGUCUUUUAAUUAAAUUAUUGCCGACAAACACUAUCACGACCCACGUCCGCUACUUGUGUGAAUGUGUGUAUAAAUAUCCGCAGCAUAUUAUCAAACCUGAUGCGUGAUCAUCUUUAAGUUUUGGUUAGGGUUCAUCAGACGUUGGAAGAUAUCUUUCCUAAUUUGAAGAAGAUGGAAACUCCUUAUCCAGGUUCUUAGGCCAUGUUCAGUUGAAUGUCAUUUAUAAUUUUUAUUUUAACAUUAUGUAUUCAUGAAUACAAUUAUUGUUAUGAUUUUUUCAGGUAAGAAUGGAUGGUCUGAUAGUAACCCAAUAACUAUGUACAAUAUUAUUAAUGAUGAGAGUGUGAAUGACAAUUUGGAUUUUAUUCUCAUCCCUCAAUACGGGAAAAAUCUCGACUAUAGUGGUUAAAUGUUAUGUAACUCUUUCGUAUUAUAUUUAAUUAAAUAAAAUGAUGAGUUAUUAUUACUUAUCAAUCAUUUGAGUGUUUCUGCUUGAUUUAAUUCAACUUAUAAAAUCUCUUGAGAUAUAUAAGAGAUUUUCUUUAUUCACUUUCAUGUACCGCGUCUUCUUAUAAAAAGAAAUUAAUAAAAAAAAUAUCAUUAUGUGCAAUGUAUUGACUAAGUUACAAGAAAUUAAUAAAAAAAAUAUCAUUCUGUGCAAUGUAUUGACUAAGUUAGUGUAUUCACGUUAGCUUAAUUGUGCUCUCUCUUCUUGAUAUUUAAAAAAAAAAAAAAACUCCACGUAUUGUUGGUUAGCUAAUUCUUGCAGCUAGCAAGUGAUCCUUUUCUUUCCCCUACUGUCGUAGCAUCAAAUCCUUACAAUUACAUAUCAAGUGGUAUUCGAGCCGUCAAAUGAUCCAUGGAAACACGCAACAAAUCAAAUGCUGAAUUUUGCGAAGAGAUUCACGAAAUCCUUGCUAUACAUUGAAAUACAAGUAUGCAACCCAAGAGGGGGGGGGUGAAUUGGGAUUCUAAAAAAUUAUUCAAUUUAUUAAAGAAAAUCUUAAUGCAAUUAUAAAUCAAAUUCAAAGCAAUAACAAUUAAGAUGAUCACAAUUUAAAAAGAUAAGGGAAGAGGGAUUCGAACACCGAGAUUUUUACGUGGUUCGGCCAACCUCGCCUACGUCCACGCCUCCAAGCUUUCCGGGCUUGAGGAUUCCACUAAGCAAGCCUCCAAGGCUUCAAAUGCUUACACUUGACUUCCAAGGUGUCAAUGGACCUUUACAACAAGAGAUUAUCCCCAAUCUCUUAACCCAAGUGUAUCCCAACACUUACAAUUACUCAAAGUAAAAGAUUACAAAUUGUUUUUCUCUCACACAAUAUUUAAGAUUACAAAUCAAUGCCCAAUUUGUGAAUAGAUGAAGAGAGAAUGUGUUUUAAGCUCUAUGAAGAUUGUAUUCUCAAAUAUUUGCUCAAUGGUCGUGUUGUGUUCAAUCUUUGUUUGAAUUUGAAUGAGCUUAUUUAUAGAUGCAGCUGAAAACUAGCCGUUAUUGACUUUCUGCACACUGUCGGAUCACCGUUAGCUAGAUGUCGGAUCGCCGUUUGACUGGUCAAUAUGACCGUUGGGUUGAUUUUUCAAAUUGUCGGAUCGCCGUUAUCUAGAUGUCGGAUCGCCGUUUAGGUCCAGAGGCUACUGGUUGAUAUCGGCGAGCCGUUUAUCACACAUGUCGGUUCGCCGUUAAUGUCCAGAGACUACCCUUCAGUUCUGGUUGAUAUCGGCGAGCCGUUUUAUCAACAUAUCGGAUCGCCGUUUAGGUCCAGAGGCUACUGGUUGAUAUCGGCGAGCCGUUUAUCACAAAUGUCGGUGUGCCGUUUUCGUCCAGAGGCUAAUCUCCAUUUCUGCUUGAAAUCGGCGAGCCGUUUACUACAGAUGUCGGAUCGCCGUUUUCCACAAAAACUGCUGCAGUGAACUAUUUUGCAAGAUGACUGUUUUGUCUCCAAAUCUUUAUAAAAAUACUUUAUGAAACUUGUCAAAAUAGAUGAAAAUUAUGUUGAGCUUUUAAAACAAUUAAUCAAUCUUAAUCAUGUUUGUUAUCAUCAAAAUCAAUAAGGAAUAAUUUAUGUCAACAAUCUCCCCCUUUUUGAUGAUGACAAACUUUUCAAGAAAAUAUUUGUGCAAUUUUGCUCCCCCUAAAUAUGUGCUCCCCCUAAGUGAAAUUUUGAAAGACUUGUUAACUCCCUUAAAAAAAAUAUUCAACUGUUAAUCUCAAAAUUUUAAACACGAAAUUUAUGCCAGUAAACUCAUGCAUGCCAAUACUAUUUUGCCAAAACCAAUUUCGCAUUUUGCCAAUUGCCAAUUUCUCUCCCCCUUCAUCAUCAAAAAGAAAGAGACGCGAUGAAUGACUUAUGUUUGGAGAAAUUUGGGCAGAGUCUCCCCUGAAAUAUGAGCAUUUCCUCAACAACACACUAAGUUUAAAAAGAGAAACACUUCCAUAUAAAUAUACCACCAUAUCAACCAACCUCCAUACCAACAAAUUCACACUUCCAGAAAGAGCAAUAUAAUCAAUAUAAUACCAAAAACAACUUGAGCAUAAAUCAAGAGCACAUGUCCAACAUGAGAUAUCAGAAGCAUAAACACAAAAUAAAUAACAUCAUAUGCAUAAGGCAAAUAACAUGAAAUGAGAAAUGUCUGUGCGAAUAUCAUAGGGACAGAGAAAACUAAGAUGGAGGCUGUGAAGACGAACUGCCGGGGUCAUAUCCAAGGUGGCCGAGAAUGCGACGCUGUCCUGCAAUUAACUCCAUCUGCUGAUCAGAAAUUUGCUCCCGAAAGGUUGCAAAAUCAGAUCGAAGCUGCUACUGCUGCUGGGACAGGGCAUCUACUCGGUCGAGAAGCUGCUGGAAGCGAUCCUCAGGAACAGCUGAUGCCGCAGGAGGGACGGCAGUCUCGGUAGGCUCGUCAUCCUGAGAUGCAUCUGCUGCUGGUGAAACAGGAGCUGCUGGUGCUGCUGCUCGGCGAGGAACACGCGGUCUAGCCCCAAGACGGAAAUCAGGCAGCUCAUCCUCGGAGUAGACAUCAUUCAGCAUGCGAUCAUCCUCGGGUGCAAUCAGUGUGGCUUCGUUUUUGGAGGAUGUGGUCUUUUCCCAUUUCCCACGCUUCUUAAAGAAACCAAUGGCAGAAAUAAUGUCUCGACCGAGCUUACGAGUUUCGAGAAAAACAGGCUCGACGAUAGGAACAUGAAAGUGGUUCAGGAUCCUAGUGAUGAUGCUGCCAUAAGGAAGGGAUCGGUUGGAGACUUUAGGAGUGGACAGCAUAUGACACAUAAUAGUGUAGGAUAGGCUCACAUGGCGUCUACGGAUGAGAGAGUCUAAAAGACCAAUAUCAAGCCUAGUGACCUCAUCAGUGUGCCCCUGUCUAGGAGUGACCAUGUGUUGGAGAAUAAUGUGAAGUAUUCGAAUCUGAAAAGGGAGGAGUUGAGACCUAAAGGACAAAGAGCAGAUGUCAUCGGAAAGAUCCCGACGACGACAAAUGUUCCGUACACCAUCCACAUGACGAAAAUUACUGAACUCUAGUUCUUUCCUAGAGGUGUACAGAUCUAAUCCUCCAUAAGCGAUUCCUAGAAUACUACAUAAUUCGGGUUCAUCAAGCUCAAUACGAAUACCUCCUACAAAUGUAUGAAGCUCGUCACGACUAGAAGAGGAGAAAUCUAUGUUUGAAUAAAAGACUCGAACAAGAUUUUCAUAAAUAGGUUCAUCAACACUUAAAGCUUGAUUCCAAUGACUAAGCAUUUGAGUAAUUGAGUGACCACAAACAGAAAUAUCCGAGAACUCCGAAAUGUUAAGAGAAAAAGAGGGAGUUACGGGUUUACCCAUAAACUUCUCACGGAAUCGCUGAGCAGAGGUAGCAUCGGGAAAAUGAAGACUUUCGAAGUCUUGAGGAGGAGACCUGGGUGGACUGGAACGGCGUGAAGCAGUGUGCUUGGUUCGAACACGCCUUGGAGGUCGUUCCGCCAUGGAUGAGAAAAAUUGUGAAAAUGAAGUUUUAGAGAUGAGAUAGUGAUUUGUGGGUGAAAAUGUGGUUGGAAAGACGAAGAAAUUUGGGUCAAAGUGAACGAAUGAGAGUCGGCUGGUUCUAGGGUUUCAAGAUGAGAUUUUUCAAAAUUUGAAGAAAAAAAAAAAAGGAAUUUGAAUCGGUUAAAAGGUGUUAGAGAUGAUAGAAAUGGUUUGUAAUGCUUCAAUUUGGUGAAAAAAAUGACAAGAAAAGUGAUGGAUUUGAGAGGAGAGAACUGGUGCAGUCGCGGGUUGAAGUGAGAGAGAGAGAGAAAGAGAAGCCGAAAUGAGGAGGAAGACGAAGGACUGUUCAAUUAACGCGUGAUAACGGCGAGCCGUUAUAAAGAAAACGGCGAGCCGACAGAGUCCAGAGAGUCCUCAAAACAAAUUCAUAAAAACGGCGAGCCGCUUAUAUCAAUAACGGUGAGCCGAUAGGGUCCAGAGAGUCCACACAAGAAAAAUGUAACAGGACGGCGAGCCGAUAGACAGAUAUCGGCGAACCGAUAGCUUCCAGAAAGCGUUCCAUUGUUUCUGCCCAAAACGGUUAGCCGUUUAUUUAAAUAACGGCGAUCCGUUUUCUACAACCUAUGAUUUCGCACAUGUAUUUUGAUAUUUGGCUACUUAUUAAUACAUUUCAAGAUCAUUUUAUUGAUCCAAAAUGAUUUGAGUGCCAUUUCAAUGCAUAAUUCAUGAAUAUAUAUAUAUGUAUUGCAAUAAUUAAUUCAUACAUUUUCAAAUAUACAUACACAUUACAUGCAUAUUACGAUUGAGCAUUCCAUAGAAAUUAAAGCAUCAAGUCAUAGAUCAAUCAAUAAUAAUAGACUCAAUAGCAUGAAUGAAGAUGUUAAUGUGAAAAUUUCAUCAUCCCAAGUUCAUGCCGAAUUUUGGAAAAUUGUUCUUCGCAAAGAGGUUUUGUAAAAAUAUCGGCAAGUUGUUUUUCCGUAGAAAUAAACUCUAGUGCAAUGUCUCUCUUUUGAACAUGAUCUCUCAAGAAAUGAUGUCUUAUUUCUAUAUGCUUGGUUCGAGAGUGUUGAAUGGGAUUCUUUGAAAGAUUAAUAGCACUAGUAUUAUCACACUUAAUAGGAAUUUGUUCAAGAUUAAUGCCAUAAUCUCUAAGUGUUUGUUUCAUCCAAAGAGCUUGUGCACAACAACUUCCGGCAACUAUAUAUUCAGCCUCGGUAGUUGAAAGUGCGACAGAAUUUUGUUUCUUGCUAAACUAUGAAACAAGAGAGUGUCCUAGAAUAUAGCAAGUUCCACUAGUGCUCUUCCUAUCCACUUUAUAACCAGCAAAAUCCGCAUCCGAAAAACAUGUUAAAUCUAUAUGAGUUCCCCUAGGAUACCAAAGGCCAAUAUCUAUGGUUCCACUCAAAUAACGGAAAAUUCUUUUAACAGCGAGCAAAUGAGAUUCCUUGGGACAUGACUGAAAUCUUGCACACAAACAUACACUAAACAUGAUAUCGGGUCUACUUGCAGUCAAAUAAAGUAGGGAUCCGAUCAUACCUCGAUACAUUUUGAUGUCCACUUCUUUACCUUUUUCAUCUUUGUCCAGCUUGGUUGUUGUGCUCAUUGGUGUAUUUUUGGUCUUUGAGUCAUUAAUGCCGAAUCGUUUGAGUAGAUCUUUUACGUACUUGGCUUGAUUUAUGAAGAUUCCUUCCUCGUUUUGUUUGAUUUGAAGUCCAAGGAAGUACUUCAACUCUCCCAUCAUACUCAUCUCAAAUUCUUUGCUCAUACACGAUGAAAAUUCUUUACACAACAACUCAUUAGUAGAACCAAAAAUAAUAUCAUCAACAUAAAUUUGAACAAUAAGUAUGUCUUGGUUCUUAUGCUUAACAAAUAGAGUAGUAUCCGCUUUACCCAUUGAAAAGUCAUUUUCCAACAGAAAAUUCUUAAGUCUAUCAUACCAUGCUCUAGGUGCUUGUUUUAAACCAUACAAAGCUUUAAGCAACUUAUAAACAUGAUUUGGAAAUUUUUCAUUUUCAAAACCAGGGGGUUGUUUUACAUACACUUCUUCCAUAAUAUGCCCAUUUAGGAAAGCACUUUUCACAUCCAUUUGAAAUAAAAUAAAAUCUUUAUGACAUGCAUAUGCUAAUAACAUCCUAAUGGAUUCUAACCUUGCUACAGGAGCAAAGGUUUCAUCAAAAUCAAUUCCUUCUUCUUGGUUGUAGCCUUGAGCCACUAAUCUAGCUUUAUUUCUUACAAUCACACCGGAUUCAUCCAUCUUAUUCCUAAACACCCAUUUAGUACCUAUUACAGAUUGAUAUUCAGGUUUAGGAACUAAUUCCCACACAUUGUUUCUUUCAAAUUGAUUUCACUCCUCUUGCAUUGCCAUAAUCCAAGAUUCAUCAUUUUCUGCAUCCUCAAAGGAUUUUGGUUCAAUUUGAGAGAUGAAUGCAUUAUGCUCACAAGUAUUUCUAAGUGAUGAUCUAGUUGUAAUACCUCGUGAGGGAUCUCCUAAAAUUACAUCUUUAGGGUGAGAAGAGACAUACCUCCACUCCUUGGGGAGUGUUUGAGAAGUACCUUUAUUUUGCUCUGCAUUUAGUUCUUCAUGAUGUUCCUCUUGAAUUUCAUGUGGUGCAUCCUCUUGUUUGUCAUUUGAUGCUUCUUCUUCUUGUUCUUCUUCUCCUGCAUCAUCAUCAACAACGACUUUCUCCGUAGAGGAGGGGUUAGACUCAUCAAAUGUCACAUGCAUAGAUUCUUCCACAACUAAGGUUCUUUUGUUAUAGACUCUAUAAGCUUUACUAGAAUUUGAAUAACCAAGAAAAAUACCAACAUCGGAUUUUGGAUCAAAUUUACCAAGAUUGUCUUUUGUGUUCAAAACAAAACAUUUGCAUCCAAAAACUUUAAAAUAUCCAAUGUUGGGUUUUCUAUCUUUCCAAAGCUCAUAAGGAGUUUUGUUAAGAUUAGGUCUAAUCAACACCCGAUUUAAAACAUAACAAGCGGUGUUGACGGCUUCGGCCCAAAAAUAUUUUGGUAAUGCAUUUUCAUUUAAUAUGGUCCUAGCCAUUUCUUGAAUAGACCUAUUCUUUCUCUCAACAACUCCAUUUUGUUGUGGAGUUCUAGGUGAUGAAAAUUGAUGCUCAAUGCCUAGAUUAUUGCAAAAACUCUCAAAUGCAUGAUUUUCAAAUUCUCCUCCAUGAUCACUCCUAAUGCAUACAAUACCAUGCCCUUUUUCAUUUUGUAAUUUCUUACAAAGCACUUUAAAAGCAUCAAGAGCAUCAUCCUUAUUGGCUAAGAAUAAUACCCAUGUAUAUAUAGAAUAAUCAUCCACUAUCACAAAUGCAUAAUAUUUGCCAUUUAGACUUGCAUAUCUAGAUGGCCCAAAAAGAUCUAUGUGAAGAAGUUCAAGUGGUUUUGAAGUAGAAAUAUGGUUUUUAUUCUUGAAAGAAGUUUUAAUUUGUUUUCCAAAUUGACAAGCUUCACAAAUCUUAUCCUUUUGAAAACCAAUUUUCGGAAGACCUUUAACUAAAUUAUCUUUCAAAAUUUUUGAAAUCAAAUCCAUACUUGCAUGUCCUAACCUUCUAUGCCAUAACCAACAAUCAUCAUGCAAUGCCGAAAAACAUUUAUCAAGAGUAGAUGCACAUUCUAUGUCAAUGAUAUAAACAUUACCACAUCUAUUUCCAACAAAUAAGGUUUUGCCAUCACAUGAGUUCUCAAUAACACAACUAAAUUUAUCAAAGAUAACUUUAUAACCUUUGUCACAUAAUUGACUAAUGCUAAUUAAGUUGUGUUUCAAGUUUUCAACCAAACAUACAUUCUCAAUUAGAGUUGAAGAAACUUUACCAACAUUUCCAAUUCCAAGGAUUUUUCCUUUUGAGUUGUCUCCAAAGGAUACGUCUCCACCAUUUUCAAUUUUGGUAAAGCUUGAGAACCAUGCAUAGUUUCCGGUCAUGUGCCUUGAACAACCGCUGUCCAAGUACCAUUUAUUCUUCUUCUUCUUCAAGCCCUACAAGAAAAAGUCUCAAGUUUUAGGUACCCAAAGCUUUUUGGGUCCUUGAGAGUUAGCAACUGUUCCUUUUGGAACCCAAAUGCACUUGACACCAUAAUAUGCAUUCCUUUUCACGGGACAUCUAAAUUUCAUGUGACCAUUUUGAUUACAAUAAUGACAUACAAUCUUAUGAUCAUUUGUGGAGGUAGCUUUAACAAAAUAAUUCUUAUAAUACUUUUGCUUCAAGUUUGGCUUAUAUCCAAGUCCUCCUUUAUCAAAAACACAUUUUUGUGAGUUAAGCAUAUUAUCCAACAUCUUUUGCCCAUUUGUAAAUUUCAAAACAAUUUCAUUUAAUUCAUUAUUCUUUUUCUUGAGCAAUUCGUUCUCAUUUUUCAACUCAUCUAUGUGUGAUUUCAAAUGCUCAUGUAAGAUGCUAGGUUUUUCAUUUGAUAAUGCAAUUUCAUCAUGCAAUGUUUUGUUUCCUACUUCUAGGCAUACAAUUCUUGCAUUUAGAGAUUCAUUUUCAUUUUUAAGCUUUGCCAUUUCCUUUUUAAGACAUACAUUCUUUUUACCAAUUUUCAUCAACUCAUUAUGCAAAUCUUGAAAAGCAUCAUAUAAUUCAUCAUAGGUAGGAUCACUUACCUCAUUGAGAUCAUCAUCCCCUCCUAUAGCCAUGAGUGCUAGGUUUGAUACUUCUUGCGAUCCUUCUUCAUCAUUUGUUCUUCCUCACUAUCAUCCCAAGUUGCAACCAUUGCUUUCUUCUUGAGUUUGUUGAUGAGUGGGCACUCCGAUCUUAUAUGUCCAGGCUUCUUGCAUUCAUAGCAAGUGAUUGCCUCCUUCUUCUCCCUAUAGUUCUUGAAGUUUCUGAAAUUUCUUCGCUCUCCGGUUUUCUUGAAGAAUUUUUUGAACCUCCUUGCUAGCAUGGCUAGUUCUUCAUCAUCCGGUUCACUCUCCUCAUCACUCUCAUAUUUUGAAGCUUUGAGAGCAAUGCUUUUCUUCUUCUCCUCAUGUCCUUUUUCUGCAGCUAAAUCCUCUUCAUACGAAAUAAGAGAACCAAUUAAAUCAUCAAGAGGUAAAGUAUUUAAAUCUUUGGCCUCUUCAAUAGCGGUUCUUUUAGGUCUCCAUUCUUUUGGAAGUGACCUAAUGAUUUUCUUAACUUUCUCACUAUUUGAGAAGGUUUUCCCUAAGGCACCUAGGGUGUUCACUAUGUCCGUGAAUCUAGUGUACAUAGAAUACACAUUUUCAUUUUGUUCCAUUUGGAACAACUCAUAUUGGCGAGUGUAUCUACUGAUUUUAGACUCUUUCACUUGAUUUGUCCCUUCAUAGACAACUUCAAGUUUGUGCCAUAUCUCUUGUGCACUUUCACAACUAGAUACUCUAUGGAAUUCUUUCUUAUCAAGGGCACAAAACAAAGCAUUCAUAGCCUUGGAGUUUAGAGACAUCUUUCUCUUUUCUAACUCACUCCAUUGACUCGAUGGUUUAGGAAUAUCAUCUCCUAUUUCAUCUUUGAACAUAGGCAUGAAUGGACCAUCACAAACAACUUCCCAAAUUUCAUAAUCUAAGGCUUGCAAAUAGAUUCUCAUUCUAGUUUUCCAAUAAGCAUAAUCAUUACCAUAAAAAAAUGGUGGUCUAGUUGUGGAUUGCCCUUCUCUAAAGGUUGAGUCAUUUAGGGUUGCCAUGGAUCUUUUACUCUAGACGAUUAAGUCUUAACAAGAGAACAAGGCUCUGAUACCAAUUGAAAUACAAGUAUGCAACCCAAGAGGGGGGGGGGUGAAUUGGGAUUCUAAAAAAUUAUUCAAUUUAUUAAAGAAAAUCUUAAUGCAAUUAUAAAUCAAAUUCAAAGCAAUAACAAUUAAGAUGAUCACAAUUUAAAAAGAUAAGGGAAGAGGGAUUCGAACACCGAGAUUUUUACGUGGUUCGGCCAACCUCGCCUACGUCCACGCCUCCAAGCUUUCCGGGCUUGAGGAUUCCACUAAGCAAGCCUCCAAGGCUUCAAAUGCUUACACUUGACUUCCAAGGUGUCAAUGGACCUUUACAACAAGAGAUUAUCCCCAAUCUCUUAACCCAAGUGUAUCCCAACACUUACAAUUACUCAAAGUAAAAGAUUACAAAUUGUUUUUCUCUCACACAAUAUUUAAGAUUACAAAUCAAUGCCCAAUUUGUGAAUAGAUGAAGAGAGAAUGUGUUUUAAGCUCUAUGAAGAUUGUAUUCUCAAAUAUUUGCUCAAUGGUCGUGUUGUGUUCAAUCUUUGUUUGAAUUUGAAUGAGCUUAUUUAUAGAUGCAGCUGAAAACUAGCCGUUAUUGACUUUCUGCACACUGUCGGAUCACUGUUAGCUAGCUGUCGGAUCGCCGUUUGACUGGUCAAUAUGACCGUUGGGCUGAUUUUUCAAAUUGUCGGAUCGCCGUUAUCUAGAUGUCGGAUCGCCGUUUAGGUCCAGAGGCUACUGGUUGAUAUCGGCGAGCCGUUUAUCACACAUGUCGGUUCGCCGUUAAUGUCCAGAGACUACCCUUCAGUUCUGGUUGAUAUCGGCGAGCCGUUUUAUCAACAUAUCGGAUCGCCGUUUAGGUCCAGAGGCUACUGGUUGAUAUCGGCGAGCCGUUUAUCACAAAUGUCGGUGUGCCGUUUUCGUCCAGAGGCUAAUCUCCAUUUCUGCUUGAAAUCGGCGAGCCGUUUACUACAGAUGUCGGAUCGCCGUUUUCCACAAAAACUGCUGCAGUGAACUAUUUUGCAAGAUGACUGUUUUGUCUCCAAAUCUUUAUAAAAAUACUUUAUGAAACUUGUCAAAAUAGAUGAAAAUUAUGUUGAGCUUUUAAAACAAUUAAUCAAUCUUAAUCAUGUUUGUUAUCAUCAAAAUCAAUAAGGAAUAAUUUAUGUCAACAAUUAGUGGACUAAAAAACGCGCAUACGGUACAUGCAACACAUGCGAUUAUUUUACUAGACCUGCGUUCACCAAAAACAGAUCAGAGACGCCGGUGGUUUUGCCGGCGUAAACCCUCCGAUGCCUAAGUUAGCACAAGGUGUUUACGGGAAAACAGUACAAUUUGGAUUCAAGAAGUUUGUUCGAAAUUUGUAAGAAAAUGGCCUGGUUGCAAUUUGGCAGCGUUUUCCCCUCUUUUCCUUUUCCCUUUCUUCAUCCAUUUCUUCUUCUUUUAUAGCCAUUGUCCCACGUUUUCGUUUACCUUUCAUCCCUCCUUUUUUGGGUAGUGGCGGCCCCUCAUGGGACUCUAACUGCUACAUUAUGGGCAAACGCAAGGCCCCGCGUUUCCCGUAACGGUUCUGGGAAAAGCGCAACUACCGUGAUUCUGUGGGAUCGUGUUCCCGCUUUUUUGGGAGAUGGGUGUUGGCUCGGCAUAUAACCCUGGUCGGUGUAUUUCUCCGGUUGGCACUCGUCUCUGGUCGGCUCGUGUUUGUCCCCGCAUUCUGUUCGUACCACUUGGCUGAGGUGAUUUUAUGAUUAAAAUAAAAAAUACAAACAUUUAAAUAAGAAUGUCCGACACUUGCACAACUAUUUACCAAAUUUUUUCUCUAUAAAAAUCGACCUGCAACUUUCAAUAGGUUUAAAUUUAUAAUAUUAAACUUGAUUGCAGCUCGCAAAAAUUAUCUGUUGCGGCCAAGACUUUGGAUUUGCGAUGAUUUUGCCACCCUAAGUGUAGUUAGUAUUGUAUAUCAUGUGGCUCUUAGAAAAAGCCUAGAAGUUGUUUGAAUAACGGGGGAGACACAUAUCUCCCAAAGAUUUUCUCUUUUUCAAAUUAUUAUUUUUUCUCUAUUAUUGUAACUUCGAAUCCUUAUAAAUUACAGAUUGGAGACAUGAACACAAUGUUUUGACAUAGUGGACUUUUGGCUUGUCCAGAGAAAUUUAGGAUAGAUUUUUACGCACUAAGGCUCUAUUUACUAUUGAGGUUUUAGAACUUUUAAGCCACACUAGAAAUUUGUAUUGUUUUGAUAGAGUUGUAGUCUUUGAUAUGUGAUUGGUAUUAAUCAAGUGUUAUGUUUACAAUAGUUAAAGGCAUAUUGAAUCAAAAUCCACUUCUAAGGGCUUGAUUGAGUGAUUGUAAAGUAGGUUUUUAGUUUGCUAGCCACUCAAGUUCAAAUAUUGGAACCACAGAGCUUUAUAGCCAAGUGAGAGAACUUGUGCCCUAAAAAUUGAGGGGUGCAUAUCGAGUUUUACCACCAAUAAAUGUUGGUGUUAAAACUUUAAUUUCUCUCCUAUCGAUGGAUAAGGGUGAUUAGGAGUUUACAUUCCCUCCUAUUAAUAGACAGGGGUUAUUAGGAAUAUUAAAAAAAAGUUCAAAUAUUGAAAAUAUAGGUAUGGGUUAUAAAAUUCAUAAUAUAAAGACACAAAAUCAAGAUAAAGAUUUAAAAAUUUAGAACCAUGAGAGCGUGACUUGUAAGUUUCAAAGAAGCAUGUGCAAAUAUAUGCAUUAUCGAUGCCUAAUUAAGGGUGGACAUUAAGAUCGGGUUAACCCGAACCGAACCGAACUUAAAAUGUAUUUUGGAUUCAAUUUGGUUAUGGUUGAAGCUUUCAACUGAGUUCAAAACUUAAAAAUGAUUGAGUUGUAUUUCUGUUCGAAUUUAACCCCAAAAGACAACUAACCCUAACUAAAAUGUUCGACCGCGGCCUCCUCGUUUUCUUUUCUUCUUCCUCCUCUCGCUCACCCCUAAUGCCCUUCAUGGAAAUCCAACAGCUCCAAACGCGUUUCGGCCGCUCGCACGUGUGAGAAAUUUUCGUUCUCAUAGGAUUAUUCGUUUCCUUCGCCUGCAUGCCAGCAGAAUAUUCAGGCCGAGGAUUUUUCCGGGCCUAGCCCAACUAUAAGCUCUCCCAAAACCCAAUCAUAAGUUCAUAACCGUUUAGCGUUUGCUAUUAUUAUAAUUUUUUUAACCAAUUUUCACAUUCAUCAACAUAGGCUGACAGAUUUUGUAGAAAAUAAAAUUAAAUAAAAAUACGAGCUCACGAAAUUCCUUUUCCGAUGUGGGAAUCUAUCUACACCUUUCACGUGCUUUUUUUUUGGUGUGUGUUGGGGGGGAGGGGGGGGGGGGGUGUAAUUCACUUGCUUUUGUUUGCAUUGCCUUAAUGGAUAAAAGUUUGUAGAACAUCGUCUGUUUGGUUAAAGCCGAGCAUGAGUGAAGAAAAAUUAGAAAUAAAUAAUUUCCCAUAAAUUUGCAACAAGUAUUAAUAAAGUGCAUGAAAAAAGACACCAAGAUAUGCCUUUUUUUAAAUGAAAAUAAAUGUGUUAAUUAGUCUAUUUAAAUGGUAUGAUAUUUUGAAAUGAUAGAAGUGAUCUAAAGUUUAAAUCUUUACUCACACUUAAUUUACGGUUGGCGAUUAAUUGACGUAAUAUAUAAUAACGAAUUCGAAAGACAAUUAAAAAUUAAAAGAGAAUAAAAAAGUGCUUUCUUUUUUAUGAUGGUAAUUUGUUUAGAUGAUGAAAACUCUUAGAGUUGUAUUAUCAAUACAUAGUUUCAAGGGUUGGCAAUGUGAAUAAUAUUUAAUUUCCUUUAUAUAGUUAUAUCUUAACUAUCAUUUAAACAGAAGUAAGUUGUAAAAAAAAUGAACCAUUGAGAUUUGAGAGAAUAAAAAACUAAAAAAAAAAAGUUAAAAAAUUAGAUUUCAAUAAAUUUACUUGAGAACUACUUUACUGAUUAAUGAAGAGAAAAUACAAAGAAUAAUGAUGUAUCUCAAUUAAUCAGAUAAAUUUUGUAUUUUUUGUUUAUUCCAGAAUCACGAAACUUCAUUUAAACUUGUUAUUUCAUUGAUAAUAUAUUAAUAUUAAACAAUUAAUGUAGGAGACAUUUUUUUCCAAUUAUGCCCAUAUAUUAAUUAAAGACCACCAAAAAGUUCAGGGAUACUAUAGUAAUUUAAGUCAAUAAUUUCUGUGCUUGAAAUCAGCCAAUCAAACUCAUUUUAGAAUAAACUGAGAAAUCAAAAUCACAUUCUCCGAUUCUACGAUUUCAAUUCAUCUUAUUUCUUCAACUGAAAAAUUGGUUGUAUUUCGUUUUAUUUUUUUUUUAUUUUUAUAUAAAGAUAAAUAUAAAAUAUAAAUGACGAGGAUACUGUAAAAAUAAAAUCAAAAGAAGAGCACAAAUUUUAUUGAAAAUGACUCUUUUCAUCAUUUUGCCGGAGUGAAUGUAUCUACAUAUAAACUAAAGAAGCACAUUUGUUUGUAUUAGUUUUUUUAUUAUAUUUUUAAUAAUAAGUCAUUUGUCACUGAACUUAUAUCAAUUUUUACGAAAAUAAUAGGUGUUAGUUAGUUUAUUCAAAUGGCUAAACCUCUUGGGAUAGAGCUUGUAAUUUAGUGGCUCAUGAAUUGUCUAAAAUAAUAUAGUAAUUUAAACUAACAGUUUCUGUGCUUCAAAUCAUCAAAUCAAACUCACACCUCAGAAAAGCAGAGAAAUCAAACUCAUGGUUUCCGACUCUACGCUUUAAAUUCAGCUUCAUUUCUUCAACUGAAGAAUCGGUCGUCUCUCAUUUUUUAUUUAUUAUAUAAAGAUAAAUAUAUAAAUUUAAAUGGCGAGAAGAGCGGACGAGGAAUACGAUUACUUGUUCAAAGUGGUAUUAAUCGGCGAUUCGGGAGUCGGCAAAUCGAACUUACUCUCCCGAUUUACUCGUAACGAGUUCUGUUUGGAGUCCAAAUCCACUAUUGGCGUCGAAUUCGCCACCCGCACUCUUCAAGUAACUAACUUUUCCUCUUUCACUUCUCUUCAUUUUUAUUAGUUAAUUAAGAUCCAGUUAAUGUAAUUAAUUUUAUUUAAUCUUUUAAAUAAAGUUCUAGAUUAGGCUAACUUAGAUUCAUGUGAAGUUGAAGUGAUUUACUUUCGAUCUCUUUUUGGUCCUAUGUUUAUUUGUACUUACUAUUACUUUUUUUUGGGUUUAAAUUUUCGUUUUUGAAGUGUUUACUGAAUAAAUUUCUGAGCUUUAUUUGUGUAUGCUGAUUGAUUUGUGAUUUUAAUUUUGUGACUUUUUUUUUGGAAUUUAAAUUUGAAUGCUUUUUAAGUUGAAUCUGAAUGUGUUGGGCUGCGAUUUAAUUAAGUCAUCUGUGAGUGCCAAAUUGUGAUAGCUAUAUAUUGGGGUGAAAAUUUGGGAUUUAAAGUUAUGUAUUUAAGAUGCAGUUAAUUCGCAAGUGAAAAUUAUGGGCCGGCAGGUUUUGUCAUUGGAAGACUGUUCUCCACAUGUUGAAGUUAGUGAUGCAAGUUGAAACCAAUCUGUUUAAGCUUGGGGUUUCAUGUCUUGAAUCAAGGCUGUGACUUGGGGUGGGUUGAAAGUAUUAUAGCUUUAGCUAUUCCUGAAGUAAUCUGUUUAGACUCACCGUGAUGAGACCGAGUGCUGUACAGCAAAAUGAAAGGAAGUUGGAAAAUAUUUACUUAGCAUUUCGUGUUACUAAUGUUGAACUAAUAAAACCUAGCCCCUAUUCUAGUGAAUUUAUGUUAAAAAGCUAUGCACGCAUUAAGUUAGUGCGAGAGUCUGCUGAAGCAUAUGUCAGCUGUGUGUUUGGCGCUGAGUAUUCUUCAUUCCACAUUUUGGGUUUUGGUUGACCUCCAGCAUGGCUCAACCCACUUGAGUUAAAAGCCCUAGAGUUACAUUCUACCCAUGAUAUUUGAGUUUAUCAGGUCACCUUAUUUUAAUACUUCUCUGGAAAACAAAUAUAUAUGUUAAAUCAGGUAGGAAAAAUAAAAAGUUAAUUAUUGAGUUGUAAUGGUGCAACUAAGGUUUUGAAACAUUAAGAUCUUUAGCCAUUAUGUUACUAUCCCGUAGUUAUUUAAGUUACAAGAGAUAGUAAAAACUAACAUCAUAUUUUAAUUACUUACACUAAUCCUACAAGUGCUGAUGGUCUAAAGUUGCUGCUGCUUGCACCGAAUCAGUGGUCAUGGGCCAGCCAAGGUUAGGUGAGCCAACUCAUUAGCUUGUGAAACUUAAAGAAGUCUUAGGUUUGGAAAAGAUGGGGCACAGGUUACAAAAAUUUUUUGAGUUUUGGAUUGAAGGAACAAAAUUGUUGAUGUCUAGCUCACAAUAUUUGAAGUCACUCUGUGCUUCAUCGUGUAAAAUGGAUUGAAUUGCUGUAAGAUCAGGUCAAAUUAAAAUGUUUAAACUCAUUUUUAAGAAACGAAUUCUCAAUUGGACCAGCCUUUCACAGAAGCUGAUAUCGCAGAAGCUUUGAGUCAGAUGCAUCCAACCAAAGCCCCUGGCCCAGAUGGUCUCCCAGCAGUAUUUUUCCAAAAUCUUUAGAAUUCAGUAAGCGAAGGAGUUAUAGCCACUUGUCUGCAUAUCCUCAAUGAUGGAGGUAAUAUUGCUCCUUUGAAUCAUACAUACAUUGCUUUAAUCCCCAAGAUAGCAAAACCUAGGACUCUGAUGGAGUAUAGACCAAUCAGCAUAUGUAAUGUAAUUUAUAGGAUCAUUGCAAAGACUAUAGCGAAUAGGCUGAAGCUAAUCUUAGAUCAUGUUAUUUUGCCAACUCAGAGUGCUUUUAUGCCAAAUAGGCUCAUAACUGAUAAUAUAAUUAUUGGGCAUGAGUGUCUUCAUAAGUGGACAAAGCUAAGUUCCAGAGGUGAGAUAGGAAAUUCUCCCGCACGACACAGCAGAAACAAACUUUCCCUUUCAUUUUCUUUUCUCUUUCUCGCUCUCCAAACAGAGCAAAAGGACCGUCGCAAGAUUCUUCACUUCCAUCCAAAAUCAUGAGCAACGAAUAGUGAGCCUCCCUGUUUCCUUCCUUUUUUUGAUAUUAACAUUGUUAACAUAUACUCAUUUUAUUUUGACAAUACUUCAACUUUUUUUAUUUUUUUGCCUUUUCAUUUUUUUUGUUGAAGCAAUUAUCUGUUCAAGCUGUUGCUAAUCGGAGACUCGUCCGUCGGAAAGUCCUGCCUGCUGCCCCGAUUUGCUGUCUGUUGACUUUUCCUUUCCCUUCUUAUUUUCUUUUUUUAUAUUAAUUACUUUCUAUUUUAGCUUUUUGUUCUCUGAAUUUGUGUUAUUAAAAUGAUAAUUUAGAUGAUAAAUAAUUGUUAUUCUUGUAAAUUUCGGUUUUCAUUACAUUAAUUGUUAGUUUUUAGGUUUAUUAAUGUAAUUUUUUUUUUCAAUUUUUCAGGAUGAUUCUUAUGUCACAGCUACAUCAGUACCAUUGGAGUUGAUUUUGUGAGCCUCUCUUCUAUAUAUAUGUAUAUAUGUGUAUAAGUUAUAAUAUGAGUCUAUGUACGUGUAUGUAUGUAUGUGUAUGUAUAUGUGGAAAGAAAUUUGGCAGACUUCAGCAUUUUACUCUCUUUUUUUUUUUUUUUGGCAGAAAAUAAGAACUGUGGAGCUGGAUGGGAAGACGAUCAAACUGCAGAUUGUGAGUCAAAAUUUCCUUUUAUCUUGUAUUGAGAGAAAUUCGAUUUGUCUUAUUUAGUGAAGGUUAUGCUCAAGAACCUUGUCUUAUUUUCUUUGUUUGAAGAGUGAUAUGUUGAAAUGAGUGUAUUUGUCUUAUAAACAUCAUUUAGGUAAUGUCUUAUGUUUGAUUGUUUUUCAUCUGUUUAGUGGGACACUGCUGGACAGGAGCGAUUCAGGACUAUAACUAGCAGUUAUUACCAAGGAGCCCAUGGAAUCAUAGUAAGGAGCCUUCCCGGUUCUUGGUUUAAAUCAGAAAGUUUGUGAUUUACAUGUGACAUCUUAACAGCAUUGUAUGUGUUUAUUAACUUAUUUUUCAUCUUUCAUUAAGCAGUACAUUUUCCAAUAAAUCUGUAUACAAGAUGAUGUAGUCCAAGAAUGGGAGCCAUAAUAUGAUGCAAAUUGUCUAAUAAAUUCUUAUGACAUAUGAUGUUGUCGGAAGUAAAAGUCUUGCAAUGCUGUAUUCUCUUUUAAGAAAGAAUAAGUGGUAAUUUUGUUUUUCCAAUUUUUUAAUUGAGCAACUGUAUGAGAUUUUAAUUAAAUGUGUUGGGAUUUCAACAGAUUGUCUAUGAUGUAACUGGGAUGGAGAGCUUCAAUAAUGUCAAGCAGUGGUUGAAUGAGAUUGACAGAUACGCAAAUGACAGUGUAUGCAAGCUUCUAGUUGGGAACAAAUGCGAUUUAGUUGUGAACAAGGUUGUGGACACACAGACAGCCAAGGUAUAUUCAUGACUUUUGUCGCCUGAACUUUGAAUAUAAUUUUAAACUCUUCUCAAGUGCAUUUGCUUGGUAAGUUUCUGCAUACCCAGGACACUCAAACUUUAGACAGUCUGUAUCUCGAGUUGGAAUCUUUUCUGUCAAUACGACUUGUUAAAAUAAGGGUUAUUAUCGUUUGAAUCAUUCAAGAAUUGCAAUAAAUCUAAAGUCCAUAAAAAAUAUGAUUCCAUCAUUUUACUAUUAUAUCUAGACAAAACCCAUUAUUUUACUACGUUUCAUUGGCACCGAUAGUUGACCUGUUGGCUGACUGAUAAAAUAUCAAUUUUGCACUUUAUAUUAAUUCUUUUUUGGUUAAAAAAUAACACACAAAGUAUUACAAUAUUAUAAAUUCAAAAUAUAAAGUAGUUACAAAUAAUUCCUACUAACCUAUGAAUAUAAUAUUUGAUACCUCUAUUUGUGUAAUAUUUUUCCAAUGGUGAAAUUGUUAUUUUUUUUGUACUAACGGAAAUGUAGUAAAAUCAUAAGUUUUGUAAAGAUAUAGUAGUAAAAUGAUAGACUAAAAUACUUGUUGUUGUUGUUUGAUAUACUGUAAUUCUUAAAGUAGUCAAUUGAUAAUAUCCCCUAAAAUAAAUGUUCGUAAUAUGUUCUCAUUUUAAUGCAACUGAUUGUUUAAUAAAAUUGUAUUUCUUUGUUAAUCUUUUAUCAUGUGCAUGCUCAGUGAGAAUUUGACUUACUAGAACGCAAGUUUGACUCUUCAUUUAAAUGUCUCUUGUAUCAUAUCCUUCAAUGUUGAGUGUGAUUCCAAUAAAAUUGAGUAGGGAGAUCCUUAAAUACCUUUUCCUUUUUUCCAAGGGCCUGCCAAAUUGCUCUAAGUGGUUCUACCCUUUAUCAAUGAAUAAUGAAAAAAAAAUUUUUAUUAAAGCAUUUUGUUCCUUAAAUGGUGACUAAUAGUACCCCUUUUUUUUGGAGAGGAAAGCCAAACAUGCCCAAAGAGAAUCAUUUACUUUCCUCUAAUGUAUUUUCUAAUUCGUUUUGAGCCUUGAAUGUCUGUUUUGGUGCGUAUUCUCAUUCCAUGUCGAAUCUUAUCCAUAUGGACAACCCCACUUACAAAAAAGUCUAAUGAAUCUAUUGAAGUUCAUAUGAGGUUUGUGCUUUAGAUUUAGACCUCUCUCUCUCUCUCUCUCCACUUACAUGUCUUUCACUUACCUGUUUGCAUGCAUGCCCAUGCACACACUUUCAAGAUAAUACACGGUCACUCGUACUUGUGUUUUGGUUGAAUUUCUGGCUGCUAACCUCUGUAAUUCAGUUUGAAACUUGCCACCCUUAGUGCUUCACUCAAAUGGUUGGUUAGGGUGAGAUCUGUAUCGUUUUCCUGGUCUCUUUCCAAGGUUAUCUAAAGGGAUUUGGCAGUCUGAUUCUUUAGGGAAUAUCAUUGCAUAAGAUAUCUAUUUUUUGUUAAUGAAUAAUUUCUAUUUAACUGGUUAUCUAUAUAAAUUGGUAAAUUUUAACUGCAUAAUUUGCAUGCAAUAAGAUUUUAUAAGAAUCUUGUUUUCAACUCAUGACUUAGACUAAUGUGAUAUGUUGAGCAUUAAGCUACAAGAUCUGCACAUCAAAGUGCUUCACAAUGUUAAGGAGAAAGCAUCUUUUUCUGCUUCUUCAUGUGAUUUAAAGUUUCCAAGGUACUUAUCCAAUAAAAUAUCUUUCAAGACUUUGGAAAUGCUUUUAUGUAUGACUGAGAGAAACUUGUUGGGAUGGUUUUUAGCAACAGACGGAGUUAUGGACUUUGUGUCGACUUGUUAUUGAUUAAGACAGUACAUCGGCUGAUCUAUUGGCAUCAAGCAGCAGAUGCAGAAAUUAUGGGUGGCAUACCAUUGUAUCCAAAUAACAUACUACAUUGAUUUUUCUGACUUUCUGUUGGUCUCCGAGUGAAAUGCAGGCAUUUGCAGAUGAACUGGGGAUUCCUUUCCUGGAGACGAGUGCCAAAGAUGCAAUCAAUGUGGAGCAGGCUUUCUUGACCAUGGCUGGCGAGAUUAAGAUAGAGUAAAAUCACUUAACUCUUUCCUUCUUGCCGACUGUUCUUAUUUAACAAUCACCAUUAUUGCUGGUUAUAUGCAUUGUGAUGAAAAUUCUUCAAUGAGUAACUUUUUACCUAAUGUUUUCUGUUGGAACAAAUUACUCUGGUAGAAAAGCCCUACAGGGUUUGGGAAAUCCCAUGAUGUGAUGAUUGUGAGCAUUUUAGACACCGUGUGUGGGUUUAUUUUGUGACUAUAAAAUGUUAAGAUUGUUUCUAGUUUUGGUUUGUAGUGCAUAAAAGGAUUCAAAAUUUGACAUCUGUCUAAAUCAGAUUAAUAACAUGAUAAUGUACAUAUGCAAGAUGUGAGGAAUUGUUUUAUCUCACCUCUAAACUUUAAGAAAUGGAAACAUUAUUAUUCAAAAUAUUUAACAUUUCCAGAAUUGAUAGUUGUCUAUUUGAGCAGUGACUGGUGGUUAUCAUGAACUGAUGUGCGGUUGUGGUUUCAAAUCUUGGUGAAACCUGUUGUCAUAUGCUGAUUAACAUAGAUAGUCUCUGAAACAAUUUGUUGAUUCACUAAUUAUGAGUUCAAAUUUGAUGCAGAAUGGGCAACCAGCCUACUGCAAACAAAUCUUCUGGAACAGUUCAGAUGAAGGGAUAGCCAAUCCAGCAAAACAGCAACUGCUGUGGUUAGCCGAGCAUCUUAUUUUACUUCUACAUGUUAGCUGACUGAUUGUAGACAGUUUUAACUAUGUUGACUGCAUUAUCUUAUGAAUCUUUUAAUCUGUCAAAUAUUUAUUUCCUGCUUUAAGUUCUUUCCCGUUUAUAACAAAUUUAAUUUCUUGCUCCAUUGCAUUCCAAAUUCCUGUCAAUUUACAAGGGAAAAAGAAAAGAGAGACGAAAUGGGAGAAAAUGGUCAAAUUUGUUAGGGGGAGAGAGCUGUUGAAGUAGUUUUUGUUCUUGUUUAUCGUCGUGACCCUCUUGUCGCUUAUCUACGACCUGGAAGUCCGGUCAUAUCGGAUGGGUAAAGUUACCGAAACGGCACCAUUUUGGGUGAAAUAUCAUAUUUAUGUAACACUUUUGAUAAUAUUUUUAUGCAACAAAAAAAUGUUUGCAGUACCCUUUUCACAUCGGAUGAGAGCAGUCUGGAUUCUGGCAUCACAAGCUAAUGCUUUGAUUUGCUUAGUUUGUUUUUUGUUUCUGAUAUUUUCUCGGCAUCGGGUGGGAUAUUGUUUCUCUU